UGUUCGCAAACAAUAUACUCAGAUGUUCAGAUGGUGUAUAUAUCUGAGUUAUUUUUAUUUCUAUUUUUAAAGGGAUGGCAUGGGACAACAUUGAGCUAACUUCAUUGAAAUGCAAGUCUGCAAUAUGAAGACCUGUAAUCUGGUGACUGAAGGUGAACACUUUGCGGAUGCUCAAAUCAAAGAUGUUGUUUGUCAAUGACGCGGUGCAGGCAGAACAGUUUGAUGAUGUACUGAUGAAUAUCUAUUGGAGUAACGCUACAUGUUCUGGAUCAUUUAAUCAUAUGUUUUAGCGUUAAAAGUAUGAGAUUGAAUAUCUUUUCUUUCAUGAAAAUUGAAUUGAGGGCAAGCACAAGGAAAAAAAAUAGUGCUAGACAUUAUUUUUGUUUUUCUUAUCGAGGCCAAAAUGUCUUAAUUACAGAGAUCUUCCAAUAUUUUUCUAGUGGGGGUUCUUCCAUUCCUUUUUUUUGAGGAAUUAUGACAGUGAGGGAAGCUCCCCACUGACCUUUAUAUUUCUCAUUCCUUUUAUUGAGCACAAUGAUGUGAAUCAGGCUUUAAUAAGUUCUAAUACGCAGCGGCACAAUUCAUGCUCACUUGUACUCCCUCCGUUCCUAAAUAUAAGUUUUUCUACAUAUGGAGCAAAAUGAGUGAAUUUACACUCUAAAAUAUGUCUAUAUACAUCCGUAUGUUUCGUUCCUAAAUAUAAGUAGUCAAUUGUUGGAAUAUCAGCUCUUCCUCAAUCUCGCUACAAUAAAAUAUGGGUCUCACUUAAUCCUAAUAGCGUUCUUAUUUUCUCUAAAAUUAUUCGCUUGCUUACUCCUAACAAAUGGGGUCCACACUUAUCAUUGUGAGAUAGAUAGAGUUGACAUGUGGGUAUAGGGGUAUUUUGUCAUAUAACAUGGUCAAUGAGUUUGACCUGACAAUAACAAUGUCUAAUGGCAUUUCUGAGCAAACAUCUAAUGGAAUGAUGGCAAUUUUCAGAUAUCUAAUGGCAUUUUUGAGAAAACAUCUCAUGGAACGAUGGCAUUUUUGAGCGUUUGUAAUUUUUAGUGGCAAAACUGAGCAGUGAGACACAAUUAGUGGCAUAAAUGAUAAAAACCCUUUAAUCUAUCCUCACUUAGCUCAAAAAAAAAAACAUUCACCACACCUAAUACCAAAAUAACAGUUCCACUAGAGAUGCAGUGUCAUGUGCCGUUGAAAUGAAAUGCACCGAGCACAUUCAUAUUUAUCCUAGAUCAGUUUUCAGCAUGAACUUUUUCCAUCCAUCGCUGAAUUAAUUAUGAUUAUCAGGAUUUCCUGUACCACAAAAAACUCAAUUAGAAAAACACAACUUUGUUUCUGCUAUAAGGAAAUUCAUCAUAAUGGCAAAGGGUGCAAAAUAUGAGACCAAAAAUGCGCAUGAAAACCUGGCAAUGAUCUGUUCAAAUAAACAAUACAAGUUCUCAAAGAAACUAUGUCGAACUUUCAAGAAACACUUGAUGAAGAAACAACAUGACAGCAGUAUUAACAAAAUCUUGAAUAGGAAAGGAUGUUCUAAACAACAGCAGGUUCCCAUGAAUUAUGAUUUUGAAUGCAAAGAAGAUAGCUACAAGAAUUUCUUGUUCUCAAUACAAGUCUAUUGUGGAUAAUAACACACAUGUCCAGGAUAUUUUGUUACAACAAAGGAUAUAUGGUAGGCUGACCUGAUAUAUGUAUGGCAAGAAGAAAUCAAGGAUUUCUCAGAAUUCAACCAGAAAUGAUCAUCAAUAUUUUUCCCUGAAGAACGAUGUCAACCGCGUCAAUUCCUAAAAGAUGUAUAAAGAAGUUUGUUUGUUUACUUGGUUUAGAGGAAGAACCCAAUAAACAGGGCAAGCUGUCAUAGCCCUAGAAUUUGGUUGCAGAUAGUGGCAUUGCAUCCAUGCAUCAUGUCUAAAGUUAUGUGAAAUUGAAAUGGGGAUUGAUCCAAACCCUAGCACCAAAAUUAAAUCAACUAGGUUCAACUAAAAAUUGCAUUCAAUGAACCCAAAAUGCCUUCAUUAAUGUUUGAUAUUUUUGGCAAGGCUUCGAGUCCAAACAAAAAAUGGUGAACAUUUUUGUGGAAUAUUCUGGGCACUGAAUUUAAAUCAUUACUGUAUUUUGCAUUUGGAAUUAUAUUCAUAAUAUAUAAAAAUAUAUUUUCAAAAGCCCUGAAAUAUUUUAUGUGCAUCUGGAAAUGACCAAUGUGCAACAUAAAAAUAUUUAGAGGAAUCUUUGGCACUAAUUGAAGUCAUUUUGAUUUCAAACAGUGGCAAAUAAAUAAAAAGAAAACAGAACAAAAUAAAACAGAGCAGAAACCUCACCUGGCUUACCUGGUCUGCUCCUGUAGCAGAGGCCCAGCCCACCAGGUGCCGUCGUCCUCCUGGCGCCAGUCGGCCAGGCGCGUGGGCGACGCGCGCACGCACGCACGCCACGCCACGCCACCAGGGUGCCUGCCUGCCUCCUCCUGCCAGCGAGACGUCGCGAGCACCGCCCGGAGCCGUCUGGCUCUUCCUCUCUCUUCCUGGAGCUCUUCCCCCUCCUCUGGUUCUCUCACCCUUGUUGUUCCCCACCUCAACGAACCGCGCCGCCGUGAUCGGCGAGCUCCACCAUGGCCGCAGCCACUCCCUCGCUCCCUCUCCGCGUCCUCGAGCUCCGCCCCGACCCCGUGGAGCAACACACCUGACACAUGCGACCAGAAGAGGCCCAGUCGGCCGGAGCGUCUUCGUCUUCACCUCUGGUGCCCGGAGAUCGAAUCCGUCGAUUCGCCUCGUCCAGAGCGUUCCCGAGGCCGCUGACCUACCCUGUCGCAUCCCUGUGAGCUCCUGCUCCUUCCCCUUGCUCAUCCCCUCCGUUUCCGUGCCCUAGCUGCCUCUCCCACCAUGGCCGCAAGCUUCUCGCCGCCGGCCAUGAGGUCGACGUGGCCAGAGCCCGAACCAGCCGCUCCCGCAUGCGUCAUCGUUCCCCUUGCCUCUCCAGGAGCCCGUAGCCACCACCAGAUCUUCCCCACGUGCCCUAUAGCCGCCACCCGAGCUCACCCGAGCUUCGGCCACCGCCACGAGCUCGUCUCCGGCGAGUACGACGCACCACAACCGCUGCUGCUUGCUCCGUUGGAUGCGGAUGAGCACCAGCUUCACGCAGAGCCCCUCUGCCACUCGUUUGGUCGCCGGAGGAGCAAACCCGACGCGCUCCGCCGUCUCUGGCUUCACCGGCGACGAGCCGCCGGCCUAAUUCCGGUUUAGUUAGUACUAAUGACUCCACUGAACACCCCAGAGCCACUGCUAUGUGGGCCCUUGUGCCUGUUUAGGUUAGUUUAAUUCCUGUUUAGAUUAGUGCUAAUCUUGCGGACCCUGUUGGAACCGCAACCCUCUAGCUACCUCUUCUCUCACUCGAACGAAGGUGGAAGAAAAAGAACAGUGAACAAAAGAUUUUCCGGCCGGCGCACGAACGCCCCAAUCCUUUUCUUCCUUACAGUAGCUACAUGGCUACACAUGGCUCAUACCGACGCUCGGUGGCACAUACCACACCGCAAUCAGCAAUACAGGGGGUCUUUUAUGCCCCGGCACACACACACACACACUCUGGCACGGUGUGAUCCGCUCGGCCCGGCCACCCCUCACAACGAUAUCACACGAAGGACUCGGUUGCUCUCAACAGCCCAUGCAUGCAUGACUCAGCACGCAGCCACACCUCUAGCUAGCUUAUCCAUGCAAACUAACUAAUUUCCUAGCCUGCAGCAUGCGCCAUACACACACACACGCUGGUCAUCACACCUAGACAUGGUUUAAUCCUAACACUCCCCCUAAACCAUGACUUGGCUUGCCAUCGCCAGAGUUAUCGCAGCUCUCGUCGUUGUGGUCACCACAGCCGUGACCCAGCCGGCGGACCCGACCCGGCGCACCGACGCCGGUCGCACCGCCACGGACCCGACCUGGCGCACUGACUUCGGUCGCACCGUGCUCCGUCAUGACCCAGCGACAUACACCGAGCUCCUUCUCCGCCGGCGACACACGCUUGGUGUCCCUCUGCGUCCCGCACGUCCCGCGCGCACUUGACGCGCCCGACGAGCCCGACCGCACCAAUGCGUCCCGCACAUCCCCAACCCGCCCGACGAGCCCGACCGCACCAGACGCUCAUCGCGCGCCGCCUCCGCGUCCGCCAUGGCAGCCACCAGCGACAAACGCCGGAAGGAUGUAGCCGAACUCGAGCACGGACUCGAGCACAACAGCGACAUACGCCUCCUCCCAACGUCAACCGCACGCUCGUAGGCGCGCCAGCGGUCCUGACGCGCCCGACGCGUCCAGUGCGCACCCAUAACACACACCAGUCGCGCCCGGCUCGCCGCCACGGCCUAUUGCCCUGCACCGCUACGGCCUCAACCGCAGCGCAACACCUCCAUGCCUCCAUGCCGCUGUGUGUCGUUGAAGCCGCCACCACGCAGGUCCUCCGCGGCCACCCCACUGUGCCGCUGCAGCCCCCCGCGGCCUCCUCGCCACGCCGCGCACCUCCAUAGACCGACACAUGGCCCGGAGCAUCGCGCAGCCGCCGGCGAACUCCGCCACCGCCGGCACGCCUCCGACAAGGAGAACGCCACCCAAGAUGAACCAGUUCAUGAUACCAAUUGCCGGAACCGCAACCCUCUAGCUAUCUCUUCUCUCACUCGAACGGAGGUGGAAGAAAAAGAACAGUGGACAAAAGAUUUUCCGGCCAGUGCACGAACGCCGCCACGGGCGCACGAACGCCCCAAUCCUUUUCUUCCUUACAGUGGCUACAUGGCUGCUCAUACCGACGCUUGGUGGCACAUACCACACUGCAAUCAGCAAUACAGGGGGUCUUUUAUGCCCCGGCACGCACACACACUCUGGCACGGUGUGAUCCGCUUGGCCCGGCCACCCCUCACAACGAUAUCACGCGAAGGACUCGGCUGCUCUCAACAGCCCAUGCAUGCAUGACUCAGCACGCAGCCACACCUCUAGCUAGCUUAUCCAUGCAAACUAACUAAUUUCCUAGCCUGCAGCAUGCACCAUACACACACACGCUGGUCAUCACACCUAGACGUGGUUUAAUCCUAACAGACCCCACAUGUCAGCUUUGAUUUUGACCAAGUCAACGUUGACCGGUCCCACCCGUCAUCCACCCAAACCAGCCCUGAGUCACUUACCAGUGUGCCCCACUGGUCAGGUUUGACCCAGACCAGCCCAGUUGACCUGCUGACGCCAGGCUUACAUCAUGCUGACCUCAUAAUCAUUUUCUGGCGAUUUUAUAUUUCAGAAAUAAAUUAUAAAAUCCAAAAAAUUGUUUAAACUUCUAAAAAUCAUAGAAAAUAAACCGUAACUCCAAAUGAUAUAGUUUAUAUAUGAAAAAUUAUUAGAAAAAUUCAAAGAAUCUGAAUACGGAAUUUUCAUGCAUGUUUGAACAAGUUAACCUCACUAAAUAGGACAAUUCAUGAUUAUGGAAUAAAUGGUAAUUAGUUUUGGAGUUGGAAUUUGCUAUAGGUUUUGCUAUAGGUUUGAUUAUGGAAUAAAUGAUUAUGACUAACUGUUGCACUAGGUCAAUUCAGUACCUUAAUAUGACAUAUCAUUCAUAUGAAUGUGCAUUGCAUUGAUUGUGGUUCCUUUCGUGUUUGCCUGUGGUUGUUCCCUCUUAGUCGACGAUGUUUCUGACGACGUGAUCGAUGACACCGAUGAAGAGCUAUACUAUCUUCAGAAGUGCCAGGCAAGCAACCCCACCCCCCUUGUUCAUCUCGAUACAAUCCCACUCUCUCGCUCCUGCUCUCUUUUACUGCAUUAGGACAACAACGAUUCAACUGUUACAUGCUGCGGUAGUUGAACCCCUCUCCUCUGCAUGACCUGUCAUUGCCACAACAAAUAGAUGAAACCCACUAGCAUGAGUAGGAGUUGUUUGAGCCCUGAUGUGCCUACUCAUACAUGCUUGUUUGUCAUGCCUGCUACUGCUUAGAGUUGAGUAAGGGCUGAUUCAUCGGGGAUGAACUGGAAUGUGUGAACAUGUCCUACUAUUGAGAGCUAAGUGUGUGAACAUGAUUUGGUAGAGGUAUCGGUGAGAGGCCAUGUAGGAGUACAUGGUGGGUUGUCUCAUUGAAGCCGUCCUCAGGAACUGAGUUCUGUGUUUGUGAUCCAUGAAUAGCUACUACCACGUGUUGGGCCCGAAACCAAUGGACCCUCUCGACUUAUUAACUGCCCCUGUCAUCUGUCCAGGAGUUGCAAGUAGUUUCUGGUGUUCGUAGUAUGCUGGAGGCCGUGCGCAGCACUCACCCGAGGGGUGGGCUGUGAGGCGGUAGGCACGUGGCACGGUGUACCAGGUCGCCCGUUUGGUGUCUUGGGAACCCUGCACACAACUUUCGGGGCCGUAAGUGGAAACCUCGGCCGGACUCCCUUCAGAUGGAACCUGAAUAGGCGAUAAGCCCAGACUAGGGAUUUGUGUGGUUAGUCAGGCCAUGGCCGACACCCUCGUCGGGCUUCCGCUUGAAGGUUGCCGAGUACAUGUCGUGUAAACGGCGAUAAGUGGUGAGAGCAUGUGUGAAGAAGUACACCCCUGCAGGGUUAACAUCAUCUAUUCGAAUAGCCGUGUCCGCGGUAAAGGACUUCUGGGUUGCCUGUACAGUUCAUAGAUAACUUGAAGUGGAUACUCUAAAACUCGCAAGAUAAGCGUGAUUGCUAUGGAUGGCGUUCUCGUAGGUAGACGGGAGCGGAUCCAUAGUGGUGUAUUGGUAUGGUGAAUAUGUGGACUCGUGUGCACCACCUCAAAGAGUUAAUUGCAGUCGUAGUUCAGGAUAGCCACCGAGUCAAAGCUGGCUUGCUGCUGUCAAACUCCACCACCCCUUUGUUGAUACCGAUGCAUAUGUAGUUAGUUCUGAUGUAAGUCUUGCUGGGUACAUUUGUACUCACGUUUUCUUAUUUUAUGUUUUGUAGAGAGACUCCAGUCUCACUAGUAGUUCCGCAUGGACUUCGAUGUUUAGCUUGUUACCUCAGCUACGAUCUUGUACCCUUGGGAGGGUCUUGUAGAUAGUCAGGCUUCUCAGCCUUUUUCAUUUGUAGUUGUCUGCACUCAGACAUGUUUAUGCUUCUGGUUGAUACUUGUAUGCUCUGUAUGUUGGGUCAUGAGACCCAUGUUUGUCAUACUUGGCUCCUCGGAGCCUAAUCACUAGUGCAGAACCGGGAAAUAGCACCGGUUCGUAAGGCCCUUUAGUGCCGGUUUAGUAACCGGCACUAAAGUGUGGGCACUAAAGCCCCCCCCCUUUAGUACCGGUUCAACACGAACCGGUGCUAAAGGGAAACCACGUGGCAUGAGCCAGCUCCGGGGGCCGGGAGCCCUUUAGUACCAGUUGGUAACACCAACCGGUACUAAAUGUUUGUGGGUUUUUGUUUUAUUUUGUAUUUUUCAAUUAAAUUUGUGUUAUCAAUUUAAUUUAGGAUUGUUUUACAUUAUAAUGAGUUGUAGUCGUCAUCAUCAUCAUCAUCAUCGCAUAUUAAUAAAUAAAUAAACUCUAGCUAGCUAAAAAUCAUCGUAGUCGUCUAAUUACCACUAUUUAAUCAUCAUAGUCAUUACCGCUAGCUAUCUAAUCAUCACCAACACUGGCUAGCUUAAAGAGGAAACAUUCACUUUGUAGCAGAAGCAAAGAUAUCAUGGAGUUCAACAUAAUGAUCACCAACAUCGAAGUUCAGGACACGGACAUGAGACAAGUACUAAUUAAUUAAGAGCAUGAACUAGUAGCUACUCCUGAUGCUCCCUCUCAGGUAGAAUAGCAUAGAGCAUGUAUAGCUCUCCUGAUUCAUCAUACUGGAGCAUGCAGAUGAAUCUGUCUCCUAAUCUUGGGUUGCGCUUCUCCUUGCUGCCCCCUAGUACUUCUCUGCGAUCGUUAACAAUUUUGCUCCAAUCUUUCACUAUUAAGCAUUCUUCGCUUUCAGAAAUCCUGAAUGCACUCAUGUGCAAUGUAGGAUAUCUUGGCCGUAAGCUAACUAUUGACAUGUCACCUUUAGUCUCGAUCCACUGAGGCACAACUGUCAUCGGAAGUCCCUGUUGAAGAACAUCGUAUAGUAAUUAAUAUACUAAGCAAUGAAAGUUUAGCUUCAAAAAUAAUGUAUGCAAAAGAUGCACUAAUUAAGGACAAAUAGUUAAAAUCUUAUCAUCUUUCGAUUAUAGAUGUGACCGUAGUUCAAUACGAUCACCAUUGGUCGCACGUUUUGAGUACUAACAUUUCUAAGUUCAGGAAAAAAAUUUGUCUUGACAGUAUUAAGAUCCUCAAGCCAUGAAACAUAAUGACUUAUCUCCUCGCAGUUUAGUUGAGCCCCGGGGCAAUAGUAGGUCCUGUCUACCAAGCGCCGGACAUGUUUGCUUGAACCGAAAUAAGCUGACAAUACAAAUUAGUUGUCAACUAUUUUUGAAUAAACUGUAUCAAAGACAUAAACAUAUGCAUGCAUGGUUGAGAAAAACUCACAUAAUGGUAGAACUGGAGGCGUUUGCACAUUGACCCAGAUGUCUAUAUUACCUUCAAUAUCAUCUUCCGGACGAAUAUCAAAGGUGAUAACCAUAUCAGGCUCAAAUGCAUAAGCUUUGCAUAGUGCUUGCCAAGUUUUGCAUUCAAAAUGGGCGUAUGUGUCUCCAUUAUAUAAUUUGACGUUGAAAGUAUACCCAUGCUCCGUCUUCAAGUAAACUCUCUUUACCUCCAUAUCAUCUAUAGCACUAAAACCUAUCUUAUCCAAGACAAAAAUUCUUGCAUGACAGGGGAUGCGCUAGUAGAAUAGUGAAAACUUAAAAUUAUAAGUUGAAGCAAAUGAAGCAUACGUUUUGCAUUCAAAUAAUAAUUGACAAAGUGACUUACUGUAUCAACUUCGAAUGUCUCAUCCAGCUUGAUGCUGAAGCGCCUACCAUCAACAAGGAAAUUUCUGUCGCACAGGCCGCGCUGGUCUUCACAGUGUUCGCACAUAAUGAAAUCUUUUUCGUCGUCAGAUGACAUUUCCUAUGUUCAUAUAGGUGAAACAUUAAACACCUAUUACUAUCUAACAUUAAUUAAUAUCUAGCUAAAUAUAUAUUCAUCUAACAUUUGACAUUAAUAUAUCUAACUAUAUUCAUCUCUAACAAUUGGCAUUACUAUACAUUUAAUUUUUCUAUCUAAUUCAUCUAACAUUCGACAUUAAUCUAACAUUUAUAUAAACUCAAAAUAUAUAAAAAAUUAAAUAAACAGAAAAACUCAUUAACAAAUAAUAUUUUAAUUAGAUCAUCAAAUCUCAGAUACCUAAAUUUUCUUACUAAAAAUAAACUAGUUAUAUUAAUUAUUGAACUAGUUCAAAUCUCAUAUACCUAAAUAAACUAGUUAUAUUAAUUAUUGAACUAGUUCAAAUCUCAUAUACCUAAAUAAACUAGUUCAACAAUUUUCUUACUAAAAAAUAUGACCUCAAGCUCAACCCGGAAAAAUGCGUUUUCGGCAUUCCAGCUGGAAAGCUCUUGGGCUUCAUUGUAUCCGGUAGAGGAAUUGAAGCAAAUCCAGCCAAGAUUCGAGCUCUGUCACAAUUGGAUAUCCUGAAGGACCUCAAACAAAUACACAAAUUAACCGGAUGCGUGGCAGCUCUAAGCCGCUUUAUCUCCCGCUUAGGAGAAAAGGCCCUACCCCUUUACCGCCUCCUUCGGUGCACCGAACACUUCGAGUGGACGGAUGCAGCCACGGCCGGACUCGACGAAAUAAAAGCCAUCCUGGCAACAAACCCAGUCCUGGCCGCGCCAAACAUUGGCGAACCAAUGCUGUUAUACAUUGCAGCAACCCAUCAGGUCGUAAGCGCAGUGCUCGUCGUCGAACGAGAGAAACGGACAGACACAAAUUCCCCCUUCAAAAGCCGGUCUACUAUGUGUCCACUGUCCUUACUCCGUGCAAGUCACGGUACCCGCAUUAUCAAAAGAUUGCGUACGCGGUAUUUAUGGCAUCCCGGAAGCUGCGACACUACUUUCAAGAGUGUUCAAUAACAGUAGCCUCGGAAGUGCCACUUAACGAUAUUAUAAACAACCGUGACGCGACGGGCCGGAUUGCAAAAUGGGCCAUUGAGUUCCUCCCAUUCGACAUAACUUACAAGCCACGGCGAGCUAUCAAGUCGCAAGUUUUGGCCGACUUCGUCGCAGAAUGGACGGAGGCCGAACUCCCUAAAGAGUACGACACAUAUUCAAAUUGGGUCAUGCACUUCGACGGCUCCAAAAUGUUGGCCGGUCUAGGGGCUGGCGUCGUUUUGAUGUCCCCCACAGGAGACACAGUUCAAUACAUACUCCAAAUAAUGUACACAGACUCCAACAAUGCAGCCGAAUACGAGGCCGUUUUACAUGGUCUCCAGAUGGCAGUAUCCAUGGGCAUUCAACGCCUAGAGGUGCGCGGGGACUCGAACCUCGCAAUAUCCCAAAUAAAUGGAGACUUUGAUGCCAAGGAUCCAAAAAUGUCAGCUUAUCGCAACGCCGUCCUAAAAAUGUCAGCUCGGUUCGAAGGGCUUGAAUUUCACCAUAUAGCCCGGGAAAAUAAUCAGGUGGCAGAUGUCCUGGCACGCAUCGGCGCAAAACGCGAUGUAGUCCCCCCCAACAUCUUCCUGGAAAGGCUGUUCAAGCCAUUCGUAGUAUGGGAAGGGGAACCCGGCAAUAACAGCCCGGACCCAACCGCACUGCCCGACACCGAACACUCUGACAUAAUUGGAGGCUCUGCCAAUGAAAUAACACUUUCAGCCCAGGUAAUAAUGGCCGUCAUUGCUCUGUGGACAGAACCAUUCCUCGCCUACCUUACUAGGCAGGAACUCCCCGAGGACCAAAAUGAGGCACGCUGCAUAGUGCGGCGAUCUAAAGCCUAUAAAGUCCAUGAGGGAGAGCUUUAUAAGAAAAGCACUACCGGAGUCCUUCAAAGGUGCAUCUCCGAAGAGGAAGGGAGGAACCUCCUGGCUGAAAUUCAUGCCGGACUCGGCGGUCAUCAUGCUGCAGCUUGGUCCCUUGUAAGCAAGGACUUCCGCACAGGCUUUUAUUGGCCGACGGCCCGAGCAGACGCCCAGGACUUAGUCCAACGAUGCGUCGGUUGCCAGCUUUUUGCAAACCAAAGCCAUAUGCCACCCACCGCCCUCCAAACUAUCCCCAUCACUUGGCCCUUCGCGGUCUUGGGGCUUGACAUGGUUGGACCCCUUAAAGGCGGAACCCACAAGAAAAAAAUACUUACUGGUCAUGGUGGAUAAGUUCACCAAAUGGAUAGAAGCCAAGCCUGUUAAGACGGCCGAAUCCGGACCGGUGAUAGACUUUAUAUCCGGGGUUGUACACCGUUACGGCGUCCCCCACAGCAUCAUCACUGAUAACGUCACGAACUUUACGGUCGACAAGGUAAAACUCUGGUGCAAAAGCAUGGGCAUCAAGCUCGAUUAUGAUUCCGUCUAUCACCCACAAACUAACGGCCAGGUCGAACGUGAAAAUGGUCUUAUCAUGAGCGGCAUCAAACCCAGAUUAGUGCGGUCCCUUAAGGAAUCUAAUACGCACUGGGUAGAGGAGCCCGACUCCGUACUCUAGGGGCUGCGGACCACGCCGAAUCGCACCACCGGAUACACACCAUUCUUCAUGGUGUACGGCGCAAAGGCAGUUCUGCCCUGCGACAUAAUUCAUGACUCACCUCAAGUGCGCAUGUACGAAGAAAGAGAAGCCGAGCUCGAUCGGCAGGACAGUUUGGACGCCUUGGAGGAAGAGCGUGACGUGGCAAAAGCCCGUUCCGCAUUCUAUCAACAGCAGGCUCGAAGAUACCAAAGCGGAGAAGUACGGGCCAAAAAUUACAACAUUGGCAAACUAGUUCUACGUCUGCCGGACAAGAAAAAGGACAAACUCAAGCCCAAGUGGGAAGGUCCCUUCAUAAUUGACCAAGUCCUGACUGGUGGAGCGUACCGCCUGCGAGAUGCAUCGGAUAACCGACUCGAGCCGAACCCAUGGAACGCAGCCCGCCUCCGAAGAUUCUAUGCCUAGCGCCGGACUCUGUGUUCGUUUCCUUACUCUGUCCAUUUUUAUAUACUUUCUGUCUUACAUUUCUCUCCUUCUCCUCUUUCUCUCUCCUAUAGCCUUUAAAGGCUCAUACAGUGACGCGCUAUCCGCGCUCAUUAAACCUGUGGGCUUCUUUACACAGAAGCUUAUACGGGCUUUCAUGCCCAACACAUGCGUCACACUUCCGCAUGUACCUUUUAUUCGCCAGUAUAUGCAUCAAUAUGACUUAAGUUUUGGCCAAGCUGGGUUGCCUGGCUCCUGUGCUUACCCCUACGUUCUCGAUUGUUCGGCUAGGUGGUAAAGGGAGCACCUCUGCGAUUGUUACUGCCGGGUCAGCCGGAUGUGUACCUCAGACUGGGUGAAGCCGAAAGCUAGCGUUCUUAAGGGAAUAUUCGGUCGGUGAACUAAAGAUGAUCUUUUUUUAUUUAUCUAUACGCCCCCAGAUGUUUUUCCUGCGUCUCUUUUCGCAGAAUGGACAUGCACUUUAGGGCAUGCCUCCCAGGGAAAGGAACCCCUAACGGAACUAUUCUCCCUGGAAGAUGUUUCUUACUAACCAUGUAAUAUAACAUAACUAGUUGGGCACUUGUCUGUUCAAGCACUAAUGACCCCUACGCCUGGUCUCCAUGCAUACCCCGGUUCUUAUAUAACCGCGAGGGUAUUUGGACACACUCCGGACCAUCAGGUCCCGAGGUUGAAGCGAAAAGGUCGGCCAUGAAAAACGAUCUACAAUCCGGCUAGAAGGCAUUACACAUGUCAAUUAUAAUUACAUAGUCAAUCUGACUGAUUGUAUUCCUCUUCAAUACCAUCUAACAGGCUAUCUAGUUUACAUUUCUGUUGGGAAUACUUUGCGGCCAAUUCUACUUGGCCGUAUACUAAGCUCACAGGCAUCUCCUUCCCAUCGGGCCCCACGGGUCCGACCUCGGCCAUGUGGUUUGGGUCAGCCUUCGUGUACCGCGUCUUCACCAUGGCCCAGGCCUCCCUGGCGCCUUGACGGCAGGCCGACAUCUUCCACAAUCGGAAGCGCCGCUGCGCUCCCUUCAGCUUCUCUACAAGCUCUCCAAGGCCUUCGGGCAUGGAGACGGAUGGCCAUAGGGCCUGGGCGACGCUUUGCAUCACCUGCCGAACUCGCUCGUGCAGUUGUGAGAGCUCGGGAAGAAGGUCACCCGUAGAACCGGGCAUUUCCUCUGCAGGAUGACCUGUUAGCAUACCUACAGACAUUACUCUUUUAGUCGACUUCCUUGCCGAACUCUUUUUUCAAAAGUUCGUUUAAGCACUUACUAUAUUGUUGGGUUUCGUAGUAAUUUCAAAAAUUUUCCUACGCGCACACAGGAUCAUGUGAUGCAUAGCAACGAGAGGAGAGUGUUGUCUACGUACCCAACGCAGACCGACUGCGGAAGCAAUGACACGACGUAGAGGAAGUAGCCGUACGUCUUCACGAUCCAACCGAUCAAGCACCGAAACUACGGCACCUCCGAGUUCGAGCACACGUUCAGCUCAAUGACGAUCCCCGGACUCCGAUCCAGCAAAGUGUCGGGGAAGAGUUUCGUCAGCACGACGGCGUGGUGACGAUCUUGAUGAACUACAGCAGCAGGGCUUCGCCUAAACUCCGCUACAGUAUUAUCGAGGAAUAUGGUGGCAGGGGGCACCGCACACGGCUAAGGAAUCGAUCACGUGGAUCAACUUGUGUCAACUUGUGUGUCUAUGGGGUGCCCCCUGCCCCUGUAUAUAAAGGAUGGAGGAGGAGGAGGCCGGCCAAGGCAAAGGUGCGGCCAGGAUAGGGAGUCCUACUAGGACUCCAAGUCCUAGUAGGAGUCCACCAAGAGGGGAGGAAGGGAGAAGGAAUAGGAGGAGAAGGAGAGGUGGCCGGCCCCCUUUUCCCUAGUCCAAUUCGGACCAAAGGGGAGGGGGGGCGCAGCAGCCUUUUUCCUCUUCCCACUAAAGCCCAUUAAGGCCCAUUACUUCUCCCGUAACUACCCGGUACUCCGAAAAAUANNNNNNNNNNNNNNNNNNNNNNNNNNNNNNNNNNNNNNNNNNNNNNNNNNNNNNNNNNNNNNNNNNNNNNNNNNNNNNNNNNNNNNNNNNNNNNNNNNNNNNNNNNNNNNNNNNNNNNNNNNNNNNNNNNNNNNNNNNNNNNNNNNNNNNNNNNNNNNNNNNNNNNNNNNNNNNNNNNNNNNNNNNNNNNNNNNNNNNNNNNNNNNNNNNNNNNNNNNNNNNNNNNNNNNNNNNNNNNNNNNNNNNNNNNNNNNNNNNNNNNNNNNNNNNNNNNNNNNNNNNNNNNNNNNNNNNNNNNNNNNNNNNNNNNNNNNNNNNNNNNNNNNNNNNNNNNNNNNNNNNNNNNNNNNNNNNNNNNNNNNNNNNNNNNNNNNNNNNNNNNNNNNNNNNNNNNNNNNNNNNNNNNNNNNNNNNNNNNNNNNNNNNNNNNNNNNNNNNNNNNNNNNNNNNNNNNNNNNNNNNNNNNNNNNNNNNNNNNNNNNNNNNNNNNNNNNNNNNNNNNNNNNNNNNNNNNNNNNNNNNNNNNNNNNNNNNNNNNNNNNNNNNNNNNNNNNNNNNNNNNNNNNNNNNNNNNNNNNNAAUAUAGUCGUCCAAUAUAUCGAUCUUUACGUCUCGACCAUUUCGAGACUCCUCGUCAUGUCCCCGAUCUCAUCCGGGACUCCGAACUCCUUCGGUACAUCAAAACUCAUAAACUCAUAAUAUAACUGUCAUCAAAACCUUAAGCGUGCGGACCCUACGGGUUCGAGAACAAUGUAGACAUGACCGAGACAUGUCUCCGGUCAAUAACCAAUAGCGGGACCUGGAUGCCCAUAUUGGCUCCUACAUAUUCUACGAAGAUCUUUAUCGGUCAGACCGCAUAACAACAUACGUUGUUCCCUUUGUCAUCGGUAUGUUACUUGCCCGAGAUUCGAUCGUCGGUAUCCAAUACCUAGUUCAAUCUCGUUAACGGCAAGUCUCUUUACUCGUUCCGUAAUACAUCAUCUCACAACUAACAUAUUAGUUGUAAUGCUUGCAAGGCUUAUGUGAUGUGUAUUACCGAGAGGGCCCAGAGAUACCUCUCCGACAAUCGGAGUGACAAAUCCUAAUCUCGAAAUACGCCAACCCAACAUCAACCAUUGGAGACACCUGUAGUACUCCUUUAUAAUCACCCAUUUACGUUGUGACGUUUGGUAGUACCCAAAGUGUUCCUCCGGUAAACGGGAGUUGCAUAAUCUCAUAGUCGUAGGAACAUGUAUAAGUCAUGAAGAAAGCAAUAGCAACAUACUAAACGAUCAGGUGCUAAGCUAAUGGAAUGGGUCAUGUCAAUCAGAUCAUUCUACUAAUGAUGUGACCUCGUUAAUCAAAUAACAACUCAUUGUUCAUGGUUAGGAAACAUAACCAUCUUUGAUUAACGAGCUAGUCAAGUAGAGGCAUACUAGUGACACUCUGUUUGUCUAUGUAUUCACACAUGUAUUAUGUUUCCGGAAAAUACAAUUCUAGCAUGAAUAAUAAACAUUUAUCAUGAUUAUAAGGAAAUAAAUAAUAACUUUAUUAUUGCCUCUAGGGCAUAUUUCCUUCAUAUAUAUGCCGCGUCGAAGCCGCUGAUUCUCCUUCACGGAGUCCAACAGCUGGGCACGAACAUCCUUCAGUUCAACGCCUAGCUUGGUGUUGGCAUCUUGGAGAUUGUUCUUCUCCCGCCUCACCUUUGUCGGCACGCUCUCACCAGCCUUCAGCUGGCGUCGGAGUUGUUGCUCUUCUGGAUUUAAUCCGGCGCCAUCUACAAUUUCAUUUGUCAGAUUUGCACCCACGCCGCACUUCGCAAAAUACUUAUCUUUCGAAGCGUAUAUUACCAGAGGGGGUCUCCUUGGGCUCCCCUGCCGCGACUAGUGCGGCCUCAAGUUGGGCUUUGCACUCUUCCAGCUCCUGGGACAGUAGGGUAUUCUUUUCUGUAAGAACCUGCAUAACAAAUGAUCCUUAAAUCAGUUAUUCUAACUAUUUCAAGUCUCGGGGGCUACUGGUAUAUAUAUAAUUACCAAAAUUUUCUUACCCGUAUGUCUUUUACAUACUGCUCCGUGGCUUUGGCUAGACCAUUUUGAGCGGCACGGAGGUACGCAUCUCCCGAAUUGAAGGCAUCCAAUGCCUCUUGGGAGAAACAAGCGUCGCGAAGAACUGUCCGGCGACGCCUGUGGUUCAUGGCGCUCUCCACCUUGGAAUUGGUGGCAGACAACCUGUCCACAUCCUCUGUCGGAGGAGCAUCCGGUGCGCGCCUUGUGUUCGCCUCCACUUCCGGACCAGGCUUUGGAGCCUAGCUGGUGGAGGCGCGAUUGGCAGCCCCUCCGGAUAUAGUCCGGCGAGGUCUCUUCGUCCUGAAGAGAGCACAAGCGUUAAUAUGCCUUGAAGGAAUAACACCUGGGAAUAAGAUGGCGCGCUAUACCUUUGCGCCGGCGUCUCAGUCUGGAACGCACUUCUUUUCAGCCUGCGGGGCCUUGCCGCCCCUCAUUGGCUAGUCGCCACAGGCUCGGCCUCCCGUCUCAAGGACCUCCCCUGCAAAACACGGUUGUCAUACGGCAAUCGGAAACACGUGAGGAUAGAUCCCUUUUCAAAGUGCUGGGACUUCGGUCUCAAUUACCUGUGAGGCUGGGAGUAGCCCUGGGUAGUCGGCCGUAAUGGCCACCAAGGCGUUGUCCUUGCUCAAUUGAUGAAACACCCCAUCAAUCAGCUCCAUAGAUAAGUCCGGAUCCUCUUGAGAGGCCGGGUCGAGGGACCAUCCCGGAUCCUCGGGUUGUGGAGGAGGGUUGUUUAUUUCUUUAACAGCAUGGCGCAGUUCCUGCGUUGAAGUCGUUAGACUGAAUAUUUAACGAUGGGAAUAUAAAAUGGAUGGGCAAGUAAAAGUGUCCACUUACCCAACUUGGGGGAUUGUACAUAGAAAAUCCACCCUGUGGGUUGACGUGGAGAAAUUCCUCGUCUUCUCCCUUGUACAAAGCGGACAAGGUCUUUAUUAGAGCGGCAGCCGAAUCCGGCCCCUUACAGCCGUAGCGGGUGGCAUCGUCCUCCCCGUUGAAGUCCCACAUGGGGCGGCCUCUAUACUGAAGCGGCUGCACCCCUCGCAGGAUGCAUGCGGCCAUGACCCCGAUCAUGGUCAGUCCGGAAUGAGCUAACAAUCUUAUCCGGCCCAUCAGGUAAAGAACGUCCCUGUCACUUUCCCUCUGAGGGCUCCAUGGACGCCAGCUUAGGCGCUUCUUUAGGGGAGCACUGUCGAACUCAGGGAGGCCGAUCCGGACAGGAUCCGGCAGCGGGACGUCCUCUAUAUAAAACCAUUCCGAGGGCUAGUCCUCGGACGCCUUCUUUGGGGUUCCGGAUAGAUAUCCGGUCCCGGCGAUGCGCCACACUUCGGCUCCGCCCACUUGAUACAUUGACCCCUUCUUAGAGCGGGGCACGAGGCAGAAUAGCCUUUUCCAUAGCACGAAAUGAGCCUCACAGCCCAAAAAUAGCUCGCAAAGGGCCACGAAGCCCGUGAUAUGCAAUAUGGAGGCAGGCGUGAGGUUGUGCAGCUGGAGGCCGUAGAACUCCAGGAGCCCCCGGAGAAACAAAUGAAUUGGAAAUCCGAGCCCUCUUAUUAAGUAAGGGACAAGGCAUACCCGCUCUCCUUUGGAGGGAUUGGGGGCGCUCUCCGCUUGCUCUCCGCCAUUAUAGGUGGCAAGUCCGGCUCGAACCAGGACCAUAUAGGCCGGGGGGAGAAAUCCCUUGGUCUGGAGCGUCACUAGCUCGCUGUGCGGGAUGGAGCACCUCUUCCAAUCUCUAGGCUGAGGACUGGAAGGGCGAGAGGAGGAACUGCGGCGGUCGGCCAUGAUAGAAUGGACCUCUGUCGGAUACGCUCUGAUGAAUACUCGCGGAGGGGAGAAGGUGUGGUUUGGAUCUAAAUCCUCGUCCCCUUAAAUAGGUGGCUCAUUCACGCGGCUAGGGGUGUAAAUAUAAAAAACACCCUGACUUUUCGUAUUCGUUUGACACAUGGAAGACGGCCAUUAUUGGGCGUAGAAGCCAAGGAGCGCUACAAGAAACCGGACAUUAUUUAACAGGUACACGGAAUUUGGAGAACCCGCCUUGCAAUGCCGAAGACAAUUUGCACGCCGGACUCAUCGUCAUUGAAGCCUGGUUCGGGGGCUACUGAGGGAGUCCUGGAUUAGGGGGUGUCCGGAUAGCCGGACUAUACCUUCGGCCGGACUCCUGGACUAUGAAGAUACAAGAUUGAAGACUUCGUCCCGUGUCCGGAAGGGACUUUCCUUGGCGUGGAAGGCAAGCUUGGCGAUACGUAUAUGUAGAUCUCCUACCAUUGUAACCGACUCUGUGUAACCCUAGCCCUCUCCGGUGUCUAUAUAAACCGGAGGGUUUUAGUCCGUAGGACGAACAACAAUCAUACCAUAGGCUAGCUUCUAGGGUUUAGCCUCCUUAAUCUCGUGGUAGAUCUACUCUUGUACUACCCAUAUCAUCAAUAUUAAUCAAGCAGGACGUAGGGUUUUACCUCCAUCAAGAGGGCCCAAACCUGGGUAAAACAUUGUGUCCCUUGUCUCCUGUUACCAUCCGCCUAGACGCACAGUUCGGGACCCCCUACCUGAGAUUNNNNNNNNNNNNNNNNNNNNNNNNNNNNNNNNNNNNNNNNNNNNNNNNNNNNNNNNNNNNNNNNNNNNNNNNNNNNNNNNNNNNNNNNNNNNNNNNNNNNNNNNNNNNNNNNNNNNNNNNNNNNNNNNNNNNNNNNNNNNNNNNNNNNNNNNNNNNNNNNNNNNNNNNNNNNNNNNNNNNNNNNNNNNNNNNNNNNNNNNNNNNNNNNNNNNNNNNNNNNNNNNNNNNNNNNNNNNNNNNNNNNNNNNNNNNNNNNCCCUCCACCCUCAUGGGACCCCUGUUGCUCCACCGACGUACUUCUUCCUCCUAUAUAUACCCACGUACCCCCAAAAGAUCAGACACGGAGCCAAAACCCUAAUUCCACCACCGCAACUUUUUGUAUCCAUGAGAUCCCAUCUUGAGGCUUGUUUCGGAGCUCCGUCGAAGGGGGCACCGAUCACGGAGGGCUUCUACAUCAACACCAUAGCCUCUCCGAUGAAGUGUGAGUAGUUUACUUCAGACCUACGGGUCCAUAGUUAGUAGCUAGAUGGCUUCUUCUCUCUUUUUGGAUCUCAAUACAAUGUUCUCCCCCUCUCUUGUGGAGAUCUAUUCGAUGUAAUCUUAUUUUUGUGGUGUGUUUGUUGAGACUGAUGAAUUGUGGGUUUAUGAUCAAGUCUAUCUAUGAAUAAUAUUUGAAUCUUCUCUGAAUUCUUUUAUGUAUGAUUGGUUAUCUUUGCAAGUCUCUUUGAAUUAUCAGUUUGGUUUGGCCUACUAGAUUGAUCUUUCUUGCAAUGGGAGAAGUGCUUAGCUUUGGGUUCAAUCUUGUGGUGUCCUUUCCCGGUGACAGUAAGGGCAGCAAGGCACGUAUUGUAUUGUUGCCAUCGAGGAUAACAAGAUGGGGUUUUCUUCAUAUUGCAUGAGUCUAUCCCUCUACAUCAUGUCAUCUUGCUUAAGGCGUUACUCCGUUUUUAACUUAAUACUCUAGAUGCAUGCUGGAUAGCAGUCGAUAAGUGGAGUAAUAGUAGUAGAUGCAGGCAGGAGUCGGUCUACUUGUCUCGGACGUGAUGCCUAUAUACAUGAUCAUACCUAGAUAUUCUCAUAAAUAUGCUCAAUUCUGUCAAUUGCUCAACAGUAAUUUGUUCACCCACCAUAGAAUACUUAUGCUCUCGAGAGAAGCCACUAGUGAAACCUAUGGCCCCGGGGUCUAUCUUUAUCAUAUCAAUCUCCUGCUACUUAGUUAUUUACUUUGCUAUUAACUUUGCCUUUAUUUGGCUUUGCAUCUUUAUCAUAAAAAUACCAAAAAUAUUAUCUUUAUCAUAUCUAUCAGAUCUCACUCUCGUAAGUGGACCUAUAGGGAUUGACAACCCCUAUUUGCGUUGGUUGCGAGGAUUUAUUUGUUUGUGCAGGCAUGAGGGACUUGCGUGUAGCCUCCUACUGGAUUGAUACCUUGGUUCUCAAAAACUAAGGGAAAUACUUAUGCUACUUUGCUGUAUCAUCCCUUCCUCUUCGGGGAAAACCAACGCAGUGCUAAAAGAGGUAGCAAGAAGGAUUUCUAGCGCCGUUGCCGGGGAGGUCUAUGCAAAAGUCAACAUACCAAGUACCCAUCACAUACCCUCAUCUCCCGCAUUACAUUAUUUUCCAUUUGCCUCUUGUUUUCCUCUCCCCCCAAUUCACCCUUGCCAUUUUAUUCGCCCUCUCUCUCUAUCCUCCCUCUCUAUUUGCACUUUUUGUCCGCUUGCUUUUUGUUUGCUUGUGUGUUAGUUUGCUUGUUUGUCGCAAUGGCUCAAGAUAAUACUAAAUUGUGUGACUUCACCAAUACCAACAACAAUGAUUUUAUUACCACUCCAAUUGCUCCUCUUACCGAUGCUGAAUCUUGUGAAAUUAAUACUGCUUUACUGAAUCUUGUCAUGAAAGAUCCGUUCUCCGGCCUUCCUAGUGAAGACGCCGCUACCCAUCUAAAUAGCUUCGUUGAUUUGUGUGACAUGCAAAAGAAGAAAAAUGUGGAUAAUGAUAUUGUUAAAUUGAAGCUAUUUCCUUUUUCGCUUAGAGAUCCUGCUAAAGCUUGGUUUUCGUCUUUGCCUAAAAAUAGUAUUGAUUCAUGGAACAAGUGCAAAGAUGCUUUUAUCUCUAAGUAUUUUCCUCUCGCUAAAAUCAUAUCUCUUAGAAACGAUAUUAUGAACUUUAAGCAACUUGAUCAUGAACAUGUUGCACAAGCUUGGGAGAGAAUGAAAUUAAUGAUACGUAAUUGCCCUACUCAUGGUUUAAAUGUGUGGAUGAUUAUACAAAUUUUUUAUGCCUGAUUGAAUUUUUCUUCUAGAGAUCUUUUGGAUUCGGCCACGGGAGGCACUUUUAUGGAAAUCACUUUAGGAGAAGCUACUAAACUCCUAGAUAAUAUUAUGGUUAAUUAUUCUCAAUGGCACACUGAAAGAUCUACUAAUAAAAAGGUGCAUGCGAUAGAAGAAAAUAAUGUUUUGAGUGGAAAGAUGGAUGAACUUAUGAAAUUAUUUGCUAAUAAGAGUGUUUCUUCAGAUCCUAAUGAUAUGCCCUUGUCUACUUUGAUUGAGAAUAAUAAUGAAUCUAUGGAUGUGAAUUUUGUUGGUAGGAACAAUUUUGGUAACACUGCAUAUAGAGGAAAUUUCAAUCCUAGGCCUUAUCCUAGUAAUCCCUCUAAUAAUUAUGGUAAUUCCUACAACAAUUCUUAUGGAAAUUAUAAUAAUAUGCCCUCUGAUUUUGAUUCUAAUAUUAAAGAAUUUAUUACUUCAUAAAAGAAUUUUAAUGCUAUCAUUGAAGAAAAAUUGCUUAAGAUUGAUGAUUUGGCUAGGAACGUUGAUAGAAUUGCUCUUGAUGUUGAUUCUUUGAAACUUAGAUCUAUUCCACCUAAGCAUGAUAUCAAUGAGUCUCUCAAAGCCAUGAGAAUUUCCAUUGACGAGUGCAAAUAAAGAACCGCUAGGAUGCGUGCUAAGAAAGAUGCCUUUAUAAAAGCGUGUUCUUCUAGUUCCUAUGAAAAUAAUGAUGAAGAUCUAAAAGUUAUUGAUGUGUCCCCUGUUAAAUCUGUGUUUUGCAAUAUGAAUCUUGAUAAUGAUGGGACUGAAUAUGAUCCACCUUUACCUAGAAGGCAUUCUAAGAAUUCGGAAUUUGUUGAUCUUGAUGCUAAAUUUGAUUAAAGUGGGAUUGAAGAAAUUAAAACCCUAGAUGGUGCUAAACCCACCAUUAUGGAUUUCAAGGAAUUUAACUAUGAAAAUUGCUCUUUAAUUGAUUGAAUUUCCUUAUUGCAAUUUGUGCUAAAUUCUCCUCAUGCUUAUAGUCAAAAUAAAGCGUUUACUAAACAUAUCGUUGAUGCCUUGAUGCAAUCUUAUGAAGAAAAACUUGAAUUGGAAGUUUCUAUCCCUAGAAAACUUUAUGAUGAGUGGGAACCAAUUAUUAAAAUUAAAAUUAAAGAUCAUGAAUGCUAUGCUUUAUGUGAUCUGGGUGCUAGUGUUUCCAUGAUUCCAAAGACUUUGUGUGAUUUGUUAGGUUUCCGUGAUUUUGAUGAUUGCUCUCUAAACUUGCACCUUGCGGAUUCCCUAUUAAGAAACCUAUGGGAAGAAUUAAUGAUGUUAUUAUUGUUGCAAAUAGGAAUUAUGUGCCCGUAGAUUUUAUUGUUCUUGACAUAGAUUACAAUCCUUCAUGUCCUAUUAUUCUUGGUAGACCUUUCCUUAGAACGAUUGGUGCAAUUAUUGAUAUGAAGGAAGGAAAUAUUAGAUUCCAAUUUCCGUUAAGGAAAGGCAUGUAACACUUUCCUAGGAACAAAAUUAAAUUACCUUAUGAAUCUAUUAUGAGAGCCACUUAUGGAUUGCCUACCAAAGAUGGCAAUACCUAGAUCUAUUCUUGCUUGUUAUGCCUAGCUAGUGGCGUUAAACGAUAGCGCUUGUUGGGAGCAACCCAAUUUUAUUUUUAUUCCUUGAUUUUUGCUCCUUCUUAGUAAUAAAUAAAUUAUUUAGCCUCUUUUUUGGUUGUGUUUUUUGUGUUUAACUAGUGUUUGUUCCAAGUAGAACCGUUGGGAAGACUUGGGGAAAGUCUUGUUGAACUUGCUGUAAAAAACAGAAACUUUAGCGCUCACGAGAACUACUGUCAUUUUUAUUUGGGAAGUGCUAUUUAGUUAAUUCUUUUUGAAGAUGAUUAAUAGAUAAAUUCCUCACGUCCAGAAAUUUAUUUUAGAAUUUUUGGGGUUCCAGAUCUUGCGCUAGCUACAGAUUACUACAGACUGUUCUGUUUUUGACAGAUUCUGUUUUUCGUGUGUUGUUUGCUUAUUUUGAUGAAUCUAUGGCUAGUAAAUUAGUUUAUAAACCAUCGAGAAGUUGGAAUACAGUAGGUAUAACACCCAUACAAAUAAUUAAUGAGUUAAUUACAUUACCUUGAAGUGGUCUUUUGUUUUCUUUCGCUAACGGAGCUCACGAGAUUUUCUACUUUAAGUUUUGUGUUGUGAAGUUUUCAAGUUUUGGGUAAAGAUUUGAUGGAUUAUGGAACAAGGAGUGGCAAGAUACUAAGCUUGGGGAUGCCCAUGGAACCCCCAAGAUAAUCUAAGGACACCUAAAAGCCAAAGCUUGGGGAUGCCCCGGAAGGCAUCCCCUCUUUCGUCUACUUCUAUCGGUAACUUUACUUGGAGCUAUAUUUUUAUUUACCACAUGAUAUGUGUUUUGCUUGGAGCGUCUUGUAUUAUUUGAGUCUUUGCUUAUUAUUUUACCACAAUCAUCCUUGCUGUACACACCUUUUGAGAGAGCCAUAUAUGAUUUGGAAUUUGUUAGAAUACUCUAUGUGCUUCGCUUAUAUCUUUUGAGUUAUAUAAUUUUACUCUGGUGCUUCACUUAUAUCUUUUAGAGCACGGUGGUGGAUUUGUUUUAUAGAAACUAUUGAUCUCUCAUGCUUCACUUAGAUUAUUUUGAGAGUCUUAAAUAGCAUGGUAAUUUGCUUAAAAUCCUAAUAUGCUUGGUAUGCAAGAUUAAUAAUAAAAAUUCUCUUAUGAGUGUGUUGAAUACUAUGAUAAGUUUGAUACUUGAUAAUUGUUUUGAGACAUGGAGAUGGUGAUAUUAAAGUCAUGCUAGUUGAGUAGUUGUGAAUUUGAGAAAUACUUGUGUUGAAGCUUGUGAUUCCCGUAGCAUGCACGUAUGGUGAACCGUUAUGUGAUGAAGUCGGAGCAUUAUGAGUGGCGGUCGGGGACGAGCGAUGGUCUUUUCCUACCAAUCUAUCCCCCUAGGAGCAUGCGCGUAAUACUUUGCUUUGAUAACCUGUAGAUUUUUGCAAUAAGUAUAUGAGUUCUUUAUGACUAAUGUUGAGUCCAUGGAUUAUACGCACUCUCACCCUUCCACCUUUGCUAGCCUCUCUAAUACCGUGCACCUUUCGCCGGUAUCAUACACCUACCAUAUACCUUCCUCAAAACAGCCACCAUACCUACCUAUUAUGGCAUUUCCAUAGCCAUUCCGAGAUAUAUUGCCAUGCAACUUUCCACUGUUCCGUUUAUGACACAUUCCAUCAUUGUCAUAUUGCUUAGCAUGAUCAUGUAGUUGACAUAGUAUUCAUGGCAAAGCCACCGUUCAUAAUUCUUUCUUGUCACUCAUGCAUCAUUGCAUAUCCCGGUACACCGCCGGAGGCAUUCAUAUAGAGUCAUAUCUUGUUCUAAGUAUCGAGUUGUAAUUAUUGAGUUGUAAGAAAAAUAAAAGUGCGAUGAUCCUAAUUAUUAGAGCAUUGUCCCAAGUGAGGAAAGGAUGAUGUAGACUAUGAUUCCCCCACAAGUCGGGAUGAGACUCCGGACGAAAAAAAAGAGAAAGAAAAGAGGCCAUAAAAAAAGAGAAAAGGCCCAAAUCAAAAAAAAUGAGAGAAAAAGAGAGAAGGGACAUUGUUACUAUCCUUUUACCACACUUGUGCUUCAAAGUAGCACCAUGAUCUUCAUAGUAGAGAGUCUCUCAUGUUAUCACUUUCAUAUACUAGUGGGAAUUUUUCAUUAUAGAACUUGGCUUGUAUAUUCCAAUGAUGGGCUUCCUCAAAAUUGCCCUAGGUCUUCAUGAGCAAGCAAGUUGGAUGCACACCCACUUAGUUUCUUUUUGAGCUUUCAUAUACUUAUAGGUCUAGGGCAUCCGUUGCAUGGCAAUCCCUACUCACUCACAUUAAUAUCUAUUGAUCGACAUCUCCAUAGCCCGUUGAUACGCCUAGUUGAUGUGGGACUACCCCUUUUUGUCUUCUCCACAACCACCACUCUAUUCCACCUAUAGUGAUAUAUCCAUGGCUCACGCUCAUGUAUUGCGUGAAGAUUGAAAAAGUUUUGAGAAUGUCAAAAGUAUGAAACAAUUGCUUGGCUUGUCAUCGGAGUUGUGCAUGAUUUAAAUAUUUUGUGUGGUGAAGAUAGAGCAUAGCCAGACUAUAUGAUUUUGUAGAACUUUCUUUAGCCAUGUUAUUUUGAGAAGACAUAAUUGCUUUGUUAGUAUGCUUGAAGUAUUAUUAUUUUCUAUGUCAAUACGAACUUUUGUCUUGAAUCUUUUGGAUCUAAAUAUUCAUACCACAAUUAAGAAGAAUUACAUUAAAAUUAUGCCAAGUAGCAGUCCGCAUCAAAAAUUCUGUUUUUAUCAUUUACCUACUCGAGGACGAGCAGGAAUUAAGCUUGGGGAUGCUUGAUACGUCUCCAACGUAUCUAUAAUUUUUGAUUGCUCCAUGCUAUAUUAUCUACUAUUUUGGACAUUAUUGGGCUUUAUUAUCCACUUUUAUAUUAUUUUUGGGACUAACCUAUUAACCGGAGGCCCAACCCAGAAUUGAUGUUUUUUGCCUAUUUUAGGGUUUCGAAGAAAAGGAAUAUCAAACAGAGUCCAAAUGGAAUGAAACCUUCGGGAACAUGAUUUUCUCGCCGAAUACAACUCAGGAGACUUGGACCCUACAUCAAGCCAACUAACAGGAGGCCACGAGGUAGGGGUGUUGGAAAUAUGCCCUAGAGGCAAUAAUAAAUUGAUUAUUAUUAUAUUUCCUUGUUCAUGAUAAUCGUUUAUUAUCCAUUCUAGAAUUGUAUUGAUAGGAAACUCAGAUACAUGUGUGGAUACAUAGACAACACCAUGUCCCUAGUAAGCCUCUAGUUGACUAGCUCGUUGAUCAAUAGAUGGUUACGGUUUCCUGACCAUGGACAUUGGAUGUCGUUGAUAACGGGAUCACAUCAUUAGGAGAAUUAUGUGAUGGACAAGACCCAAUCCUAAGCCUAGCACAAAGAUCGUGUAGUUCGUAUGCUAAAGCUUUUCUAAAUGUCAAGUAUCAUUUCCUUAGACCAUGAGAUUGUGCAAAUCCCGGAUACCGUAGGAAUACUUUGGGUGUGCCAAACGUCACAACGUAACUGGGUGGCUAUAAAGGUACACUACGGGUAUCUCCGAAAGUGUCUGUUGGGUUGGCACGAAUCGAGACUGGGAUUUGUCACUCCGUGUGACGGAGAGGUAUCUCUGGGCCCACUCGGUAGGACAUCAUCAUAAUGUGCACAAUGUGAUCAAGGAGUUGAUCACGGGAUGAUGUGUUACGGAACGAGUAAAGAGACUUGCCGGUAACGAGAUUGAACAAGGUAUCGGGAUACCGACGAUCGAAUCUCGGGCAAGUAUCGUACCGAUAGACAAAGUAAUUGCAUACGGGAUUGAUUAAAGUCCUUGACAUCGUGGUUCAUUCAAUGAGAUCAUCGUGGAGCAUGUGGGAGCCAACAUGGGUAUCCAGAUCCCGCUGUUGGUUAUUGACCGGAGAACGUCUCGGUCAUGUCUGCAUGGUUCCCGAACCCGUAGGGUCUACACGCUUAAGGUUCGGUGAUGCUAGGGUUAUAGAGAUAUUAGUAUGCGGUAACCCGAAAGUUGUUCGGAGUCCCGGAUGAGAUCCCGGAUGUCACGAGGAGUUCCGGAAUGGUCCGGAGGUAAAGAAUUAUAUAUAGGAAGUGCUAUUUCGGCCAUCGGGACAAGUUUCGGGGUCACCGGUAUUGUACCGGGACCACCGGAAGGGUCCCGGGGGUCCACCGGGUGGGGCCACCUGCCCCGGGGGCCACAUGGGCUGUAGGGGUGUGCGCCUUGGCCUAUAUGGGCCAAGGGCACAAGCCCCAAGAGGCCCAUGCGCCAAGAGAUAAGGAAAGGAAGAGUCCUAAAGGGGGAAGUCACCUCCUAGGUGCUUUGGGGAGGAGGGACUCCUCCCUAGCCGCACCCUUCCUUGGAGGAAGGGACAAGGCUGCGCCCCCCUCUCCCUUGGCCCUAUAUAUAGUGGGGGGAAGGGAGGGUAGCCCCAUCUAAGCCCUGGCGCCUCCCUCUCCCUCCCGUGACACAUCUCCCUCCUCCCGCAGCGCUUGGCGAAGCCCUGUUGGAAUCCUGCUACUUCCACCACCACGCUGUCGUGCUGCUGGAUCUCCAUCAACCUCUCCUUCCCCCUUGCUGGAUCAAGAAGGAGGAGACGUCGCUGCUCCGUAUGUGUGUUGAACGCGGAGGUGCCGUUCGUUCGGCGCUAGGAUCAUCGGUGACUUGGAUCACGACGAGUACGACUCCUUCAACCCCGUUCUCUUGAACGCUUCCGCAUAGCGAUCUACAAGGGUAUGUAGAUGCACUCUCCUUCCCCUCGUUGCUAGUCUCUCCAUAGAUAGAUCUUGGUGACACGUAGGAAAUUUUUUGAAUUUCUGCUACGUUCCCCAACAGUGGCAUCAUGAGCUAGGUCUAUUGCGUAGAUUCUAUGCACGAGUAGAACACAAAGUAGUUGUGGGCGUUGAUUUUGUUUAAUAUGCUUACCGUUACUAGUCCAAUCUUGAUUCGGCGGCAUUGUGGUAUGAAGCGGCCCGGACCAACCUUACACGUACGCUUACGUGAGACCGGUUCCACCAACUAACAUGCACUAGUUGCAUAAGGUGGCUGGCGGGUGUCUGUCUCUCCCACUUUAGUCGGAUCGGAUUCGAUCAAAAGGGUCCUUAUGAUGGGUAAAUAGCAAUUGGCAUAUCACGUUGUGGUCUUUGCGUAGGUAAGAAACGUUCUUGCUAGAAACCCAUAGCAUCCACGUAAAACAUGCAAACAACAAUUAGAGGAUGUCUAACUUGUUUUUUCAGGGUAUGCUAUGUGAUGUGAUAUGGCCAAAGGAUGUGAUGAAUGAUAUAUGUGAUGUAUGAGAUGAUCAUGUUCUUGUAAUAGGAAUCACGACUUGCAUGUCGAUGAGUAUGACAACCGGCAGGAGCCAUAGGAGUUGUCUUUAUUUAUUUAUGACCUGCGUGUCAACAUAAACGUCAUGUAAUUACUUUACUUUAUUGCUAACCGUUAGCCAUAGUAGUAGAAGUAAUAGUUGGCGAGACAACUUCAUGAAGACACGAUGAUGGAGAUCAUGAUGAUGGAGAUCAUGGUGUCAUGCCGGUGACGAUGAUGAUCAUGAAGGAAAUAUGCCCUAGAGGCAAUAAUAAAGUUAUUAUUUAUUUCCUUAUAUCAUGAUAAAUGUUUAUUAUUCAUGCUAGAAUUGUAUUAACCAGAAACAUAAUACAUGUGUGAAUACAUAGACAAACAGAGUGUCACUAGUAUGCCUCUACUAGACUAGCUCGUUAAUCAAAGAUGGUUAUGUUUCCUAACCAUAGACAAAGGAGUUGUUAUUUGAUUAACGAGGUCACAUCAUUAGUUGAAUGAUCUGAUUGACAUGACCCAUUCCAUUAGCUUAGCACCUGAUCGUUUAGUAUGUUGCUAUUGCUUUCUUCAUGACUUAUACAUGUUCCUAUGACUAUGAGAUUAUGCAACUCCCGUUUGCCGGAGGAACACUUUGGGUGCUACCAAACGUCACAACGUAACUGGGUGAUUAUAAAGGAGCAUUACAGGUGUCUCCAAAGAUAGAUGUUGGGUUGGCGUAUUUCGAGAUUAGGAUUUGUCACUCCGAUUGUCGGAGAGGUAUCUCUGGGUCCUCUCGGUAAUACACAUCACAUAAGCCUUGCAAGCAUUACAACUAAUAUGUUAGUUGCGAGAUGAUGUAUUACGGAACGAGUAAAGAGACUUGCCGGUAACGAGAUUGAACUAGGUAUUGGAUACCGACGAUCGAAUCUCGGGCAAGUAACAUACCGAUGACAAAGGGAACAACGUAUGUUGUUAUGCGGUCUGACCGAUAAAGAUCUUCGUAGAAUAUGUAGGAGCCAAUAUGGGCAUCCAGGUCCCGCUACUGGUUAUUGACCGGAGACGUGUCUCGGUCAUGUCUACAUUGUUCUCGAACCCGUAGGGUCCGCACGCUUAAGGUUACGAUGACAGUUACAUUAUGAGUUUAUGCAUUUUGAUGUACCGAAGGUUGUUCGGAGUCCCGGAUGUGAUCACGGACAUGACGAGGAGUCUCGAAAUGGUCUAGACGUAAAUAUUGAUAUAUUGGAAGCCUAUGUUUGGACAUCGGAAGUGUUCCGGGUGAAAUCGGGAUUUUACUGGGUUACCGGGAGGUUACCGGAACCCCCCGGGAGCCAUAUGGGCCUUCAUGGGCCUUAGUGGAAAGGAGAAAGGGGCAGCCCAAGGUGGCUGCGCCACUUCCCCCUCCCGUAGUCCUAUUAGGACUAGGAGAAGGUGGCCGACCCCCCUCUCCCUCUUUCCCCCUUUGGGGAAUCCUAGUUGGAAUAGGAUUGGGGGGGAGUCCUACUCCCGGAAGGAGUAGGACUCCUCCUGCGCCCUCCUCCUUGGUCGGCGCCCCCUCCCCCCUUGGCUCCUUUAUAUACUGAGGUAGAGGCACCCCAAAGUGACACAAGUUGAUCCACGUGAUCUAUUCCUUAGCCGUGUGCGAUUCCCCCUGCCACCAUAUUCCUCGAUAAUACUGUAGCGGAGUUUAGGCGAAGCCCUGCUGCUGUAGUACAUCAAGAUCGUCACCAUGCCGUCAUGCUGACGGAACUCUUCCCCGACACUUUGCUGGAUCGGAGUCCGGGGAUCGUCAUCGAGCUGAACGUGUGCUUGAACUCGGAGGUGCCGUAGUUUCGGUGCUUGAUCGGUUGGAUCGUGAAGACGUACGACUACUUCCUCUACGUCGUGUCAGCGCUUCCGCAGUCGGUCUGCGUUGGGUUCGUAGACAACACUCUCCCAUAUCAUUGCUAUGCAUCACAUGAUCUUGCGUGUGCGUAGGAAUUUUUUUGAAAUUACUACGAAACCCAACAGUGGCAUCCGAGCCUAGGUUAUUUAUGUUGAUGUUAUUUGCACGAGUAGAACACAAGUGAGUUGUGGACGAUACAAGUCAUACUGCCUACCAGCAUGUCAUACUUUGGUUCGGCGGUAUUGUUGGACGAGACGACCCGGACCAACCUUACGCGUACGCUUACGCGAGACCGGUUCCCUCGACGUGCUUUGCACAUAGAUGGCUUGCGGGCGACUAUCUCUCCAACUUUAGUUGAACCGAGUAUGGCUACGCCCGGUCCUUACGAAGGUUAAAACGGAGUCUAUUUGACAAACUAUCGUUGUGGUUUUGAUGCGUAGGUGAGAUUGGUUCUUACUUAAGCCCGUAGCAGCCACGUAAAACAUGCAACAACAAAGUAGAGGACGUCUAACUUGUUUUUGCAGGGCAUGUUGUGAUGUGAUAUGGUCAAGGCAUGAUGCUGAAUUUUAUUGUAUGAGAUGAUCAUGUUUUGUAAUCGAGUUAUCGGCAACUGGCAGGAGCCAUAUGGUUGUCGCUUUAUUGUAUGCAAUGCAAUCGCGAUGUAAUGCUUUACUUUAUUACUAAACGGUAGUGAUAGUCGUGGAAGCAUAAGAUUGGCGAGACGACAACGAUGCUACGAUGGAGAUCAAGGUGUCGCGCCGAUGACGAUGGUGAUCAUGACGGUGCUUCGGAGAUGGAGAUCACAAGCACAAGAUGAUGAUGGCCAUAUCAUAUCACUUAAAUUGAUUGCAUGUGAUGUUUAUCCUUUUAUGCAUCUUAUCUUGCUUUGAUUGACGGUAGCAUUAUAAGAUGAUCUCUCACUAAAUUAUCAAGAAGUGUUCUCCCUGAGUAUGCACCGUUGCCAAAGUUCGUCGUGCCCAGACACCACGUGAUGAUCGGGUGUGAUAAGCUCUACGUCCAUCUACAAUGGGUGCAAGCCAGUUUUUGCACACGCAGAAUACUCAGGUUAAACUUGACGAGCCUAGCAUAUGCAGAUAUGGCCUCGGAACACGGAGACCGAAAGGUCGAGCGUGAAUCAUAUAGUAGAUAUGAUCAACAUAACGAUGUUCACCAUUGAAAACUACUCCAUCUCAUGUGAUGAUCGGUCAUGGUUUAGUUGAUUUGGAUCACGUAAUCACUUAGAAGAUUAGAGGGAUGUCUAUCUAAGUGGGAGUUCUUAAGUAAUAUGAUUAAUUGAACUUAAAUUUAUCAUGAACUUAGUACCUGAUAGUAUCUUGCUUGUUUAUGUUGAUUGUAGAUAGAUGGCUUGUGCUGUUGUUCCGUUGAAUUUUAAUGCGUUCCUUGAGAAAGCAAAGUUGAAAGAUGAUGGUAGCAAUUACACGGACUGGGUCCGUAACUUGAGGAUUAUCCUCAUUGCUGCUCAGAAGAAUUACGUCCUGGAAGCACCGCUGGGUGCCAGGCCUGCUGCUGGAGCAACACCAGAUGUUAUGAACGUCUGGCAGAGCAAAGCUGAUGACUACUCGAUAGUUCAGUGUGCCAUGCUUUACGGCUUAGAAUCGGGACUUCAACGACGUUUUGAACGUCAUGGAGCAUAUGAGAUGUUCCAGGAGUUGAAGUUAAUAUUUCAAGCAAAUGCCCGAAUUGAGAGAUAUGAAGUCUCCAAUAAGUUCUAUAGCUGCAAGAUGGAGGAGAACAGUUCUGUUAGUGAGCAUAUACUCAAAUGUCUGGGUAUAAUAAUCACUUGAUUCAAUUGGGAGUUAAUCUUCCGGAUGAUUGCGUCAUUGACAGAAUUCUCCAAUCACUGCCACCAAGCUACAAAAGCUUCGUGAUGAACUAUAAUAUGCAAGGGAUGAACAAGACUAUUCUCGAGCUCUUCGCAAUGCUGAAAGCUGCGGAGGUAGAAAUCAAGAAGGAGCAUCAAGUGUUGAUGGUUAACAAGACCACUAGUUUCAAGAAAAAGGGCAAAGGGAAGAAGAAGGGGAACUUCAAGAAGAAUGGCAAGCAAGUUGCUGCUCAAGAGAAGAAACCCAAGUCUGGACCUAAGCCUGAAACUGAGUGCUUCUACUGCAAGCAGACUGGUCACUGGAAGCGGAUCUGCCCCAAGUAUUUGGCGGAUAAGAAGGAUGGCAAGGUGAACAAAGGUAUAUGUGAUAUACAUGUUAUUGAUGUGUACCUUACUAGAGCUCGCAGUAGUACCUGGGUAUUUGAUACUGGUUCUGUUGCUAAUAUUUGCAACUCGAAACAGGGACUACGGGUUAAGCGGGCACUGGCAAAGGACGAGGUGACGAUGCGCGUGGGAAACGGUUUCAAAGUCGAUGUGAUCGCAGUCGGCACGCUACCUCUACAUCUACCUUCGGGAUUAAUAUUAGACCUAAAUAAUUGUUAUUUGGUGCCAGCGUUGAGCAUGAACAUUAUAUCUGGAUCUUGUUUAAUGCGAGAAGGUUAUUCAUUUAAAUCAGAGAAUAAUGGUUGUUCUAUUUAUAUGAGUAAUAUCUUUUAUGGUCAUGCACCCUUGAAGAGUGGUCUAUUCUUAUUGAAUCUCGAUAGUAGUAAUACACAUAUUCAUAAUGUUGAAGCCAAAAGAUGCAGAGUUGAUAAUGAAAGUGCAACUUAUUUGUGGCACUGUCGUUUAGGUCAUAUCAGUAUAAAGCGCAUGAAGAAACUCCAUACUGAUGGACUUUUGGAACCACUUGAUUAUGAAUCACUUGGUACUUGCGAACCGUGCCUCAUGGGCAAGAUGACUAAAACACCGUUCUCCGGUACUAUGGAGAGAGCAACAGAUUUGUUGGAAAUCAUACAUACCGAUGUAUGUGGUCCGAUGAAUAUUGAGGCUCGUGGCGGAUAUCGUUAUUUUCUCACCUUCACAGAUGAUUUAAGCAGAUAUGGAUAUAUCUACUUAAUGAAACAUAAGUCUGAAACAUUUGAAAAGUUCAAAGAAUUUCAGAGUGAAGUUGAAAAUCAUCGUAACAAGAAAAUAAAGUUUCUAUGAUCUGAUCGUGGAGGAGAAUAUUUGAGUUACGAGUUUGGUGUACAUUUGAAAAACUGUGGAAUAGUUUAGCAACUCACGCCACCCGGAACACCACAGCGUAAUGGUGUGUCCGAAUGUCGUAAUCGUACUUUACUAGAUAUGGUGCGAUCUAUGAUGUCUCUUACUGAUUUACCGCUAUCGUUUUGGGGUUAUGCUCUAGAGACGGCCGCAUUCACGUUAAACAGGGCACCAUCAAAAUCCGUUGAGACGACGCCUUAUGAACUGUGGUUUGGCAAGAAACCAAAGUUGUCGUUUCUUAAAAUUUGGGGCUGCGAUGCUUAUGUGAAAAAGCUUCAACCUGAUAAGCUCGAACCCAAAUCGGAGAAAUGUGUCUUCAUAGGAUACCCAAAGGAAACUGUUGGGUACACCUUCUAUCACAGAUCCGAAGGCAAGACAUUCGUUGCUAAGAAUGGAUCCUUUCUAGAGAAGGAGUUUCUCUCGAAAGAAGUGAGUGGGAGGAAAGUAGAACUUGACGAGGUAACUGUACCUGCUCCCUUACUGGAAAGUAGUUCAUCACAGAAAACUGUUUCAGUGACACCUACACCAGUUAGUGAGGAAGCCAAUGAUAAUGAUCAUGAAACUUCAGAUCAAGAUACUACUGAACCUCGUAGAUCAACCAGAGUAAGAUCCGCACCAGAGUGGUACGGUAAUCCUGUUCUGGAAGUCAUGCUACUAGAUCAUGAUGAACCUACGAACUAUGAAGAAGCGAUGGUGAGCCCAGAUUCCGCAAAGUGGCUUGAAGCCAUGAAAUCUGAGAUGGGAUCCAUGUAUGAGAACAAAGUAUGGACUUUGGUUGACUUGCCCGAUGAUCGGCAAGCAAUUGAGAAUAAAUGGAUCUUUAAGAAGAAGACUGACGCUGAUGGUAAUGUUACUGUCUACAAAGCUCGACUUGUCGCAAAAGGUUUUCGGCAAGUUCAAGGGAUUGACUACGAUGAGACCUUCUCACCCGUAGCGAUGCUUAAGUCCGUCCGAAUCAUGUUAGCGAUUGCCGCAUUUUAUGAUUAUGAAAUUUGGCAGAUGGAUGUCAAAACUGCAUUCCUGAAUGGAUUUCUGGAAGAGGAGUUGUAUAUGAUGCAACUGGAAGGUUUUGUCGAUCCAAAGGGAGCUAACAAAGUGUGCAAGCUCCAGCGAUCCAUUUAUGGACUGGUGCAAGCCUCUCGGAGUUGGAAUAAACGUUUUGAUAGUGUGAUCAAAGCAUUUGGUUUUAUACAGACUUUCGGAGAAGCCUGUAUUUACAAGAAAGUGAGUGGGAGCUCUGUAGCAUUUCUAAUAUUAUAUGUGGAUGACAUAUUGAUGAUUGGAAAUGAUAUAGAAUUUCUGGAUAGCAUAAAGGGAUACUUGAAUAAUAGUUUUUCAAUGAAAGACCUCGGUGAAGCUGCUUACAUAUUAGGCAUUAAGAUCUAUAGAGAUAGAUCAAGACGCUUAAUUGGACUUUCACAAAGCACAUACCUUGACAAAAUUUUGAAGAAGUUCAAAAUGGAUCAAGCAAAGAAAGGGUUCUUGCCUGUGUUACAAGGUGUGAAGUUGAGUAAGACUCAAUGCCCGACCACUGCAGAAGGUAGAGAGAAUAUGAAAGAUGUUCCCUAUGCAUCAGCCAUAGGAUCUAUCAUGUAUGCAAUGCUGUGUACCAGACCUGAUGUGUGCCUUGCUAUAAGUUUAGCAGGGAGGUACCAAAGUAAUCCAGGAGUGGAUCACUGGACAGCGGUCAAGAACAUUCUGAAAUACCUGAAAAGGACUAAGGAUAUGUUUCUCGUAUAUGGAGGUGACAAAGAGCUCACCGUAAAAGGUUACGUUGAUGCAAGCUUUGACACUAAUCCGGACGAUUCUAAAUCGCAAACCGGAUACGUGUUUACAUUAAACGGUGGAGCUCUCAGUUGGUGCAGUUCUAAACAAAGCGUCGUAGCAGGAUCUACAUGUGAAGCGGAGUACAUAGCUGCUUCGGAAGCAGCGAACGAAGGAGUCUGGAUGAAGGAGUUCAUAUCCGAUCUAGGUGUUAUACCUAAUGCAUCGGGUCCAAUGAAAAUCUUUUGUGACAAUACUGGUGCAAUUGCCUUGGCAAAGGAAUCCAGAUUUCACAAAAGGACCAAACACAUCAAGAGACGCUUCAACUCCAUCCGGGAUCUAGUCCAGGUGGGAGACAUAGAGAUUUGCAAGAUACAUACGGAUCUGAAUGUUGCAGACCCGUUGACUAAGCCUCUUCCACGAGCAAAACAUGAUCAGCACCAAAGCUCCAUGGGUGUUAGAAUCAUUAUAGUGUAAUCUAGAUUAUUGACUCUAGUGCAAGUGGGAGACUGAAGGAAAUAUGCCCUAGAGGCAAUAAUAAAGUUAUUAUUUAUUUCCUUAUAUCAUGAUAAAUGUUUAUUAUUCAUGCUAGAAUUGUAUUAACCAGAAACAUAAUACAUGUGUGAAUACAUAGACAAACAGAGUGUCACUAGUAUGCCUCUACUAGACUAGCUCGUUAAUCAAAGAUGGUUAUGUUUCCUAACCAUAGACAAAGGAGUUGUUAUUUGAUUAACGAGGUCACAUCAUUAGUUGAAUGAUCUGAUUGACAUGACCCAUUCCAUUAGCUUAGCACCUGAUCGUUUAGUAUGUUGCUAUUGCUUUCUUCAUGACUUAUACAUGUUCCUAUGACUAUGAGAUUAUGCAACUCCCGUUUGCCGGAGGAACACUUUGGGUGCUACCAAAUGUCACAACAUAACUGGGUGAUUAUAAAGGAGCAUUACAGGUGUCUCCAAAGAUAGAUGUUGGGUUGGCGUAUUUCGAGAUUAGGAUUUGUCACUCCGAUUGUCGGAGAGGUAUCUCUGGGCCCUCUCGGUAAUACACAUCACAUAAGCCUUGCAAGCAUUACAACUAAUAUGUUAGUUGCGAGAUGAUGUAUUACGGAACGAGUAAAGAGACUUUCCGGUAACGAGAUUGAACUAGGUAUUGGAUACCGACGAUCGAAUCUCGGGCAAGUAACAUACCGAUGACAAAGGGAACAACGUAUGUUGUUAUGCGGUCUGACCGAUAAAGAUCUUCGUAGAAUAUGUAGGAGCCAAUAUGGGCAUCCAGGUCCCGCUAUUGGUUAUUGACCGGAGACGUGUCUCAGUCAUGUCUACAUUGUUCUCGAACCCGUAGGGUCCGCACGCUUAAGGUUACGAUGACAGUUACAUUAUGAGUUUAUGCAUUUUGAUCUACCGAAGGUUUAUCAGAGUCCCGGAUGUGAUCACGGACAUGACGAGGAGUCUCUAAAUGGUCGAGACGUAAAUAUUGAUAUAUUGGAAGCCUAUGUUUGGACAUCGAAAGUGUUCCGGGUGAAAUCGGGAUUUUACCGGGUUACCGGGAGGUUACCGGAACCCCCCGGGAGCCAUAUGGGCCUUCAUGGGCCUUAGUGGCUGCGCCACUUCCCCCUCCCCUAGUCCUAUUAGGACUAGGAGAAGGUGGCCGGCCCCCCUCUCCCUCUUUCCCCCUUUGGGGAAUCCUAGUUGGAAUAGGAUUGGGGGGGAGUCCUACUCCCGGAAGGAGUAGGACUCCUCCUGCGCCCUCCUCCUUGGCCGGCGCCCCCUCCCCCCUUGGCUCCUUUAUAUACUGAGGUAGAGGCACCCCAAAGAGACACAAGUUGAUCCACGUGAUCUAUUCCUUAGCCGUGUGCGGUGCCCCUGCCACCAUAUUCCUCGAUAAUACUGUAGCGGAGUUUAGGCGAAGCCCUGCUGCUGUAGUACAUCAAGAUCGUCACCAUGCCAUCGUGCUGACGGAACUCUUCCCCGACACUUUGCUGGAUCGGAGUCCGGGGAUCGUCAUCGAGCUGAACGUGUGCUCGAACUCGGAGGUGCCGUAGUUUCGGUGCUUGAUCGGUUGGAUCGUGAAGACGUACGACUACUUCCUCUAUGUCGUGUCAGCGCUUCCGCAGUCGGUCUGCGUUGGGUACGUAGACAACACUCUCCCAUCUCGUUGCUAUGCAUCACAUGAUCUUGCGUGUGCGUAGGAAAUUUUUUGAAAUUACUACGAAACCCAACAGAUCAUGGAGCCCCGAAGAUGGAGAUCAAGAGGAGCAAAGUGAUGAUGGCCAUAUCAUGUCACUAUUUGAUUGCAUGUGAUGUUUAUCAUGCUUUUGCAUCUUGUUUACUUAGAAGACGGUAGUAAAUAAGAUGAUCCCUCAUAAUAAUUUCAAGAAAGUGUUCCCCCUAACUGUGCACCGUUGUGACAGUUCGUUGUUUCGAAGCACCACGUGAUGAUCGGGUGUGAUAGAUUCUAACGUUCACAUACAACGGGUGUAAGACAGAUUUACACACGCGAAACACUUAGGUUGACUUGAUGAGCCUAGCAUGUGUAUAGACAUGGCCUCGGAACACAGAAGACCGAAAGGUCGAGCAUGAGUCGUAUGGUAGAUACGAUCAUCAUGAAGAUGUUCACCGAUGUUGACUAGUCCAUCUCACGUGAUGAUCGGACAUGGCCUAGUUGACUCGGAUCAUGUAAUCACUUAGAUGACUGGAUGGAUGUCUAUCUGAGUGGGAGUUCAUAAGAUGAACUUGUUUAUCCUGAACUUAGUCAAAAAGGAUUUUGUAAAUUAUGUCGUAGCUCGCGCUUUAGUUCUACUAUUUAGAUAUGUUCCUAGAGAAAAAAUAGUUAAAAGUUGAUAGUAGCAAUUAUGCGGACUAGGUCCGUAAACUGAGGAUUGUCCUCAUUGCUUCUUAGAAGGCUUAUGUCCUUAAUGCACCGCUCAGUGUGCUGAACCUCGAAAGUUGUCUGUGGAUGUUGCGAACAUCUGACAUACACGUUCUGAUAACUACAUGAUAGUUCAGUUAAACGGUUUAGAGUUGAGGCACCGAAGACGGUUUUUGAAACGUCACGAAACAUAUGAGAUGUUUCGAGGGCUGAAAUUGGAAUUUCAGGCUCGUGCCCACGUCAAGAGGUAUAAGGCCUCCGACGAUUUUCUUAGCCUGCAAACUAAGGGAGAAAAGCUCAAUUGUUGAGCUUGUGCUCAGAUUGUCUGAGUAUAACAAUCAUUUGAAUCGAGUGGGAGUUGAUCUUCCAGAUAAGAUAGUGAUGUUUCUCCGAAGUCAUUACCACCAAGCUGCUAGAGCUUCGUGAUGAACUAUAAUAUAUCAGGGACAUAUAUGAUGAUCCUUGAGAUAUUCGUGAUGUUUGACACCAAAGUAGAAAUCAAGAAGGAGCAUCAAUUGUUGAUGGUUGGUGAAACAUCUAGUUUCAAGAAGGGCAAGGGCAAGAAGGGAUACUUCAUGAAACGGCAAUUCAGCUGCUGCUCUAGUGAAGAGACCCAAGGUUGAACCCAAACCCGAGACUAAGUGCUUCUGUAAUAAGGGGAACAACCACUGGAGCAGAAUUACCCUAGAUACUUGGUAGAUUAGAAGGCUGGCAAGGUCAAUAGAAGUAUAUUGGAUAUACAUUGUGUUGAUGUGUACUUUACUAGUACUCCUAGUAGCACUAGGGCAUUGGAUACCGGUUCGGUUGCUAAGUGUUAGUAACUCGAAAUAAAAGCUAUGGAAUAAACGGAGACUAGCUAAAGGUGAGAUGACGAUAUGUGUUGGAAGUAUUUCCAAGGUUGAUCAAAUAUCGUACGCUCCCUCUACCAUCGAGAUUGGUGUUUGCGUUGAGCAUAGACAUGAUUGGAUUAUGUCUAUCGCAAUACGGUUAUUCAUUUAAGGAGAAUAAUGGUUACUCUGUUUAUUUGAAUAAUACCUUCAAUGGCCUUACACCUAAAAUGAAUGGUUUAUUGAAUCUCGAUCGUAGUGAUACACAUGUUCAUGCCAAAAGAUAGUAAUGAUAGUACCACCUACUUGUGGCACUGCCACGUAAGUCAUAUCGGUAUAAAACGCAUGAAGAAGCUCCAUGUUGAUGGAUCUUUGGGCUCACUCGUUUUUGAAAGGUUUGAGACAUGCGAACCAUGUCUAUUGGUGUAUAUGCAUGAAGAAACUCCAUGCAAAUGGACCGUUUGGACUCACUUGAUUUUGAAUCACUUGAGACAUGCAAAUCAUACCACAUGGGCAAGAUGACUGAAAGCCUCGGUUUCAGUAAAAUGGAACUAGAAAGCAACCUGUUGGAAGUAAUACAUUUUGAUGUGUGCAGUCCAAUGAGUGCUGAGGCGUGUAGUGGAUAUCGUUAUGUUCUUACUUCAUAGAUGAUUUGAGUAGAUGUUGAGUAUAUUUACUUGAUGAAUCACGAGUCUGAAUUAUUGAAAGGUUCAAGUAAUUUCAGGGUGAAGUUGAAAGAUCGUCGUGACAAGAGGAUAAAAUAUCUAUGAUAUGAUCAUAGAGAUGAAUAUCUGAAUUACGAGUUUGGCACAGAAUUAAGACAUUGUGGAAAUUGUUUCACAACUGAUACAGCCUGGAACACCAUAGUGUGAUGGUGUGUCCGAACAUCAUAACUGCACCCUAUUGGAUAUGAUGCAUACCAUGAUGUCUCUUAUCGAAUUACCACGAUAGUUUAUGGGUUAGGCAUUAGAGACAACCGCAUUCACUUUUAAUAGGGCACCACGUAAUUCCGAUGAGAUGACACCGUAUGAACUAUGGUUUAGAGAAACCUAAGCUGUCAUUUCUUAAAAGUUUGGGGCUGUGACGCUUAUGCGAAAAAGUUUCAGGCUGAUAAGCUCGAACCCAAAGCGGAUAAAUGCAUCUUCAUAGGACACCCAAAAUAGUUGGGUAUACCUCCUGUCUCAGAACCGAAAGCAAUAAGGGAUUGUUUCUAGAAUCGGGUCCUUUCUCGAGGAAAAGUUUCUCUCGAAAGAAUUGAGUGGGAGGAUGGUGGAGACUUGAUGAGGUUAUUGAACCGUCACUACAACUAGUGUAUAGCAGGGCACAAAGAGUUGUUCCUGUGGCACCUACACCAAUUGAAGUGGAAGCUUAUGAUAGUGAUCAUGAGACUUCAGAUCAAGCCACUCCCAAACCUCAUAGGAUGACAAGGAUGCGUACUACUUUAGAGUGGUACGUAAUCCUGUCUUGGAAGUCAUGUUGCUAGACAACAAUGAACCUACAAGCUAUGGAGAAUCGAUGGUGGGCCUGGAUUCCAAUAAAUGGCUCAAGGCCAUAAAAUCCGAGAGAGGAUCCAUGUAUGAAAACAAAGUGUAGACUUUGGAAGAACUACUUGAUGGUCGUAAGGCUGUUGGGUACAUAUGGAUUUUAAAAGGAAGACGGACAAUGAUGGUAAGUAUCACCAUUAAGAAAGCUCAACUUGUCGUUAAGAUGGUUUCCGACAAGUUCAAGGAGUUGACUACGAUGAGACUUUUCAACCGUAGCGAUGCUAAGAGUCUGUUGGAAUUAUGUUAGCGAUUACUGCAUUAUUUAUGAAAUCUUGCAGAUAGGAUGUCAAAACAUUGUUUCCUCGACGAUUUUCUUGAGAAAAGGUUGUAUGUGAUACAAUUGGAAGGUUUUGUCAAUCCUGAAAGAUGCUAAUAAGUAUGCAAAGCUCCAGCGAUCCUUCUAAGGACUGGAGUAAGCAUCUCGGAGUUGGAAUGUAUGCUUUGAUGAAAUGAUCAAAGAUUUUGGGUGUAUACAAAGUUUAUGAGAAACUUGUAUUUCCAAAGAAGUGAGUGGGAGCACUAUAGAAUUUCUGACGAAUAUAUGUUGUUGACAUAUUGUUGAUCAGAAAUGAUGUAGAAUUUCUGGAAAGCAUAUAGGGUUAUUUGGAAAGCGUUUUUUCAAUGGAAAGCCUGGAUUAAGCUACUUGAACAUUGAGCAUCAAGAUCUAUAAGGAUAGAUCAAAACGCUUAAUGGUACUUUCAAAUGAGCACAUACCUUGACGUGAUCUUGAAGGUGUUCAAGAUGGAUCAGUCAAAGAAGGAGUUCUUGCCUGAGUUGUAAGGUAUGAAGUUAAGACUUAAAGCUCGACCACGGCAGAAUAGAGAGAAAGGACGAAGGUCGUCCCCUAUGCUUAAGACAUAGGCUCUACAGUAUGCUAUGCUGUGUACCGCACCUGAAGUGUGCCUUGCCAUGAGUCAGUCAAGGGGUACAAGAGUGAUCCAAGAAUGGAUCACAGGACAACGGUCAAAGUUAUCCUUAGUAACUAGUGGACUAAGGGAUUUUCUCGAUUAUGGAGGUGGUAAAAGAGUUCGUCGUAAAGGGUUACGCCGAUGCAAACUUUGACACUAAUCCAGAUUAUUCUGAGUAGUAAACUGGAUUCGUAUAGUAGAACAGUUAUUUGGAAUAGCUCCAAAUAGAGCGUGGUAGAUGCAUCUAGGAGAUGACAUAGAGAUUUCUAAAGCACACACGGAUCUGAAAGGUUCAGACCCGUUGACUAUAGCCUCUCUCACAAGCAUAACAUGAUCAAACCCAGAUCUCAUCGAGUGUUAAUCACAUGGUAAAUGUGAACUAGAUUAUUGACUCUAGUAAACUCUUUGGGUGUUAGUCAGAUGGGGAUGUGACCUUGAGUGUUAAUCACGUAUCGAUGUGAACUAGAUUAUUGACUCUAGUGCAAGUGGGAGACUGUUGGAAAUAUGCCCUAGAGGCAAUAAUAAAUUGAUUAUUAUUAUAUUUCCUUGUUCAUGAUAAUCGUUUAUUAUCCAUGCUAAUUGUAUUGAUAGGAAACUUAGAUACAUGUGUGGAUACAUAGACAACACCAUGUCCCUAGUAAGCCUCUAGUUGACUAGCUCGUUGAUCAAUAGAUGGUUACGGUUUCCUGACCAUGGACAUUGGAUGUCGUUGAUAACGGGAUCACAUCAUUAGGAGAAUGAUGUGAUGAACAAGACCCAAUCCUAAGCCUAGCACAAAGAUCGUGUAGUUCGUAUGCUAAAGCUUUUCUAAAUGUCAAGUAUCAUUUCCUUAGACCAUGAGAUUGUGCAACUCCCGGAUACCAUAGGAAUACUUUGGGUGUGCCAAAUGUCACAACGUAACUGGGUGGCUAUAAAGGUACACUACGGGUAUCUCCGAAAGUGUCUGUUGGGUUGGCAUGAAUCAAGACUGGGAUUUGUCACUCCGUGUGACGGAGAGGUAUCUCUGGGCCCACUCGGUAGGACAUCAUCAUAAUGUGCACAAUGUGAUCAAGGAGUUGAUCACGGGAUGAUGUGUUACGGAACGAGUAAAGAGACUUGCCGGUAAAGAGAUUGAACAAGGUAUAGGGAUACCGACGAUCGAAUCUCGGGCAAGUAUUGUACCGAUAGACAAAGGAAUUGCAUACGGGAUUGAUUAAAGUCCUUGACAUCGUGGUUCAUCCGAUGAGAUCAUCGUGGAGCAUGUGGGAGCCAACAUGGGUGUAACGCCCUCGAUGCGGCUAUAGCUCCCACGUGUCGAGGCACGACUUAGAGACAUAACCGCAUUGAAAGCAAUGUCGCAAGUUAGGCAAUCAUUACAACAUCCCAUGUAAUACAUAAUAAAAGGGGGAGAUACCAUAGUUGGCUUACACUCGCCACGUCACAUCAGAGUGCAUAAAUAACAUCCAUCAAACAAACACUCAUGGCCCGACUACGGCGCCAAAAUAGAAAAGAACCCAACAUGCGACAAGGUCCUGAAUCGAUCCCCAACUAGGCACCACUACUGAUCAUCGGGAAAGGAAACAUAAUAACGCUGAGAGUCCUCGUCGAACUCCCACUUGAGCUCGUACUCGUCACCUGGAGCGGAAUCACCUGGACCUGCAUCUGGAGUUGUAGUAUCUGUGAGCCACAGGGACUCAGCAAUCUCGCACCCUCGCGAUCAAAACUAUUUAAGCUCAUAGGAAUGGAUAAGGCAAAUAUAUGUGGAGCUGCAGCAAGCGACUAGCAUAUGCGGUGGCUAACUUAUACGCAAAAGAGAGCGAGAAGAGAAGGCGAAGCACGAGAGAGAAGCUAAAGGAACAUCCUGCGCACGCAUAACUCCAACACCGUGUCCACUUCCCGGACUCCGCCGAGAAGGGGCCAUCACGGUAACACACACGGUUGAUUCAUUUUAAUUAAGUUUAGUUCAAGUAAUCUACAACCGGACAUUAACAAAUUCCCAUCUGCCCAUAACCGCGGGCACGGCUUUCGAAAGUUCAAUCCCUGCAGGGGAGUCCCAACUUAGCCCAUGACAAGCUCUCACGGUCAACGAAGGAAUAGACCUCCACCCGAGACAUUCCGAUCAGACUCGGUAUCCCGGUACAACAAGACAUUUCGAUAGGGUAAAACUAAACCAGCAACACCGCCCGAAUGUGCCGACAAAUCCCGAUAGGAGCUGCACAUAUCUCUUUCUCAGGGCACACUCAGAUUGUCCUAGGUACGGGUAGGCCAGCCCAGAGUUGCCCCUGGUAGCCACCGGUAGCUGACAGGUGGACCAACACUCAGAGGAGCACUGGCCCGGGGGGGGGGGUAAAAUAACGAUGACCCUUGAGUCUGCAGAACCCAAGGGAAAGAAAAGGCUAGGUGGCAAAUGGUAAAACCAAUGUUGGGCAUUGCUGGAAGAGCUUUACUUAAGACGAACUGUCAAGGGGUUCCCAUAAUAGCCCAACCGUGUAAGGAACGCAAAAUCCGGGAACAUAACACCGAUAUGACGGAAACUAGGGCGGCAAGAGUGGAACAAAACACCAGGCAUAAGGCCGAGCCUUCCACCCUUUACCAAGUAUAUAGAUGCAUUAAUUAAGUAAGGUAUAUUGUGAUAUCCCAACAAGUAAAUAAAAGUUCCAACAAGGAACGGCUCCAAUCUUCCACCUGCAACUAACAACACUAUAAGAAGGGCUGAGCAAAGCGGUAACAUAGCCAAUCAACGGUUUGCUAGGACAAUGGUGGGUUAGGGGAUCACAUGGCAAUUGGGAGGCUGACAAGCAAAAGGUAGGCAUCGUAGCAGUGGCAAAGCAAAAGAGCGAGCAAACUAGCAUAGCAAAGAUAGUAGUGAUUUCGAGGGUAUGAUCAUCUUGCCUGCACAUUUGUCAGAGUUGACUGGAUCCUCGCAAGCAAACUCAACGGGCUCCUCGGUAGCGAACUCGUCUCCCGGCUCUACCCAACAAGACAAACAAGCAACAAGGAUACAAUCAACCACGGCAAGACCAAGCAAUAUGAUGAAAUGACGAUAUGCUAUGCGGGAUGCGAUGCGGGAUGCAAAAUGCAAGAUAUGACAGGAAAUGCAUGAACCUGGCAUCAACUUGGAAAACCAAGUGUGCCACUGGAUAGAGGGGAUGAAAUCGCUUGAAAACGAUAUAAAGAUCAUUGGAAUCGGAGCUACGGUUUGGAAAUGGCGAGCGUUUUAAGAUAUGACACCGGUAUGCGAUUUACAGCAAGUAGGCAUCUAAAUGCAACAAAAUGAACAUGCUACAACCACCAAACAUGAAAACAAAUACAUGGCAGUGAUGUACACAAGAUGGUUGACAAAACACUAGCACUGAGCCAUAGGCAAAUUCAUCCAUUAAGAGGUUCAAACAAGCAUGGCUAAAACGCAAAUGCAAAACAGAUUUCAGACUUAGUGAAAUUAACACUAGUCUGAAAUUUCAGAUCACGAUGCUCUCUUCGGAGCAGCAAAACAACAUGAUAGAAAACCUGAACAUGACAAGUAAUAACAUGGCAUGGAGCUACUCAACAAGCUUAAAAAAACACCCAAAGUGACCUGGGGCCAAAAGGGUUCACAAAAUACUCUACCGAGCUCACGAACAUAGCUCGAACACAAUCAGUUUUCAGACUUAGUGAAAACUGAGACACGCUGAAAUAUAACUCACGAAGGCAUGUAAACGAGCUCGAUGCACUCACUACGGUGCAAGUCAUGGCAAGGAAAGCAUAUAACCAGCAAGAAGGCACAAAGUGCUAGCUACACAUGGCAAGAACGAAGGCAUAGCAUGCAUGGAACACUAACGGUAGCAUCGGCAAAAUCGCAAACAAGUUGACGAUCUGCCCGGAUUAACAACGAAGCAAAAGUUGAGCUUGAUUGAGUCAACCUAGAGCACUCCGCAUAUGCAAACAAAGACAUGGAUGGAUAGAUCAUAACAUAAUUAUAAAAACUCCCUUACUGAUCAUCCUCAAAAGAGGCACGGAUCACUAGGAAACAAGCUGGACAUAUAGCAUCACGAACUAAAAUAUCCCAGACUUAGUGAAAAUCACUAAGUCUCUGAAAUCAGCAAUCUCAGGUACCUCUCUUUGCAAGCUUGCACAAGACAACACACACAUCCUAAAAAUGCAUGGGUGGCACCACUGGAAAGAAGACAAAAUGCUUAACAAUUCAUCCCAAAGGGGCACAGGCAUAUCAUGCACGAAUUAAACAUGGCAAAAAUGACAAAAGUGCAUGAUGAACUAACGGAUCUGCAAUUUAACUCACGAAGCCUCCUUCUAACAGCAUUUUGGGCAUCAAGAUGACCUCAAAUGCAAAUGAUGCAAUGGAAUGAAAUGAUGUACAUGUCGAGACGAAGAUUUUGAUAUAUCAUAUGCCCAAAACGGAGCUACGGUUACGGAGAUACGAGCAGUCAAAGUAGGCACAAAAAUCUAGGGUUAGAGGUAAAAAGUCAACCCGAGAUCCAGAUCUGGAUCCGGGGUACUGUUCACCUGCGCGUCUCCCGAGGAUGACCAGCGCCGGAGCUCAUCGGUGCCGGCCGGAGUGGGGGAAGAGGAGGCCGGGGUGAGGGAGAGGAGGUCGGGCGGCGCCGGAGGAGGAGGCGGCGACCGCGGGCGGCGGCGUCCGNNNNNNNNNNNNNNNNNNNNNNNNNNNNNNNNNNNNNNNNNNNNNNNNNNNNNNNNNNNNNNNNNNNNNNNNNNNNNNNNNNNNNNNNNNNNNNNNNNNNNNNNNNNNNNNNNNNNNNNNNNNNNNNNNNNNNNNNNNNNNNNNNNNNNNNNNNNNNNNNNNNNNNNNNNNNNNNNNNNNNNNNNNNNNNNNNNNNNNNNNNNNNNNNNNNNNNNNNNNNNNNNNNNNNNNNNNNNNNNNNNNNNNNNNNNNNNNNNNNNNNNNNNNNNNNNNNNNNNNNNNNNNNNNNNNNNNNNNNNNNNNNNNNNNNNNNNNNNNNNNNNNNNNNNNNNNNNNNNNNNNNNNNNNNNNNNNNNNNNNNNNNNNNNNNNNNNNNNNNNNNNNNNNNNNNNNNNNNNNNNNNNNNNNNNNNNNNNNNNNNNNNNNNNNNNNNNNNNNNNNNNNNNNNNNNNNNNNNNNNNNNNNNNNNNNNNNNNNNNNNNNNNNNNNNNNNNNNNNNNNNNNNNNNNNNNNNNNNNNNNNNNNNNNNNNNNNNNNNNNNNNNNNNNNNNNNNNNNNNNNNNNNNNNNNNNNNNNNNNNNNNNNNNNNNNNNNNNNNNNNNNNNNNNNNNNNNNNNNNNNNNNNNNNNNNNNNNNNNNNNNNNNNNNNNNNNNNNNNNNNNNNNNNNNNNNNNNNNNNNNNNNNNNNNNNNNNNNNNNNNNNNNNNNNNNNNNNNNNNNNNNNNNNNNNNNNNNNNNNNNNNNNNNNNNNNNNNNNNNNNNNNNNNNNNNNNNNNNNNNNNNNNNNNNNNNNNNNNNNNNNNNNNNNNNNNNNNNNNNNNNNNNNNNNNNNNNNNNNNNNNNNNNNNNNNNNNNNNNNNNNNNNNNNNNNNNNNNNNNNNNNNNNNNNNNNNNNNNNNNNNNNNNNNNNNNNNNNNNNNNNNNNNNNNNNNNNNNNNNNNNNNNNNNNNNNNNNNNNNNNNNNNNNNNNNNNNNNNNNNNNNNNNNNNNNNNNNNNNNNNNNNNNNNNNNNNNNNNNNNNNNNNNNNAGAUCUAGGACUGAAAGAACUCCGGGUACUCAGAACGGAGGUGAUCCUCGCGUUCCCAGGUGGCUUCACGGUCGGAAUGGUGAGACCACUUAACUUUGAGAAAUUUGAUUGACUUGUUGCGAGUCUUGCGUUCAGUCUCUUCAAGAAUAGCAACUGGGUGCUCACGAUAAGAGAGAUCUUCUUGGAGCUCAAUGUCCUCGAAGUUGACGGUGCGGUCAGGAGUCUUGAAGCACUUUCGAAGCUGAGAGACAUGGAACACAUCAUGAACAUUUGCAAAGUUUGAAGGAAGCUCGAGUUGAUAGGCGAGGUCGCCUCUCUUGCUGACAAUCUUGAAAGGUCCCACGUAUCUAGGGGCAAGCUUCCCUUUGAUACCGAAGUGACGAGUACCUUUCAUGGGAGAGACGCGGAGGUAAACAUGAUCUCCGAUCUCGAAAACCAGAUCACGGUGCUUACUAUCAUAGUAGCACUUCUGGCGGGAUUGAGCUGCUUUGAGGUUAUCACGAAUGACUUUGCACAUUUCUUCUGCUUCUGUGAUUAAGUCAUUACCCAGCAGCUGACGUUCACCGGUUUCAGACCAGUUGAGAGGGGUACGGCACUUCCUGCCAUAUAGAAUUUCAAAGGGGGCCUUGCCCGAACUUGCUUGAAAGCUGUUGUUGUAAGAGAAUUCAGCAUAAGGAAGACAAUCCUCCCACUUCAUGCCGAAAGAAAUCACACAAGCCCUGAGCAUGUCUUCAAGAAUCUGAUUGACACGCUCAACUUGACCGCUCGUUUGAGGAUGGAAAGCUGUGCUGAAGCGGAUGUUUGUGCCCAUGGCCUUCUGAAAAGAAUCCCAAAACUUGGAGGUAAAGAUGCUGCCACGGUCUGAAGAUAUCACUUGAGGAAUACCGUGCAGAGAGACAAUGCGAGAGGUAUAGAGUUCCGCCAAUUGAGCUGCAGUGAUCGACUCUUUGAUAGCAGAAAGUGAGCCACUUUGGUGAGCUUGUCGAUGACAACAAAUAUAGCAUCAUUGCCACGCUUGGACUUUGGAAACCCAGUCACGAAGUCCAUUUCAAUGUGGUCAAACUUCCAUUCUGGAAUGGCAAGAGGUUGGAGGAGACCUGCUGGCCUUUGGUGUUCUGCCUUCACUCUUCUGCAGACAUCACACUCGUUCACGAAUUGAGCGAUCUCGCGCUUCAUUCGAGUCCACCAAUAAGUUUGCUUGAGAUCCUGAUACAUCUUCGUACUACCAGGGUGGAUGGAGAGGAGAGAGUUGUGAGCCUCGUUCAUGAUCACCUUACGAAGUUCACCUUUGGGCACAACAAUUCAAUCCUCGAAGAAGAGAGUGUCCUUGUCAUCAAGUCGGUAGCACUUGUACUUGGACUGACUCUUUGCAAUACCAAUCUUCACCUUUUUCACCAUAGCAUCAAGAAGUUGGGCUUGGCGAAUCUGGUCUUCUAAGGUAGGAGAGACUUGAAGGUUGGCGAGGAAACCUUGAGGAACAACUUGCAGAUUAAGUUUGCGGAAAGCUUCACAAAGCUCGGGUUGAUAAGGCUUGAGAAUCAGACUGUUGCAAUAUGCUUUUCUGCUCAAAGCGUCAGCAAUCACAUUAGCCUUGCCUGGAGUAUACUCGAUACUCGGAUUGUACUCUUGAAUCAUUUCGACCCAUCGAGUCUACCUGAGGUUGAGAUUAGGCUGAGUGAAGAUGUACUUGAGACUCUUGUGAUCAGUGAAAAUAUCCACUUUCCUUCCCAAUAGAAGAUGUCUCCAAGUCAACAAAGCAUGCACAACUGCCGCCAACUCAAGAUCAUGAGUGGGGUAGUUCUUCUCAUUAGGUUUCAACUGGCGAGAGGUGUAAGCGACAACUUUCUUCUCUUGCAUCAGUACAGCACCGAGACCUUGGAGAGAGGCAUCACAAAAGACCUCGUACGGCUUGGUUUCAUCAGGCGGAGUCAGAACUGGAGCAGUGAUCAAUUUCUCUUUCAAAGUGUUGAAAGCCAUAUCACACUCCGGAGACCAAACGUACUUGACGUGCUUCUGAAGAAGAUUUGAGAGAGGCUUGGCGAUCUUAGAAAAGUUUUCAACGAAUCUUCUGCAAUAGCUUGCGAGACCGAGGAAACUGCGGAGUUGCUUCACGUUCUGAGGAGGUUCCCAAUUCACAAUUGCAGACACCUUCUCAGGAUUCACGGAAAUGCCCUUGGCAGAGAUGAUAUGACCAAGAUAAAGAACCUCAUCGAGCCAAAAUUCACACUUGGAGAACUUGGCGUAGAACUGAUGUUCCCUGAGCUUGUCAAGAACCAAACGCAAGUGCUUAGCAUAAUCUUCCUUGUUCUUCGAGAAAACCAGAAUGUCGUCGAGAUAGACCAAAACGAAUUCAUUGGUGUAGGGGUUGAAGAUGAAGUUCAUCAUGCGAGAGAACGUCGGAGGAGCGUUUGCGAGGCCAAAAGACAUGACAGUGUAUUCAUAUGAACCAAAGCUUGUUCUGAACGCCGUCUUGGGAAUAUCUUGCGCACGAAUACGAAUCUGAUGAUAACCCAUACGGAGAUCAAGCUUGGAGAAUACUUGAGCACCCUUGAGUUGUUCGAACAGCUCAUUGAUGUUGGGAAGUGGGUAUUUGUUCUUGAUGGUCUUCUUGUUUACUGGACGGUAAUCAACACAAAGUCGACUCGAUCCAUCCAUCUUCUUCACAAAAAGAACACCACAACCCCACGGAGAAGUACUAGGCCGAAUGAGACCCAAUCUUUCUUGCUCAUCGAGUUGUUUCUUCAGCUCCUUCAACUCUUCGGGGCCGAGCUUGUAAGGACGUUUGCACACAGGUUCCGUGCCAGGCUCAAGUUCAAUAACGAAUUCAACUGGCCGGUGCGGAGGCAUUCCUGGGAGCUCUUCUGGAAAGACGUCUUGAUACUCACAAACAACCGGAAUCUGCAAAAUAGCAUCCAAUUCACCCUUCUCAUUGAGAGAAAACAACCGGAUGGUAUUAUCCCGAGCGGCAAAGACAAUGACAUCCUCAGACGAAUGAGUCAGUUGAAUCUGCCUGGCUGCACAAUCAAGCUGAGCUUUAUGCUUAGAGAGCCAGUCCAUCCCGAGAAUAAGAUCGAUAUCCGAGUUGCCAAGAACCGUAGGAGAAGCCAAGAACUUGUAGUCACCCAGAGUGAUAGAAACAUCCGGAACGAUGGAGUUAGCCUGCAUGCGCUUACCGGGAGAGACAACUUCUAAAGGACUAGGUAAAACUUGUGAGACCAAUUCAUGCCUAUUUGUAAACGGUCUCGAGAUGAAGCAAUGCGAUGCACCAGUGUCAAAAAGAACUUUUGCAGGAAUAUCAUUAACAGGAAGGUUACCCAUGAUCACAUCUGACGAGUCCUCUGCCUGAGCUGCAUUCAUCAAGUUGACCUUGGCGGACUUGGGGUUAUGCUUGACCACAGCUAUACUUGCCGAUCUGACAGGAGGAGGAGGAGGAAGACGCCUCUGGUUGGUACACUUGUUGGCAUAGUGACCCUUCUGUUGGCACUUGUUGCACGUGACCUCUGAAAGCGGACGGUGAUACGGAGCACUCGAUCUUGGCGCUUGAGACGAAGACUUGUUCUGAAAGCCUGGGUUGGGUGGGUGGGAGAAACCACUGCCACCUUUGCUCUUCUGCUGAUACGGCUGACGGAACGGAGGAGGAGGAAGCCAAUACUUCUGCUGCUUGACCACUUGAGUAGAGGAAGACGGAGUAACAUCUCUGGCACGCUUCCUGGAAGCAUCACACCUCAACUGAGCAGCCUCUUGCUUCAGUGCCAUGUUGUAGAACUCAUCGUAUCUCAACGGCUCAAAGAGGACAAGAGCGAGCUGAAUUUCCUCACGAAGACCACCCCUGAACUGAUAGAUCAUGCUCUUCUCAUCAGGAACAUCCUGCUUGGCAAAACGGGCGAGCUUCUGGAACAACUUGUUGUAGUCAUAGACAGACAAAGAGCCUUGCUUCAGAUUGCGGAAUUCCUGACGCUUACUCUCAACCACACUUUGAGGGAUGUGAUGAGCACGGAAAUCUUGACGGAAAUCGUCCCAAGUGAUAACACGUCCACCUCUGGAAUCCUUGUACUGCUGGAACCACUCUGCAGCCUGAUCUUUGAGCUGGAAAGAAGCGAACUUGACGAAAUCUUCAGGCCUGACGUUGCUGCAUUCAAAAUGCUUGCCCAGAUCCACUAGCCAAUCGUCAGCAUCGGUAGCCUCAACACAACCGCUGAACGUCUUUGGGCCAUUAGCAAGGAACUGGUUCAGUGUAGCAAAGUGGUGCUGAUUAUGGCCUUGAUUCCCUUGACUGCCUUGAUUGCGCUCUUGGAGAAUUUGCAUGAUCAACUGUGUGUUUGCAUUAGUAGCGGCCAUCACAGCUUGCCAUGCUUCCGGAGGAGGCGGAGGUGGAGGCGGAUCAGGAUUCGGAGUCGUGCGCGUUGGAGGAGCCAUCCUGAACAGGUUGACCACCAUUAGCACACUGAUAGACAACAAUAUAGAAGCUGAAUCCAACGGAAUGAAAAUUGCAACAUAUAGUCUUCACAUCCGAACAGAAUGAACGAAUGCAUUUCUCUUGAAGUGGUCACAUAUCCAUAAAUUGAGGAGCCACGAAGAAUUAAGGUAGAGAAAUAAAUCAACAAGGUACGGAUCAAGAACGAAUAAUCGGUAAGAAAUCCCAAUCUCAAACCAAUAUCCGUGGAAGAAGAACUAGAGCUACUAGAAUUCCCACCUAUGAAAUUCCCGAACCUUUCUGGUUAUGCAAUCAGGUGUUGGGGAUACAGGGGAAGCACAAUAUCUCACCCAAACUAGCAAAUCCUACAUCCAGCUGUAUCCAUCCUUCAACACAUAACCAAGAAACCUUCGGAAACCAUCUAUCUCAACCUUCGAAAAGCAUCCGUUAUACAAGUUAUGGCGAUACUCCGGAACUCCCGCCCCAGUACUGGGUGGCGUCGAGGUUAUCUCACCAACGAACUGCAUAAAAGAGAUUUCCGAUGCCGCGCACAUAUCUCAAGUAUACCAGAAUUGCAACGAUAAAAUUGUGACGACAACACCUCGGAGCUCAACUCCCCGGGACACUGCCACAACCCCUAAAGACAGGAGGCACCAAGAACAAUGUUCUCGUCACAAAACCAUCGGAACAAAACCAAGAUACUCGCGUGAUCCUAAAAUUUUUUUAGUGAAAUUUGAGAAGAGAAGAGUCAAAACUCUACAUCAGGAUGCCUUACCAGAGCGAUGAGGAGACUGGGAAGUAAAAGAAUUCCUAAGCUCUCCGAUAUAUAAUUCCUAAGGACUCAAAACAUUUUUCUAUACACAACUCGGCUGCUAAAAACGAUCAAGCAAUGGGGGCUCCUAAGGUCGGGGAUGGCUCUGAUACCAACUUGUAACGCCCUCGAUGCGGCUAUAGCUCCCACGUGUCGAGGCACGACUUAGAGACAUAACUGCAUUGAAAGCAAUGUCGCAAGUUAGGCAAUCAUUACAACAUCCCAUGUAAUACAUAAUAAAAGGGGGAGAUACCAUAGUUGGCUUACACUCGCCACGUCACAUCAGAGUGCAUAAAUAACAUCCAUCAAACAAACACUCAUGGCCCGACUAUGGCGCCAAAAUAGAAAAGAACCCAACAUGCGACAAGGUCCUGAAUCGAUCCCCAACUAGGCACCACUACUGAUCAUCGGGAAAGGAAACAUAAUAACGCUGAGAGUCCUCGUCGAACUCCCACUUGAGCUCGUACUCGUCACCUGGAGCGGAAUCACCUGGACCUGCAUCUGGAGUUGUAGUAUCUGUGAGCCACAGGGACUCAGCAAUCUCGCACCCUCGCGAUCAAAACUAUUUAAGCUCAUAGGAAUGGAUAAGGCAAAUAUAUGUGGAGCUGCAGCAAGCGACUAGCAUAUGCGGUGGCUAACUUAUACGCAAAAGAGAGCGAGAAGAGAAGGCGAAGCACGAGCGAGAAGCUAAAGGAACAUCCUGCGCACGCAUAACUCCAACACCGUGUCCACUUCCCGGACUCCGCCGAGAAGGGGCCAUCACGGUAACACACACGGUUGAUUCAUUUUAAUUAAGUUUAGUUCAAGUAAUCUACAACCGGACAUUAACAAAUUCCCAUCUGCCCAUAACCGCGGGCACGGCUUUCGAAAGUUCAAUCCCUGCAGGGGAGUCCCAACUUAGCCCAUGACAAGCUCUCACGGUCAACGAAGGAAUAGAGCUCCACCCGAGACAUUCCGAUCAGACUCGGUAUCCUGGUACAACAAGACAUUUCGACAGGGUAAAACUAAACCAGCAACACCGCCCGAAUGUGCCGACAAAUCCCGAUAGGAGCUGCACAUAUCUCUUUCUCAGGGCACACUCAGAUUGUCCUAGGUACGGGUAGGCCAGCCCAGAGUUGCCCCUGGUAGCCACCGGUNNNNNNNNNNGGCCGGCGAUGCGGGCGCGGGCGCGGUGGCAGGAGGGCCACGUGGCGGUUGGCGGCUGGCUGGGCGCGGCGGCGGAUGUUGUCCGGCUCGCCCGGACACGUCCGUCGGCGGCGGAUCUGGCGAGGAGAUGUUUUUUUUUAAAACUAGGGUUUGAGACGAGGGGAUCCGGGAUUUGGAGGAGGGGGUCUAUAAAUAGACAUAAGUGGAGCUAGGAGAGUCCAAAUGAGGUGCGGUUUUCGCCCACACGAUCGUGAUCGAACGCUCUAGGACAUGGAGCAGAGUUUGGUGGGUUUUGGGCCAAAUUUGGGGGGUUGUUGGGCUGCAACACACACGAGGCCUUUCCGGUCCCUCGGUUAACCGUUGGAGUAUCAAACGAAGUCCAGAUGACCCGAAACUUGACAGGAGGUCUACCGGUAGUAAACCAAGGCCGCUUGGCAAGUCUUGGUCCAAUCCGGAAAUGUUUAAACCCCACACACGAAAGAAGACUAGAAAUGACCACCGGAGGAGAACGAAGCGCCGGAAUGCAAAACGGACAACGGGGAAAAGGCUCGAAUGCAUGAGAUGAACAUGUAUGCAAAUGCAAUGCACGUGAUGACAUGAUAAGAGAUGCACGAAAAAGAAAAACAACAUGCGGAGACAAAAACCCAAACCCGAGAAAUAAAUGUAACUUAGCGCCGGAGACGGCAAGAGUUGGAUACAAAUAUGGAAAGUAUAUCUGGGGCGUUACAAUGGGUAUCUAGAUCCCGCUAUUGGUUAUUGACCGGAGAACGUCUCGGUCAUGUCUGCAUGGUUCCCGAACCCGUAGGGUCUACACACUUAAGGUUCGGUGACGCUAGGGUUAUAGAGAUAUUAGUAUGCGGUAACCCGAAAGUUGUUCGGAGUCCCAGAUGAGAUCCCGGACGUCACGAGGAGUUCUGAAAUGGUCCGGAGGUAAAGAAUUAUAUAUAGGAAGUGCUAUUUCGGCCAUCGGGACAAGUUUCGGGGUCACCGGUAUUGUAUCGGGACCACCGGAAGGGUCCCGUGGGUCCACCGGGUGGGGCCACCUGCCCCGGGGGGCACAUGGGCUGUAGGGGUGUGCACCUUGGCCUAUAUGGGCCAAGGGCACCAGCCCCAAGAGGCCCAUGCGCCAAGAGAUAAGGAAAGGAAGAGUCUUAAAGGGGGAAGGCACCUCCUAGGUGCCUUGGGGAGGAGGGACUCCUCCCUAGCCGCACCCUUCCUUGGAGGAAGGGCCAAGGCUGCGCCCCCCCCCCCCUCUCCCUUGGCCCUAUAUAUAGUGGGGGGAAGGGNNNNNNNNNNNNNNNNNNNNNNNNGCACAUAUCUCUUUCUCAGGGCACACUCAGAUUGUCCUAGGUACGGGUAGGCCAGCCCAGAGUUGCCCCUGGUAGCCACCGGUAGCUGACAGGUGGACCAACACUCAGAGGAGCACUGGCCCGGGGGGGGGGGGUAAAAUAACGAUGACCCUUGAGUCUGCAGAACCCAAGGGAAAGAAAAGGCUAGGUGGAAAAUGGUAAAACAAAUGUUGGGCAUUGCUGGAAGAGCUUUACUUAAGACGAACUGUCAAGGGGUUCCCAUAAUAGCCCAACCGUGUAAGGAACGCAAAAUCCGGGAACAUAACACCGAUAUGACGGAAACUAGGGCGGCAAGAGUGGAACAAAACACCAGGCAUAAGGCCGAGCCUUCCACCCUUUACCAAGUAUAUAGAUGCAUUAAUUAAGUAAGGUAUAUUGUGAUAUCCCAACAAGUAAAUAAAAGUUCCAACAAGGAACGGCUCCAAUCUUCCACCUGCAACUAACAACGCUAUAAGAAGGGCUGAGCAAAGCGGUAACAUAGCCAAUCAACGGUUUGCUAGGACAAUGGUGGGUUAGGGGAUCACAUGGCAAUUGGGAGGCUGACAAGCAAAAGGUAGGCAUCGUAGCAGUGGCAAAGCAAAAGAGCGAGCAAACUAGCAUAGCAAAGAUAGUAGUGAUUUCGAGGGUAUGAUCAUCUUGCCUGCACAGUUGUCAGAGUUGACUGGAUCCUCGCAAGCAAACUCAACGGGCUCCUCGGUAGCGAACUCGUCUCCCGGCUCUACCCAACAAGACAAACAAGCAACAAGGAUACAAUCAACCACGGCAAGACCAAGCAAUAUGAUGAAAUGACAAUAUGCUAUGCGGGAUGCGAUGCGGGAUGCAAAAUGCAAGAUAUGACAGGAAAUGCAUGAACCUGGCAUCAACUUGGAAAACCAAGUGUGCCACUGGAUAGAGGGGAUGAAAUCGCUUGAAAACGAUAUAAAGAUCAUUGGAAUCGGAGCUACGGUUUGGAAAUGGCGAGCGUUUUAAGAUAUGACACCGGUAUGCGAUUUACAGCAAGUAGGCAUCUAAAUGCAACAAAAUGAACAUGCUACAGCCACCAAACAUAAAAACAAAUACAUGGCAGUGAUGUACACAAGAUGGUUGACAAAACACUAGCACUGAGCCAUAGGCAAAUUCAUCCAUUAAGAGGUUCAAACAAGCAUGGCUAAAACGCAAAUGCAAAACAGAUUUCAGACUUAGUGAAAUUAACACUAGUCUGAAAUUUCAGAUCACGAUGCUCUCUUCGGAGCAGCAAAACAACAUGAUAGAAAACCUGAACAUGACAAGUAAUAACAUGGCAUGGAGCUACUCAACAAUCUUAAAAAAACACCCAAAGUGACCUGGGGCCAAAAGGGUUCACAAAAUACUCUACCGAGCUCACGAACAUAGCUCGAACACAAUCAGUUUUCAGACUUAGUGAAAACUGAGACACGCUGAAAUAUAACUCACGAAGGCAUGUAAACGAGCUCGAUGCACUCACUACGGUGCAAGUCAUGGCAAGGAAAGCAUAUAACCAGCAAGAAGGCACAAAGUGCUAGCUACACAUGGCAAGAACGAAGGCAUAGCAUGCAUGGAACACUAACGGUAGCAUCGGCAAAAUCGCAAACAAGUUGACGAUCUGCCCGGAUUAACAACGAAGCAAAAGUUGAGCUUGAUUGACUCAACCUAGAGCACUCCACAUAUGCAAACAAAGACAUGGAUGGAUAGAGCAUAACAUAAUUAUCAAAACUCCCUUACUGAUCAUCCUCAAAAGAGGCACGGAUCACUAGGAAACAAGCUGGACAUAUAGCAUCACGAACUAAAAUAUCCCAGACUUAGUGAAAAUCACUAAGUCUCUGAAAUCAGCAAUCUCAGGUACCUCUCUUCGCAAUCUUGCACAAGACAACACACACAUCCUAAAAAUGCAUGGGUGGCACCACUAGAAAGAAGACAAAAUGCUUAACAAUUCAUCCCAAAGGGGCACAGGCAUAUCAUGCACGAAUUAAACAUGGCAAAAAUGACAAAAGUGCAUGAUGAACUAACGGAUCUGCAAUUUAACUCACGAAGCCUCCUUCUAACAGCAUUUUGGGCAUCAAGAUGACCUCAAAUGCAAAUGAUGCAAUGGAAUGAAAUGAUGUACAUGUCGAGACGAAGAUUUUGAUAUAUCAUAUGCCCAAAACGGAGCUACGGUUACAGAGAUACGAGCAGUCAAAGUAGGCACAAAAAUCUAGGGUUAGAGGUAAAAAGUCAACCCGAGAUCCAGAUCUGGAUCCGGGGUACUGUUCACCUGCGCGUCUCCCGAGGAUGACCAGCGCCGGAGCUCGCCGGAGCCGGCCGGAGUGGGGGAAGAGGAGGCCGGGGUGAGGGAGAGGAGGUCGGGCGGCGCCGGAGGAGGAGGCGGCGACCGCGGGCGGCGGCGUCCGGGGCGGCNNNNNNNNNNNNNNNNNNNNNNNNNNNNNNNNNNNNNNNNNNNNNNNNNNNNNNNNNNNNNNNNNNNNNNNNNNNNNNNNNNNNNNNNNNNNNNNNNNNNNNNNNNNNNNNNNNNNNNNNNNNNNNNNNNNNNNNNNNNNNNNNNNNNNNNNNNNNNNNNNNNNNNNNNNNNNNNNNNNNNNNNNNNNNNNNNNNNNNNNNNNNNNNNNNNNNNNNNNNNNNNNNNNNNNNNNNNNNNNNNNNNNNNNNNNNNNNNNNNNNNNNNNNNNNNNNNNNNNNNNNNNNNNNNNNNNNNNNNNNNNNNNNNNNNNNNNNNNNNNNNNNNNNNNNNNNNNNNNNNNNNNNNNNNNNNNNNNNNNNNNNNNNNNNNNNNNNNNNNNNNNNNNNNNNNNNNNNNNNNNNNNNNNNNNNNNNNNNNNNNNNNNNNNNNNNNNNNNNNNNNNNNNNNNNNNNNNNNNNNNNNNNNNNNNNNNNNNNNNNNNNNNNNNNNNNNNNNNNNNNNNNNNNNNNNNNNNNNNNNNNNNNNNNNNNNNNNNNNNNNNNNNNNNNNNNNNNNNNNNNNNNNNNNNNNNNNNNNNNNNNNNNNNNNNNNNNNNNNNNNNNNNNNNNNNNNNNNNNNNNNNNNNNNNNNNNNNNNNNNNNNNNNNNNNNNNNNNNNNNNNNNNNNNNNNNNNNNNNNNNNNNNNNNNNNNNNNNNNNNNNNNNNNNNNNNNNNNNNNNNNNNNNNNNNNNNNNNNNNNNNNNNNNNNNNNNNNNNNNNNNNNNNNNNNNNNNNNNNNNNNNNNNNNNNNNNNNNNNNNNNNNNNNNNNNNNNNNNNNNNNNNNNNNNNNNNNNNNNNNNNNNNNNNNNNNNNNNNNNNNNNNNNNNNNNNNNNNNNNNNNNNNNNNNNNNNNNNNNNNNNNNNNNNNNNNNNNNNNNNNNNNNNNNNNNNNNNNNNNNNNNNNNNNNNNNNNNNNNNNNNNNNNNNNNNNNNNNNNNNNNNNNNNNNNNNNNNNNNNNNNNNNNNNNNNNNNNNNNNNNNNNNNNNNNNNNNNNNNNNNNNNNNNNNNNNNNNNNNNNNNNNNNNNNNNNNNNNNNNNNNNNNNNNNNNNNNNNNNNNNNNNNNNNNNNNNNNNNNNNNNNNNNNNNNNNNNNNNNNNNNNNNNNNNNNNNNNNNNNNNNNNNNNNNNNNNNNNNNNNNNNNNNNNNNNNNNNNNNNNNNNNNNNNNNNNNNNNNNNNNNNNNNNNNNNNNNNNNNNNNNNNNNNNNNNNNNNNNNNNNNNNNNNNNNNNNNNNNNNNNNNNNNNNNNNNNNNNNNNNNNNNNNNNNNNNNNNNNNNNNNNNNNNNNNNNNNNNNNNNNNNNNNNNNNNNNNNNNNNNNNNNNNNNNNNNNNNNNNNNNNNNNNNNNNNNNNNNNNNNNNNNNNNNNNNNNNNNNNNNNNNNNNNNNNNNNNNNNNNNNNNNNNNNNNNNNNNNNNNNNNNNNNNNNNNNNNNNNNNNNNNNNNNNNNNNNNNNNNNNNNNNNNNNNNNNNNNNNNNNNNNNNNNNNNNNNNNNNNNNNNNNNNNNNNNNNNNNNNNNNNNNNNNNNNNNNNNNNNNNNNNNNNNNNNNNNNNNNNNNNNNNNNNNNNNNNNNNNNNNNNNNNNNNNNNNNNNNNNNNNNNNNNNNNNNNNNNNNNNNNNNNNNNNNNNNNNNNNNNNNNNNNNNNNNNNNNNNNNNNNNNNNNNNNNNNNNNNNGUGGGGGGAAGGGAGGGCAGCCCCAUCUAAGCCCUGGCGCCUCCCUCUCCCUCCCGUGACACAUCUCCCUCCUCCCGCGGCGCUUGGCGAAGCCCUAUUGGAAUCCCGCUACUUCCACCACCACGCCAUCGUGCUGCUGGAUCUCCAUCAACCUCUCCUUCCCCCUUGCUGGAUCAAGAAGGAGGAGACAUCGCUGCUCCGUAUGUGUGUUGAACGCGGAGGUGCCGUCCGUUCGGCGCUAGGAUUAUCGGUGACUUGGAUCACGACGAGUACGACUCCUUCAACCCCGUUCUCUUGAACGCUUCCGCAUAGCGAUCUACAAGGGUAUGUAGAUGCACUCUCCUUCCCCUUGUUGCUAGUCUCUCCAUAGAUAGAUCUUGGUGACACGUAGGAAAUUUUUUGAAUUUCUGCUACGUUCCCCAAUAAGGGGGCGCGCCCUCCACCCUCGUGGGCCCCCUGUUGCUCCACCGCCGUACUUCUUCCUCCUAUAUAUACCCACGUACCCCCAAACGAUCAGACACGGAGCCAAAACCCUAAUUCCACCGCCGCAACUUUCUGUAUCCAUGAGAUCCCAUCUUGGGGCAUGUUCCGGAGCUCCGCCGGAGGGGGCAUCGAUCACGGAGGGCUUCUACAUCAACACCAUAGCCUCUCCGAUGAAGUGUGAGUAGUUUACUUCAGACCUACGGGUCCAUAGUUAGUAGCUAGAUGGCUUCUUCUCUUUUUUUGGAUCUCAAUACAAUGUUCUCCCCCUCUCUUGUGGAGAUCUAUUCGAUGUAAUCUUCUUUUUGCGGUGUGUUUGUUGAUACCAAUGAAUUGUGGGUUUAUGAUCAAGUCUAUCUAUGAAUAAUAUUUGAAUCUUCUCUGAAUUCUUUUAUGUAUGAUUGGUUAUCUUUGCAAGUCUCUUCGAAUUAUCAGUUUGGUUUGGCCUACUUGAUUGAUCUUUCUUGCAAUGGGAGAAGUGCUUAGCUUUGGGUUCAAUCUUGCGGUGUCCUUUCCCGGUGAUAGUAAGGGCAGCAAGGCACGUAUUGUAUUGUUGCCAUCGAGGAUAACAAUAUGGGGUUUUCUUCAUAUUGCAUGAGUCUAUCCCUCUACAUCAUGUCAUCUUGCUUAAGGCGUUACUCUGUUUUUAACUUAAUACUCUAGAUGCAUGCUGGAUAGCGGUCGAUGAGUGGAGUAAUAGUAGUAGAUGCAGGCAGGAGUCGGUCUACUUGUCUCGGACGUGAUGCCUAUAUACAUGAUCAUACCUAGAUAUUCUCAUAACUAUGCUCAAUUCUGUCAAUUGCUCAACAGUAAUUUGUUCACCCACCGUAGAAUACUUAUGCUCUCGAGAGAAGCCACUAGUGAAACCUAUGGCCCCCGGGUCUAUCUUUAUCAUAUCAAUCUCCUGCUACUUAGUUAUUUACUUUGCUAUUUGCUUUGCCUUUAUUUUACUUUGCAUCUUUAUCAUAAAAAUACCAAAAAUAUUAUCUUUAUCAUAUCUAUCAGAUCUCACUCUCGUAAGUGGCCCUAUAGGGAUUGACAACCCCUAUUUGCGUUGGUUGCGAGGAUUUAUUUGUUUGUGCAGGUACGAGGGACCUGCGUGUAGCCUCCUACUGGAUUGAUACCUUGGUUCUCAAAAACUGAGGGAAAUACUUACGCUACUUUGCUGCAUCAUCCCUUCCUCUUCGGGGAAAACCAACGCAGUGCUAAAAGAGGUAGCAUUAUCAGAGUAACACGAAACAGCUGAAUAGCGGGCAAUACCACGUCUUCACCACAAGCUUGUGUAAGCGGGAUCAGAAGCUUCAUAAAAGGGCAUUAAACUCCGUUGAACCGGCAGUACCCCGUUACUUGCGUUGGUCUGAGCAGCCCAUUGUGUGGAGUCGAGAGGAUCAUCCGCCCCGGGUUGAUAAUCCGGGUCAUCUGGCAUUGGUGGUUGCACCUCAGGUUGGAGGGUAUAAGUUCACCAAGGUGCUCAUGGACGGAGGGAGCAUCAUCAAUAUCCUCUAUUAUGAAACCUUCCGUCGUAUGGGGUUGACGGAUAAAAAUCUUAAACCAUCAAACACUGUUUUCCAUGGUGUGGUGCCUGGUAAGUCAGCAUAUCCAGUUGGUAAAAUAGCUCUGGAAGUUGUGUUUGGGGAUGAGUAUGACUCUCGAUCAGAGACAUUGACCUUUGAGGUGGUGAAGAUCAAAAGCCCUUAUCAUGCUCUGUCUGGACGGCCGACUUAUGCUAAGUUUAUGGCAAGACCCUGUUAUGUUUAUCUACAGCUCAAGAUGCCAGGUCAUAAGGGGACCAUCACGGUACAUGGGAGCCGAAAGAUAGCCUUGGAAUGUGAGGAAGGUGAUGCGGCUUAUGCUAAGUCGGUUUGUGCAACAGAGGAGUUGAAAUUUUAUAAGGACAAUGUUGAUCCGGCGGAUAUGACUUCUUUGAAAAAGCCAACUACAAAGCAUGAUCCAACAUUGAAGUUUAAAUCGGCUGAGGAAACCAAGUUAGUUGAUAUUGUUCCUGGUGAUUCAUCCAAGCAGUUUAGCAUCAGUGCUAAUCUGGAUCCGAAAUAGGAAAGCGCGCUCAUCGAGUUCAUAUGUGAGAACCGAAACAUCUUUGCAUGGAAACAUACUGACAUGCCAGGUGUACCGAGGGAACUCGCUGAGCACACUCUUAAUAUUGAUCCUAAGUUUAGAUCGGCCAGGCAGUUUCUCCGCCGCUUCAAUGAAGAAAGGCGUAAGGCUAUUGGUGAGGAGGUAGCCUGGCUCUUGGCAGUAGGGUUUAUUGUGGAGGUUGUUCACCCUGAGUGGUUAGCUAACCCGGUGCUAGUACUUAAGAAGAACGGCACUUGGCGUAUGUGUGUGGAUUACACAGAUUUGAACAAGGCUUGUCCAGCUGAUCCCUUUGCUCUCCCUCGUAUUGAUCAAAUCAUUGAUGCUACGGUGGGUUGUGAGCGUCCAAGCUUUCUGGAUGCUUAUUCUGGUUAUCAUCAGAUCAAAAUGGCAGUUAAGGACCAGGAGAAGACAGCUUUUAUAACUCCCUUUGGAGCCUUCUGCUAUGUAUCUAUGCCUUUUGGGAUCAAGAGUGCCCAGGCGACUUAUCAGCGUUGUGUGCAAAAUUGUCUUCAUAAUCAGAUUGGGCGGAAUGUUCAUUCUUGCGUGGAUGAUAUUUUGGUGAAGUCCAUAAAGGAGGAGUCAUUAAUAGAUGACUUAAAGGAAACUUUUGAUAAUCUCUGGGUCUAUAAGAUGAUGCUUAAUCCGGCCAAGUGUGUUUUUGGUGUACCGGCAAGCAAGCUCUUGGGUUUUCUGGUGUCUAACAGGGGUAUUGAGGCUAACCCGAAAAAAAUCAAGGCAAUUACUUCUCUGGCUAAACCGGUGUGCAUCAAUGAUGUUCAACGUCUGGCAGGUCGUAUUGCAGCAUUGAGCCGGUUUAUCAGCCGGUUGGGGGAGAAAGCUAUCCCUCUGUAUCAGAUGAUGAAAAAGACAGAUAAUUUUGUCUGGAGUGAUGCGGCUAAUGCGGCGAUUGAGGACUUGAAGAAACAAUUAGCCGAGCCUCCCGUCCUUGCCGCUCCCAUUGAUAAAGAGCCAUUGCUGUUAUAUGUGGCUGCUAAUGCCCGGGCUGUCAGUGUGGCUAUUGUGGUAGAGUGGAAGGAGGCAAGCAAAGAAUAUCCGGUUUAACGGUCGGUUUAUUAUAUCAGUGGGGUACUCAUUGAGUCCAAGCAAAGAUACCCACAUUGGCAGAAGCUGGUGUAUGGAGUUUUUAUGGCAAGCCAGAAGCUUAAACAGUAUUUUCAGGGUCACCCCAUCACUGUGGUCAGCUCUGCCCCUUUGGGGGAUAUAAUUCAAAACAGGGAGGCAACUGGCUGGGUUGCCAAGUGGGCCAUUGAGCUUGGACCUCAUGGGUUAAAGUAUAUGCCUCGGACGGCAAUCAAGUCCCAGACACUUGUGGAUUUCAUCAAUGAUUGGACAGAAUUGCAGACACCAGAGGAAAAGCCGGAUAACACAUAUUGGACUCUUCACUUUGAUGGGUCCAGGAAAUUGGAGGGCUCGGGGGCUGGAGUUGUGCUAGCUUCCCCUCGAGGUGAUAAAUUUUGUUAUGUCCUCCGUUUAUUGUUUCCUUGCACUAACAAUGCAGCUGAAUAUGAGGCUUUACUCCAUGGUCGUCGAGUGGCUAAGGAGAUGAACUUGAGCCGGGUUAGGUGUUUUGGUGACUCAGAUUUGGUAGCUCAACAAGUAUUAGGUACUUGGGACUCUAAGGAUCCACUCAUGGCGGCUUAUCGAUAGGAGGUGGAUAUUAUUGCUGGUCAUUUCAAGGGUUACCAGGUUGAGCAUGUGGACCGGAGGAAGAAUGAAGCGGUAGACGCUUUAAGCUGGCUGGGUUCUCAACGUAAACCGGUGCUACCCAACGUUGUUCUUGAUGUCCUUCAUAACCCGUCGGUCAAGUUACCCACAGAGGAGGAUUUGGCUAUUCCUGACCCAGAGGCUCAAUUGGUGGCAGCUCUUCAUGUUAUCCCGGAUUGGACGGUUCCCUAUUUGGCGUAUAUGACCCGGGGCAAGUUACCUGAGGAUGAGGUUUUGGCCAGACAGAUAAUCCAGCAGUCCAAGUCAAUGACUAUUGUCAAUGGAGAGUUGCAUCAUUGUAGUGUUACAGGGGCGUUUUAGCGUUGUGUGUCUCCGGAAGAAGGCUGUGAGAUCCUCCGUGAGAUCCAUGAAGGGGACUGUGGACAUCAUGCCGGUUCAAAAUCUCUGGUAGCCAAAGCUUUUCGUCACAGUUUUUAUUGCCUGACGGCUCAUGCUGAUGCUGAGGACUUGGUCAGAAGGUGUGAUGGUUGUCAGAAAUUUGCACGUCGAGCUCAUGUUUCGGCUCAGGAGUUAAGGAUGAUUCCAAUUACUUGUCCAUUUGCAGUCUGGGGGCUUGAUAUGGUGGGGCCCUUUAAAAUAUCCAAGGAUAAGAAGACCCACCUCUUGGUGGCAGUUGACAAGUUUACUAAAUGGGUAGAGGCCGAGCCAGUGAGCAAAUGUGAUGCAACGACGGCGGUUCAAUUCAUGAAGAAGGUGAUCUUCCGCUUUGGCUUUCCACAUAGCAUUAUAACUGACAUUGGUACUAACCUUUCAAAGGGAGCUAUUGAAGAUUUUUGUCAACGUGAGCAUAUCCGGCUUGACAUAUCGUCAGUAGCUCACCCCCAGUCUAAUGGUCAAGCUGAGAGAGCCAAUCAAGAGAUCUUAAGAGGUAUCAAACCCCGGCUUAUGGUUCCUUUGCAGAGGAUGCAGGGUUGUUGGGUCGAGGAGUUACCUUCCAUGUUAUGGAGCAUUAAUACCACCCUAACAGGUCUACGGGUUAUACGCCCUUUUUCAUGGCUUAUGGAGCAGAGGGAGUUCUCCCUAGUGACAUCCGUCAUGACUCGCCCCGUGUGGCAGCUUAUGUUGAAGCUGACAAUGAAAAAACAUGUCAGGAAGCACUUGACUUGUUGGAUGAAGAGCGUGACAUUGCAGCGGCCCGUUCGGUGAUUUACCAGCAAGACCUGCGCCGUUACCACAGCCGCCAGGUUAAAACCAGAACUUUUCAAGAAGGUGAUCUGGUGCUCCGGCUCAUCCAGGAUCAGACUGAUAUGCACAAGUUAUCCCCACCUUGGGAAGGACCCUUUGUGGUCAGCAAGAAUCUAAACAAUGGGUCAUAUUACCUUAUCGAUGUUCGAGACCACAAGGACUCACGCACAUCAGAGGAGGAGACCCACCGACCCUGGAAUAUUGCUCAACUUAGGCCAUAUUACACCUGAGCCACAGGCUCUCCGUAUGUACAUAUUUAAACAAUCUAUAUAUUAUGAUUGAUAUAAUAAACCGACAUCCUUGCUGAAGCGGGGCUUCUGUCGUUCCCAUACAUGAGUCUCUGUUACCUUGGUAAUCCGGCUAUCAAGCCCAUAUUAUAAGAGCACAGCUCUGUUACCUUGGUAAUCCGGCUAUCAAGCCCAUAUUAUAAGAGCACAGCUCUGUUACCUUGGUAAUUCGGCUAUCAAGCCCAUAUUAUAAGAGCACAACUCUGUUACCUUGGUAAUCCGGCUAUCAAGCCCAUAUUAUAAGAGCACAGCUCUGUUACCUUGGUAAUCCGGCUAUCAAGCCAAUAUCACAACUUCAUAUGAGCAGGGCUCUGAUCUACUUAAGGCUUAAUGCCCGGAUUAAAGGGACCAAAGAGAGUCUGAUGCAUAACUCAGCUCAAACAUAGGUAUCCCUUGGGCACAACCCACAUAAUCACUUGGGGGCUUGGUCGUAUUCGAACCAUAGCUACACCUCUUGAUAGACAUAAGGCCACCAGGGAAAUCACUUGGGGGCUUUGGUCGUAUUCGAACCAUCACUUCAACCCUCUUGAUCAUUGAAACACCACAAUUAUAACUAUUUCCAACUUUUUUUUUGAUUUUUUUGGUUUAUAAUGCUUUAUGAGUGUAAUUUAUCUAUGCUAUUUAAACCUGGUCUGGGCCUGUUCAUAAACGAGCAACAGCUGAGGAAUAUCAAUACUCAAGGUUUGGGUUAUCACCCUUACUACAAAAAGUUGGUAAACCAACGAUGUGAUUCAAUGUCAUAGGUAUGAUAUAUUUCAUAUUUGGUUAUUCUUAAGUACAACCUUGGUUAUAAACCCGAGUUAUAUGUUGGGCGUUAUGACCCGUCCGGUGGUAAACCGCCAGGACACUUUUUAUAUGCAGAAACAGGUUGAAUAAAGGUUCUACGGAUCAUAAGCAGACAUAGCAUAAUCAUGACGGAUUAACCGUGUCAUGCAAAGCGAACAUGCACGAUGGCAUAGUAGACCAAGUAUUUAAACUAGCCUAUUACAAGGCACUUUGAUGCCCAAAAGGAUAAUUGUUUUCAACAAGUGUUGCAGUAUGCAGAAGGCUAAACCGGCCUCCGGAUCAUGAUUCUUCACCGGGCUGACUUGACGGCUGUGGAUCAUCUUCCGCCGCUUCAUCAUCCUUCUCUCCACCCAGCGGCUGGAAGUCAAUGGUUGCCCAGUCGAUUCCAGUUAGGGCCUUGAAUACAACUUCGUCACUUAUAAGUGUGGAGGGUUCAACAUCAGGGGAGUAGAUAUGCUUACGGAUUGGCGGGAUAAGAUUUUCCACAUCAUGAGUUGGCGCAUUAACCCGUUUGUUGUCGGCGUCAUAAAUUGACUGGUAAUGAGAAAGAUCUGUCUCUUCAGCCAAUUUGCUCACUAAUGGGCGCAUUUCCUUCGUCAAAGCUCGGAGAUCAUCAUUGUCAAAAUCUGACCCGUCCUCCUUUAUGCUUGGAUAGCCGCUUCCUAUAUCAGCCGGGUCAAGAUCUGGUAUCCAUGCUUUAGCCCGGAUUAGCGUAGUUAGAGCACCUGCCCUUGCAGCUGAUCUUUUUAACUCCUCAAACCGGGCAGGAAUCAUUGAUAGCUUCUCUAAUGUUUCCUUGAUCAAGGUUGGGGGUGGUUUGUUAUGAGAGGUAGUACAAAUGAUCCGUUGUGCGCCGGUAUAUAAUUGCUCUAUAAGAGUAUAGGCAGCCUUCAAUUUUUUCUGCAUAUCAGAGCCCAGAUGGGUGAUGCGAGAUCCUGCAUCAUUACGCACAUCGAUAAACCAGCAGUUCAUAGGAUAAUACAUGUUAAACUCUUAUAAUAAGGGUGCUUACCAAACACAGCAGUGGUCAUGGCAUUUAUUUGCCACUUCAGACCAGUCAGCUCUUCUACCACCGGAUUAAGGGCUGCUUCUGCAUCCUCAGCCCUCUUUUGUAGUUUGGUUUUCUCUAUGUCCCAGUCUGCCCGCUCCUUCUGGAAGUUUUCCUUCAAUUUCUCCAUGGCUACUAAGGCACUGGUUAGCUCCUCUUUGGCUUUGGAAGUUUCUGCUUGUUGGGACUUGAUAUUUUCUUGAAGAUCGGCGGUUUGAGAUUCCUUUUUGCUCAGCUCAGCCUGUAAGAGACAUAUAUGUUAUGAGUUGGAAGCAUUUUGAAGUACCAAGCACAUAACAAGUUAUACACUUGGCACUUGGGGGCUAAUGCCUAUUGCUUCUUAUCAACUUUCUCUUAUAAGUCCCAAGAUCAAUUCAAGUAUUAUUCUUGGCACUUGGGGGCUACACAAACAAAAGUGACAAGAUUAAUAUUCUAAAAGUCCUGGUUCAUCCUGAAAUGAUAAACCGGCCCUUGGGGGCUACGCAGGCAAAGUUGAAGUAUUACAAAGUCCCGGUUUACAUUGAUAUCAUAAACCAGCCCUUGGGGGCUAUUGGAGUUGAUAUUAGAAAUCAGAUACAAGAGAGAAAAAAUUAUGUGGAGUUAACAGUAUUUACCUCAUAUUGCUCUUUCAUCUGGUUCACUAAACCGGCUUUAUAGUCGCGGCUUCUGUACAAGCGGUUUAAAAACCCAGAGUGGAUAUCUUGGGCAUUAAGGUGGGCAUAGAUUUCCAAGUUUGUUUUCCACUUGCCUUUAUCCAUAGCAGCAAAUUCUUCCUUGGCACUAUGUUUUGAUAAAGCAAUGGGAUUACCAGGAGUUGUGUAGCCUAAACCAGUAACAAUGACAUCAUCUGAUUGGUCAUCAGCCGCUUUGACUGGGCUCGGCGGUUUAUCUGCAGUUUUAGCCGGGCUUGGCGGGUCAGUAGCAUGGCCUGUAGGAUCAUCUUCCAUCUGUUCAGCAAAGGUUUCAUGAUGUUGCGUUGGCGGAUCAUCAAGAAUAGCGUCAGCAUUUGGCUCAAACUGUUCUGGGAUCUUUUCCAGUUCAGUGUUCGGGUUAUCAUCAGCCAAUUUAUUCAAUUUGGCCUUUUGCGGGGCCUAGCUUUAGCUCUGAAAUAAAUGUAAAUAAAGGUUAGUAUAUUAAACAGGUGCAAGGGAUAAAGAGUUAAGUGUAGUAUGCUUACGCAGGAACAGUCUUAAGGGGUGGAAGCUGUGUCCAUGUUGAUUCGCCAGAGGAUGAAUGGGAAGUUCCCUGGUAGUUUGAGUCAGAUGGAUUAAGAGGUUGCCGAAAAUAACCAUCCUUGGGAUAAGAUGUGUCAGGAAUAUGGAUGAAACCUCUGGUCGGCGUUUACGAACCGGUGUGUUCGGUAAACCAGAUGAAGCAACCACCUGGCCACUAUGCCGGGUUGUGCGGCGAGCUUCAUACUGUUGUUUCUUCAAAAGAAAGUUUGGAUCUAGAUAAGCUAGAGGGUGUGAAAUUUUUACUUUCCGGUUUGCUUGACAGGUUUUCUGUGCUGGCUGAGGAUCUGAACCGGAGGAAAGAAUAAUUACCUCUACAUCAUCAGCCCGGCUAGCUUCGGCGUCAUCCUGAUAAUGGUCAUUGUCAAUGAGGUGUAUGAAAAAUGAACCAAGAGAAUCAAGUUCUACCUUUGAUUCCGGGUUGUCAAGAUCCUCGUCGAGGUUCAGCUCGGUGGACUCACCUGUUUUCUUCUUGGCAGGCUUUUUGACGACCUUUGUCUUGGGUCGAGGGGUCUUGGCCGGUUUAUCCCAAGCGUUCUUCUUCCAAAAUGGGUCGUCACCCUGUUAAAAGAUUGAUAAAGGUUAUAAGGAAGAGUUAAGAAUAUCAGGUUCAAACAGGGGUUAGGCAAUUCUUACAGCUGGUGGUUUAUUUGAAACGUAGAAGGGACUUAGCCCUAUUUUGCUGCAGACAACCACCGAUUCAUCCAGUAUCUUUUUGACAGCUUCAGUGAUUUCAGCAUCAGUUAACUGAAUGUUAGUGUGCCAUUGAGGGUCUUUCAAGUCCCCUGUGUACUCGGACAUUAAACCUGGGCGACAGCUUAAAGGCAAAAUACCCCAAGAUAUCCAGCAACGAACAAAGUCAAUUCCUGUUAACCCAUUAGCCACAAAGGCUCUGAGCUUUGCAAGUUGUGGUGCAUAUUUGGCCCGUUCUUUUGCGGUCAACCUUUGGGGAAAAUGGAUGUGUAUUGGUAAGUCGGUGAGCACGGUAACCCGACAGAGGGUUCUCGUCAUCUGGGGAAGUAUCUUUGCAAUAGAACCAAGUCUGGUUCCAAUCCUUAGGGUGACUAUGAUGCUUGGCGUGAGGGAAGCUCACGUCUUUCCUUUUCUGAAUUGAAACGCCGCCAAUUUCAGUAUUGGGCCCGUCUGUAAAUUCAGUACGGCGGUUUAAAUAGAAAAAGUCCCUGAACAGUUCAACAGUCCGUUCUUCUUGCAGAUAAGCCUCGCAAAACACUUGAAAAUUACAAAUAUUGGACACAGAAUUAGGUCCAAUAUCUUGAGGGUGGAUCUGGAAGCUAGCAAGCACAUCACGGAUUUUUUUUGAUCCGGGAGGUUUAAAACCACGGCUCAGAUGAUCAACAAACACAACUAUCUCGCCAUCCUUGGGCUCAGGAGGAUUUUGUGGACCGGCAGCUCACCAGUGGAUUUCACUCUGUUUCGGUAAAGCGCCAGUUAUAACGCAUUCGUUCAGAUCUUCUUCCGUAAUCCGGGAUGGAACCCAGUUACAAGCGUAAAAAAGACUUGGCCAUUUCUUUGACAACUUGAAGGAAGAUUUGUGCCGGUUUAAGAUUCAUGGUGGAUAAGCAUGAAGCGUUGCAGGUUAAGGGACGAAAGGUAUUCAAGCAUGCAAAAUUAUUAAACCGAAGGAUGAUGAUAUCAGGACUACAAUGAUAAAGCGAUUGGCGGUUUACGAGGGACUAAUGGUACCUGACGGGUUAUCAUUUUCUAAAGUUAAACCGCCUACAUUGGUAUGGAAGGUACAGAUCUGAUGUUGGAAAUAUGCCCUAGAGGCAAUAAUAAAAGCAUUAUUAUUAUAUUUCCUUAUUCAUGAUAAUUGUCUUUAUUCAUGCUAUAAUUGUGUUAUCCGGAAAUCGUAAUACAUGUGUGAAUAACAGACACCAACAUGUCCCUAGUAAGCCUCUAGUUGACUAGCUCGUUGAUCAACAGAUAGUCAUGGUUUCCUGACUAUGGACAUUGGAUGUCAUUGAUAACGAGAUCACAUCAUUAGGAGAAUGAUGUGAUGGACAAGACCCAAUCCUAAACAUAGCACAAGAUCGUAUAGUUCGUUUGCUAGAGUUUUUCCAAUGUCAAGUAUCUUUUCCUUAGACCAUGAGAUCGUGUAACUCCCGGAUACCGUAGGAGUGCUUUGGGUAUACCAAACGUCACAACGUAACUGGGUGACUAUAAAGGUAGACUACGGGUAUCUCCGAAAGUGUCUCUUGGGUUGACAUGGAUCAAGACUGGGAUUUGUCACUCCGUAUGACGGAGAGGUAUCACUGGGCCCACUCGGUAAUGCAUCAUCAUAAUGAGCUCAAAGUGACCAAGUGUCUGGUCACGGGAUCAUGCAUUACGGUACGAGUAAAGUGACUUGCCGGUAACGAGAUUGAAUGAGGUAUUGGGAUACCGACGAUCGAAUCUCGGGCAAGUAACAUAUCGAUUGACAAAGGGAAUUGCAUACGGGGUUGAUUGAAUCCUCGACAUCGUGGUUCAUCCGAUGAGAUCAUCGUGGAGCAUGUGGGAGCCAACAUGGGUAUCCAGAUCCCACUGUUGGUUAUUGACCGGAGAGUCGUCUCGGUCAUGUCUGCUUGUCUCCCGAACCCGUAGGGUCUACACACUUAAGGUUCGGUGAUGCUAGGGUUGUGAAGAUAUGUAUAUGCAGUAACCCGAAUGUUGUUCGGAGUCCCGGAUGAGAUCCCGGACGUCACGAGGAGUUCCGGAAUGGUCCGGAGGUAAAGAAUUAUAUAUAGGAAGUGCUGUUUCGGCCAUCGGGACAAGUUUCGGGGUCACCGGUAUUGUACCAGGACCACCGGAAGGGUCCCGGGGGUCCACCGGGUGGGGCCACCUAUCCCGGGGGGCCCCAUGGGCUGAAGUGGGAGGGAACCCAGCCCAAAGUGGGCUGGGGCGCCACUCCCCUAGGGCCCAUGCAGCUAGGGUUGAGGGGAAACCCUAAAGGGGGCGCCCCCUUGCUUGGGGGGCAAGCCCCCCACCCUUGGCCGCCGCCUCCCAUAGGAGAUUCCAUCUCCUAGGGCCGGCGCCCCCCCUAGCACCCCUAUAUAUAGUGGGGGAGAGGAGGGACUUCAUACACCAGCCCCUGGCGCCUCCCUCUCUCCCCGUUACGUCUCUCUCUCGUAGUAUAGGCGAAGCCCUGCUAUUGUGACGCCCUGCAUCCACCACCACGCCGUCGUGCUGCUGGAUCUUCAUCAACCUCUCCUUCCCCCUUGCUGGAUCAAGAAGGAGGAGACGUCUCCUGUCCCGUACGUGUGUUGAACGCGGAGGUGCCGUCCGUUCGGCGCUUGGUCAUCAGUGAUUUGGAUCACGUCGUGUUCGACUACAUCAUCACCGUUCUUUGAACGCUUCCGCACGCGAUCUACAAAGGUAUGUAGAUGCAUCCGAUGAAUUGUUGCUAGAUGAACUCCUAGAUGGAUCUUGGUGAAACGAGUAGGAAAAUUUUUGUUUUCUGCAACGUUCCCCAACAGUGGCAUCAUGAGCUAGGUCUAUGCGUAGUUCUUCUUGCGCGAGUAGAACACAAUUUGUUGUGGGCGUAGAUUUGUCAACUUUCUUGCUGCUACUAGUCUUUUCUUGUUGGAAAUAUGCCCUAGAGGCAAUAAUAAAUUAGUUAUUAUUAUAUUUCCUUGUUCAUGAUAAUCGUUUAUUAUCCAUGCUAGAAUUGUAUUGAUAGGAAACUCAGAUACAUGUGUGGAUACAUAGACAACACCAUGUCCCUAGUAAGCCUCUAGUUGACUAGCUCGUUGAUCAAUAGAUGGUUAUGGUUUCCUGACCAUGGACAUUGGAUGUCAUUGAUAACGGGAUCACAUCAUUAGGAGAAUGAUGUGAUGGACAAGACCCAAUCCUAAGCCUAGCACAAGAUCAUGUAGUUUGUAUGCUAAAGCUUUUCUAAUGUCAAGUAUCAUUUCCUUAGACCAUGAGAUUGUGCAACUCCCGGAUACCGUAGGAGUGCUUUGGGUGUACCAAACGUCACAACGUAACUGGGUGACUAUAAAGGUGCACUACGGGUAUCUCCGAAAGUGUCUGUUGGGUUGACACGAAUCGAGACUGGGAUUUGUCACUCCGUGUAAACGGAGAGGUAUCUCUGGGCCCACUCGGUAGGAUAUCAUCAUAAUGUGCACAAUGUGAUCAAGGAGUUGAUCACGGGAUGAUGUGUUACAGAACGAGUAAAGAGACUUGCCGGUAACGAGAUUGAACAAGGUAUCGGGAUACCGACGAUCGAAUCUCGGGCAAGUAUCGUACCGAUAGACAAAGGGAAUUGUAUACGGGAUUGAUUAAGUCCUUGACAUCGUGGUUCAUCCGAUGAGAUCAUCGUGGAACAUGUGGGAGCCAACAUGGGUAUCCAGAUCCCGCUGUUGGUUAUUGACCGGAGAAUGUCUCGGUCAUGUCUGCAUGUCUCCCAAACCCGUAGGGUCUACACACUUAAGGUUCGAUGACGCUAGGGUUGUAAAGGAAGUUUGUAUGUGGUUACCGAAUGUUGUUCGGAGUCCCAGAUGAGAUCCCGGACGUCACGAGGAGUUCCGGAAUGGUCCGGAGGUAAAGAUUUAUAUAUGGGAAGUCCUGGUUUGGUCACCGGAAGAGUUUCGGGGUUUAUCGGUAACAUACCGGGACCACCGGGAGGGUCCCGGGGGUCCACCAAGUGGGGCCACCAACCCCGGAGGCUUGCAUGGGCCAAGAGUGGUGAGGGACCAGCCCCUUAGUGGGCUGGUGCGCCUCCCACAAGGGCCCAUGGCGCCUAAGAGGUGGGAAGGGGGCAAACCCUAAUGGGAUAUGGGCCUUAGGGCCCAUAUUGGUGCGCCUCCCUCUCCCAUCCCCUCUUGGCCGCCACCCCUUGGCCAUCUAGGGCUGCCGCCCCCCUAGGGGUGGGAACCCUAGAGGGGGCGCAGCCCAUCCCCUUCCCCUAUAUAUAUGAGGCCAAGGGCUGCCCCAUAACACACGCGUGAUUCGAUCUCUCGUUGGUGCAGCCCUGCAUCUCUUCUUCCUCCUCUUCUGUGGUGCUUGGCGAAGCCCUGCAGGAUAGCCACGCUCCUCCACCACCACCACGCCGUUGUGCUGCUGCUGGAUAGAGUCUUCCUCAACCUCUCCCUCUCUCCUUGCUGGUUCAGGCGUGGGAGUCGUCACCGGGCUGUACGUGUGUUGAACGCGGAGGUGCCGUGCGUUCGGCACUUGGUCAUCGGUGAUUUGAAUCACGACGAGUACGACUCCAUCAACCCCGUUCACUUGAACGCUUCUGCUUAGCGAUCUACAAGGGUAUGUAGAUGCACUCUCCUUCCCCUCGUUGCUGGUCUCUCCAUAGAUAGAUCUUGGUGACACGUAUGAAAAUUUUGAAUUUCUGCUACGUUCCCCAACAGUGGCAUCAUGAGCUAGGUCUAUUCCGUAGAUUCUAUGCACGAGUAGAACACAAAGUAGUUGUGGGCGUUGAUUUUGUUCAAUAUGCUUGCCGUUACUAGUCUUAUCUUGAUUCGGCGGCAUCGUGGGAUGAAGCGGCCCGGACCAACCUUACACGUACUCUUACGUGAGACCGGUUCCACCGACAAACAUGCACUAGUUGCAUAAGGUGGCUGGCGGGUGUCUGUCUCUCCCACUUUAGUCGGAUCGGAUUCGAUGAAAAGGGUCCUUAUGAAGGGUAAAUAGCAAUUGGCAUAUCACGUUGUGGUCUUUGUGUAGGUAAGAAACAUUCUUGCUAGAAACCCAUAGCAGCCAUGUAAAACAUGCAAACAACAAUUAGAGGACGUCUAACUUGUUUUUGCAGGGUAUGCUAUGUGAUGUGAUAUGGCCAAAGGAUGUGAUGAAUGAUAUAUGUGAUGUAUGAGAUUGAUCAUGUUCUUGUAAUAGGAAUCACGACUUGCAUGUCGAUGAGUAUGACAACCGGCAGGAGCCAUAGGAGUUGUCUUUAUUUAUUUAUGACCUGCGUGUCAACAUAAACGUCAUGUAAUUACUUUACUUUAUUGCUAACCGUUAGUUGUAGUAGUAGAAGUAAUAGAUGACGAGACAACUUCAUGAAGACACGAUGAUGGAGAUCAUGAUGAUGGAGAUCAUGGUGUCAUGCCGGUGACAAGAUGAUCAUGGAGCCCCAAGAUGGAGAUCAAAGGAGCUAUAUGAUAUUGGCCAUAUCAUGUCACUAUUAUUUGAUUGCAUGUGAUGUUUAUCAUGUGUAUACAUCUUAUUUGCUUAGAACGACGGUAGUAAAUAAGAUGAUCCCUUACAACAAUUUCAAGAAGUGUUCUCUCCUAACUGUGCACCGUUGCGACAGUUCGUGUUUCGAAGCACCACGUGAUGAUCGGGUGUUAGAUUCUAACGUUCACAUACAACGGGUGUAAGACAGAUUUACACACGCGAAACACUUAGGGUUAACUUGACGAGCCUAGCAUGUACAGACAUGGCCUCGGAACACAGAAGACCGAAAGGUCGAGCAUGAGUCGUAUGGCAGAUACGAUCAACAUGAAGAUGUUCACCGAUGUUGACUAGUCCGUCUCACGUGAUGAUCGGACACGGCCUAGUUGACUCGGACCAUGUAAUCACAUAGAUGACUAAAGGGAUGUCUAUCUGAGUGGGAGUUCAUAAGAUGAACUUAAUUAUCCUGAACAUAGUCAAAAGGAUUUUGCGAAUUAUGUCGUAGCUCGCGCUUUAGUUCUACUGUUUAGAUAUGUUCCUAGAGAAAAAAUUAGUUGAAAGUUGAUAGUAGCAAUUGUGCGGACUAAGUUCGCAAACUGAGGAUUGUCCUCAUUGCUUCAUAGAAGGCUUAUGUCCUUAAUGCACCGCUUAGUGUGCUGAACCUCGAACGUCGUCUAUGGAUGUUGCGAACAUCUGACAUACACAUUUUGAUAAUUACAUUAUAGUUCAGUGCGUAAUGUUAAAUGGUUUAGAAUUGAGGCACCGAAGAUGUUUUGAAACGUCGCAAAACAUAUGAGAUGUUUUGAGGGCUGAAAUUGGGAUUUCAGGCUCGUGCCCACGUCAAGAGGUGUAAGACCUCCGACGAUUUUCUUAGCCUGCAAACUAAGGGAGAAAAGCUCAAUUGUUGAGCUUGUGCUCAGAUUGUCUGAGUACAACAAUCAUUUGAAUCAAGUGGGAGUUGAUCUUCCAGAUAAGAUAGUGAUGUUUCUCCGAAGUCAUUACCACCAAGCUGCUAGAGCUUCGUGAUGAACUAUAAUGUAUCAGGGACAUAUAUGAUGAUCCUUGAGAUAUUCGCGAUGUUUGACACCGCGAAAGUAGAAAUCAAGAAGGAGCAUCAAUUGUUGAUGGUUGGUGAAACCACUAGUUUCAACAAGGGUAAGGGCAAGAAGGGAUACUUCAUGAAACGGCAAUUCAGCUGCUGCUCUAGUGAAGAAACCCAAGGUUGAACCCAAACCCGAGACUAAGUGCUUCUGUAAUAAGGGGAACAGCCACUAGAGCAGUAUUACCCUAGAUACUUGGUAGAUGAGAAGGCUGUCGAUAGAAGUAUAUUGGAUAUACAUUAUGUUAAUGUGUACUUUACUAGUACUCCUAGUAGCACCAGGGUAUUAGAUACCGGUUCAGUUGCUAAGUGUUAGUAACUCGAAAUAAAAGCUACGGAAUAAACGGAGACUAGCUAAAGGUGAGCUGACGAUAUGUGUUGGAAGUGUUUCCAAGGUUGACAUGAUCAAGCAUCGCACGCUCCCUCUACCAUCGAGAUUGGUAUUAAAACCUAAAUAAUUGUUAUUUGGUGUUUGCGUUGAGCAUAGACAUGAUUGGAUUAUGUCUAUCGCAAUACGGUUAUUCAUUUAAGGAGAAUAACGGUUACUCUGUUUAUUUGAAUAAUACCUUCAAUGGUCUUAUGCCUAAAUUGAAUCUCGAUCGUAGUGAUACACAUGUUCAUGCCAAAAGAAAGUAAUGAUAGUACCACCUACUUGUGGCACUGCCACGUAAGUCAUAUCGGUAUAAAACGCAUGAAGAAGCUCCAUGUUGAUGGAUCUUUGGGCUCACUCGUUUUUUUAAAGGUUUGAGGCAUGCGAAUCAUGUCUAUUGGUGUAUAUGCAUGAAACUCCAUGCAAAUGGACCGUUUGGACUCACUUGAUUUUUGAAUCACUUGAGACAUGCAAAUCAUACCACAUGGGCAAGAUGACUGAAAGCCUCGGUUUCAGUAAAAUGGAACUAGAAAGCAACUUGUUGGAAGUAAUACAUUUUGAUGUGUGCAAUCCAAUGAGUGCUGAGGCAUGUAGUGGAUAUCGUUAUGUUCUUACUUCACAGAUGAUUUGAGUAGAUGUUGAGUAUAUUUACUUGAUGAAUCACGAGUCUGAAUUAUUGAAAGGUUCAAAUAAUUUCAGGGUGAAGUUGAAAGAUCGUCCUGACAAGAGGAUAAAAUAUCUAUGAUAUGAUCAUAGAGAUGAAUAUCUGAAUUAUGAGUUUGGCACAGAAUUAAGACAUUGUGGAAAUUGUUUCACAACCAAUACAACCUGGAACACCAUAGUGUGAUGGUGUGUCCGAACAUCAUAACUGCACCCUAUUGGAUAUGAUGCAUACCAUGAUGUCUCUUAUCGAAUUACCACAAUAGUUUAUGGGUUAGGCAUUAGAGACAACCACAUUCACUUUAAUAGGGCAUCACGUAAUUCCGAUGAGAUGACACCAUAUGAACUAUGGUUUAGACAAACCUAAGCUGUCAUUUCUUAAAAGUUUGGGGCUGCGACGCUUAUGUGAAAAAGUUUUAGGCAGAUAAGCUCGAACCCAAAGCGGAUAAAUGCAUCUUCAUAGGACACCCAAAACAGUUGGGUAUACCUCCUGUCUCAGAUCCGAAAGCAAUAAGGGAUUGUUUCUAGAAUCGGGUCCUUUCUCGAGGAAAAGUUUCUCUCGAAAGAAUUGAGUGGGAGGAUGGUGGAGGCUUGAUGAGGUUAUUGAACCGUCACUUCAACUCGUGUAUAGCAGGGCACAAAGAGUUGUUCCUGUGGCACCUACAUCAAUUGAAGUGGAAGCUUAUGAUAGUGAUCAUGAAACUUCAGAUCAAGUCACUACCAAACCUCGUGGGAUGACAAGGAUGCGUACUACUUCAGAGUGGUACGUAAUCCUAUCUUGGAAGUCAUGUUGCUAGACAACAAUGAACCUACGAGCUAUGGAGAAGCGACGGUGGGCCUGGAUUCUGAUAAAUGGCUCGAAGCCAUGAAAUCCGAGAGAGGAUCCAUGUAUGAAAACAAAGUGUAGACUUUGGAAGAACUACUUGAUGGUCGUGAGGCUGUUGAGUACAGAUGGAUUUUAAAAGGAAGACGGACAAUAAUGGUAAAUGUCACCAUUAAGAGAGCUCGACUUGUCGUUAAGAUGUUUUCUGACAAGUUCAAGGAGUUGACUACGGUGAGAUUUUCUCACUCGUAGCGAUGCUAAGAGUCUGUUGGAAUUAUAUUAGCAGUCACUGCAUUAUUUAUGAAAUCUUGCAGAUAGGAUGUCAAAACAUUGUUUCCUCGACUAUUUUCUUGAGGAAAGGUUGUAUGUGAUACAACCGAAAGGUUUUGUCAAUCCUGAAAGAUGCUAAUAAGUAUGCAAAGCUCCAGCUAUCCUUCUGAGGACUGGAGUGAGCAUCUCGGAGUUGGAAUGUACACUUUGAUGAGAUGAUCAAAGAUUUUGGGUUUAUACAAAGUUUAUGAGAAACUUGUAUUUCCAAAAAAGUGAGUGGGAGCACUAUAGAAUUUCUGAUGAGUAUAUGUUUUGUUGAUCGGAAAUGACGUAGAAUUUCUAGAAAGCAUGUAGGGUUAUUUGGAAAGUGUUUUUCAAUGGAAAUCCAGGAUUAAGCUACUUGAACAUUGAGCAUCAAGAUCUAUAAGGAUAGAUCAAAACGCUUAAUGGUACUUUCAAAUGAGCACAUACCUUGACAUGAUCUUGAAGGUGUUCAAGAUGGAUCAGUCAAAGAAGGAGUUCUUGCCUGAGUUGUAAGGUAUGAAGUUAAGACUUAAAGCUCGACCAUGGCAGAAUAGAGAGAAAGGACGAAAGUCGUCCCCUAUGCUUAAGACGUAGGCUCUAUAGUAUGCUAUGCUGUGUACCGCACCUGAAGUGUGCCUUGCCAUGAGUCAGUCAAGGGGUACAAGAGUGAUCCAAGAAUGGAUCACAGGACAGCUGUCAAAGUUAUCCUUAGUAACUAGUGGACUAAGGAAUUUUCUCGAUUAUGGAGGUGGAAAAAGAGUUCGUCGUAAAGGGUUGCGUCGAUGCAAGCUUAACACCUAUCCGGAUAGCUCUGAGUAGAGAUACCGGAUACGUAUAAUGGAGCAACAAUUUAGAAUAGCUCCAAGUAGAACAGUUAUUUGGAAUAGUUCCAAAUAGAACGUGGUAGCUACAUCUAGGAGAUGACAUAGAGAUUUGUAAAGCACACACGGAUCUGAAAGGUUCAGGCCCGUUGACUAAAACCUCUCUCACAAGCAACAUGAUCAAACCCAAAAAUCAUUGAGUGUUAAUCACAUGGUAAAAGUGAACUAGAUUAUUGACUCUAGUAAACUCUUUGGGUAUUAGUCACAUGGGGAUGUGACCUUGAGUGUUAAUCACACAUCAAUGUGAACUGGAUUAUUGACUCUAGUGCAAGUGGGAGACUGUUGGAAAUAUGCCCUAGAGGCAAUAAUAAAUUAGUUAUUAUUAUAUUCCUUGUUCAUGAUAAUCGUUUAUUAUCCAUGCUAGAAUUGUAUUGAUAGGGAACUCAGAUACAUGUGUGGAUACAUAGACAACACCAUGUCCCUAGUAAGCCUCUAGUUGACUAGCUCGUUGAUCAAUAGAUGGUUACGGUUUCCUGACCAUGGACAUUGGAUGUCAUUGAUAACGGGAUCACAUCAUUAGGAGAAUGAUGUGAUGAACAAGACCCAAUCCUAAGCCUAGCACAAGAUCAUGUAGUUCGUAUGCUAAAGCUUUUCUAAUGUCAAGUAUCAUUUCCUUAGACCAUGAGAUUGUGCAACUCCCGGAUACCGUAGGAGUGCUUUGGGUGUACCAAACGUCACAACGUAACUGGGUGACUCUAAAGGUGCACUACGGGUAUCUCCGAAAGUGUCUGUUGGGUUGACACGAAUCGAGACUGGGAUUUGCCACUCCGUGUAAACGGAGAGGUAUCUCUGGGCCCACUCGGUAGGAUAUCAUCAUAAUGUGCACAAUGUGAUCAAGGAGUUGAUCACGGGAUGAUGUGUUAUGGAACGAGUAAAGAGACUUGCCGGUAACGAGAUUGAACAAGGUAUCGGGAUACCGACGAUCGAAUCUCGGGCAAGUAUCGUACCGAUAGACAAAGGGAAUUGUAUACGGGAUUGAUUAAGUCCUUGACAUCGUGGUUCAUCCGAUGAGAUCAUCGUGGAACAUGUGGGAGCCAACAUGGGUAUCCAGAUCCUGCUGUUGGUUAUUGACCGGAGAACGUCUCGGUCAUGUCUGCAUGUCUCCCGAACCCGUAGGGUCUACACACUUAAGGUUCGAUGACGCUAGGGUUGUAAAGGAAGUUUGUAUGUGGUUACCGAAUGUUGUUCGGAGUCCCGGAUGAGAUCCCGGACGUCACGAGGAGUUCCGGAAUGGUCCGGAGGUAAAGAUUUAUAUAUGGGAAGUCCUGUUUUGGUCACCGGGAGAGUUUCGGGGUUUAUCGGUAACAUACCGGGACCACCGGGAGGGUCCCGGGGGUCCACCAAGUGGGGCCACCAACCCCGGAGGCUUGCAUGGGCCAAGAGUGGUGAGGGACCAGCCCCUUAGUGGGCUGGUGCGCCUCCCACAAGGGCCCAUGGCGCCUAAGAGGUGGGAAGGGGGCAAACCCUAAUGGGAUAUGGGCCUUAGGGCCCAUAUUGGUGCGCCUCCCUCUCCCAUCCCCUCUUGGCCGCCACCCCUUGGCCAUCUAGGGCUGCCGCCCCCCUAGGGGUGGGAACCCUAGAGGGGGCGCAGCCCAUCCCCUUCCCCUAUAUAUAUGAGGCCAAGGGUUGCCCCAUAACACACGCGUGAUUCGAUCUCUCGUUGGUGCAGCCUUGCAUCUCUUCUUCCUCCUCUUCUGUGGUGCUUGGCGAAGCCCUGCAGGAUAGCCACGCUCCUCCACCACCACCACGUUGUUGUGCUUCUGCUGGAUAGAGUCUUCCUCAACCUCUUCCUCUCUCCUUGCUGGAUCAAGGCAUGGGAGACGUCACCGGGCUGUACGUGUGUUGAACGCGGAGGUGCCGUGCGUUCGGCACUUGGUCAUCGGUGAUUUGAAUCACGACGAGUAUGACUCCAUCAACCCCGUAAACUUGAACGCUUCCGCUUAGCGAUCUACAAGGGUAUGUAGAUGCACUCUCCUUCCCCUCAUUGCUGGUCUCUCCAUAGAUAGAUCUUGGUGACACGUAGGAAAAUUUUGAAUUUCUGCUACGUUCCCCAACAUUUCUUGCUUCAGCGGCAUUGUGGGAAGAAGCGGCCCGGACCAACCUUACACGUACGCUUACGUGAGACCGGUUCCACCGACAAACAUGCACAAGUUGCAUAAAGUGGCUGGCGGGUGUCUGUCUCUCCUACUUUAGUUGGAGCGGAUUCGAUGAACAGGGUCCUUAUGAAGGGUAAAUAGAAGUUGACAAAUCACGUUGUGGCUUUAACGUAGGUAAGAAGUCGUUCUUGCUAGAACCCUAAAUUCAGCCACGUAAAACUUGCAACAUCAAUUAGAGGACGUCUAACUUGUUUUUUGCAGCAAGUGGUUUGUGAUAUGAUAUGGCCAAAGUUGUGGUGAAUGAUGAAUGAUCUAUAUGUGAUGUAUGAUAUGUUCAUGCUAUUGUAAUAGAAAUCACGACUUGCAUGUCGAUGAGUAUGACAACCGGCAGGAGCCAUAGGAGUUGUCUUUAUUCUUUUAUAUGACCUGCGUGUCAUUGAGAAACGCCAUGUAAAUUACUUUACUUUAUUGCUAAACGCGUUAGCCAUAGUAGUAGAAGUAAUAUUUGGCGAGCAACUUCAUGGAGACACGAUGAUGGAGAUCAUGAUGAUGGAGAUCAUGGUGUCAAGCCGGUGACAAGAUGAUCAUGGAGCCCCAAGAUGGAGAUAAAAGGAGCUAUGUGAUAUUGGCCAUAUCAUGUCACGUUUAUUAUUUGAUUUCAUGUGAUGUUUAUCAUGUUUUGCAUCUUGUUUACUUAGAACGACGGUAGUAAAUAAGAUGAUCCCUCAUAAUAAUUUCAAGAAGUGUUCCCCCUAACUGUGCACCGUUGCGACAGUUCGUUGUUUCAAAACACCACGUGAUGAUCGGGUGUUUUAUUCAGACGUUCACAUACAACGGGUGUAAGACAGAUUUACACAUGCAAACACUUAGGUUGACUUGACGAGCCUAGCAUGUACAGACAUGGCCUCGGAACACAGAAGACCGAAAGGUCGAGCAUGAGUCAUAUAGAAGAUACGAUCAACAUGAAGAUGUUCACCGAUGUUGACUAGUCCGUCUCACGUGAUGAUCGGACAUGGCCUAGUUAACUCAGAUCAUGUAAUACUUAGAUGACUAGAGGGAUGUCUAAUCUAAGUGGGAGUUCAUUAAUAAUUUGAUUGGAUGAACUUAAUUAUCAUGAACUUAGUCUAAAAUAUUUUACAAUAUGUCUUGUAGAUCAAAUGGCCCACGUAGUCCUCAACUUCAACGCGUUCCUAGAGAAAACCAAGCUGAAAGACGAUGGCAGCAACUAUACGGACUGGGUCCGGAACCUGAGGAUCAUCCUCAUAGCUGCCAAGAAAGAUUAUGUCCUACAAGCACCGCUAGGUGAAGCUCCCGUCCCACAGAACCAAGACGUUAUGAACGCUUGGCAGACACGUGUUGACGACUACUCCCUCGUUCAGUGCGGCAUGCUUUACAGCUUAGAGCCGGGGCUCCAAAAGCGUUUUGAGAGACAUGGAGCAUAUGAGAUGUUCGAAGAGCUGAAAAUGGUUUUUCAAGCUCAUGCCCGGAUCGAGAGAUAUGAAGUCUCCGAUAAGUUCUUCAGCUGUAAGAUGGAGGAAAAUAGUUCUGUCAGUGAGCACAUACUCACUAUGUCUGGGUUACAUAACCGCUUGUCUCAGCUGGGAGUUAAUCUCCCGGAUGAUGCGGUCAUUGACAGAAUCCUCCAGUCGCUUCCACCAAGCUACAAGAGCUUUGUGAUGAACUUCAACAUGCAGGGGAUGCAAAAGACCAUUCCUGAGUUGUUCUCAAUGCUGAAAUCAGCGGAGGUAGAAGUCAAGAAGGAACAUCAAGUGUUGAUGGUCAAUAAAGCCACUAAGUUCAAGAAAGGCAAGGGUAAAAAGAACUUCAAGAAGGACGGCAAGGAGGUUGCCGCGCCCGGCAAGCAAGCUGCCGGGAAGAAGCCAAAGAAUGGACCCAAGCCCGAGACUGAGUGCUUUUAUUGCAAGGGAAGCGGUCAUUGGAAGUGGAACUGCCCUAAAUACUUAGCAGACAAGAAGGCCGGCAAAACAAAAGGUAUAUGUGAUAUACAUGUAAUUGAUGUGUACCUUACUAGUGUCCGUAGUAGCUCCUGGGUAUUUGAUACCGGUGCAGUUGCUCACAUUUGUAACUCAAAACAGGGGCUGCGGAAUAAGCGGAAACUGGCAAAGGACGAGGUGACGAUGCACGUCGGGAAUGGUUCCAAGGUCAAUGUGAUCGCCGUCGGCACGCUACCUCUAUAUCUACCUUCGGGAUUAGUUUUAAACCUUAAUAAUUGUUAUUUAGUGCCAGCUUUGAGCAUGAACAUUGUAUCGGGAUCUCGUUUAAUUCGAGAUGGCUACUCAUUUAAAUCCGAGAAUAAUGGUUGUUCUAUUUAUAUGAGAGAUAUGUUUUAUGGUCAUGCUCCUAUGGUGAACGGUUUAUUCUUUAUGAAUCUCGAACGUAAUACUACACAUGUUCAUAAUGUGAGUACCAAAAGAUGUAAGGUUGAUAAUGAUAGUCCCACAUACUUGUGGCACUGCCGCCUUGAUCACAUAGGUGUCAAACGCAUGAAGAAGCUCCAUGCAGAUGGACUUUUAGAGUCUCUUGAUUAUGAAUCAUUUGACACGUGCGAACCAUGCCUCAUGGGUAAGAUGACCAAGACUCCGUUCUCAGGAACAAUGGAGCGAGCAACCAACUUAUUGGAAAUCAUACAUACUGAUGUAUGCGGUCCAAUGAGUGUUGACGCUUGCGGUGGCUAUCGUUAUGUUCUCACGCUCACUGAUGAUUUAAGUAGAUAUGGGUAUAUCUACUUAAUGAAACACAAGUCUGAAACCUUUGAAAAGUUCAAGGAAUUUCAGAGUGAGGUUGAAAAUCAACGUGACAGGAAAAUCAAGUUUCUACGAUCAGAUCGUGGAGGAGAAUACUUGAGUCACGAAUUUGGCACACACUUAAGAAAAUGUGGAAUAGUUUCACAACUCACGCCGCCUGGAACACCUCAGCGUAAUGGUGUGUCCGAACGUCGUAAUCACACUCUAUUAGAUAUGGUGCGAUCUAUGAUGUCUCUUACCGAUUUACCGCUAUCUUUUUGGGGCUAUGCUUUAGAGACUGCCGCAUUCACUUUAAAUAGGGCUCCGUCGAAAUCCGUUGAGACGACACCGUAUGAAUUAUGGUUUGGGAAGAAACCUAAGCUGUCGUUUCUAAAAGUUUGGGGAUGCGAUGCUUAUGUCAAGAAACUUCAACCUGAAAAGCUCGAACCCAAGUCGGAAAAAUGCGUCUUCAUAGGAUACCCAAAAGAAACUAUUGGGUAUACCUUCUACCUCAGAUCCGAAGGCAAGAUCUUUGUUGCCAAGAAUGGGUCCUUUCUAGAGAAAGAGUUUCUCUCGAAAGAAGUAAGUGGGAGGAAAGUAGAGCUUGAUGAAGUAUUACCUCUUGAACCGGAAAAUGGCGCAACUCAAGAAAAUGUUCCUGAGGUGCCUGCACCGACUAGAGAGGAAGUUAAUGAUAAUGAUCAAGAUACUUCUGAUCAAGCUCCUACUGAAAUUCGAAGGUCCACAAGGACACGUUCCGCACCAGAGUGGUACGGCAACCCUGUCUUGGAAAUCAUGUUGUUAGACAACGGUGAAUCUUCGAACUAUGAAGAAGCGAUGGCGGGCCCGGAUUCCGACAAAUGGCUAGAAGCCAUGAAAUCCGAGAUAGGAUCCAUGUAUGAAAAUGAAGUAUGGACUUUGACUGACUUGCCCGUUGAACGGCGAGCCAUAGAAAAUAAAUGGAUCUUUAAGAAGAAGACAGACGCGGAUGGUAAUGUGACCAUCUAUAAAGCUCGACUUGGCGCUAAGGGUUAUCGACAAGUUCAAGGGGUUGACUACGAUGAGACUUUCUCACCGGUAGCGAAGCUAAAGUCCGUCCGAAUCAUGUUAGAAAUUGCCGCAUUCUACGAUUAUGAGAUAUGGAAAAUGCACGUCAAAACGGCAUUCCUUAAUGGUUUCCUUAAGGAAGAAUUGUAUAUGAUGCAGCCGGAAGGUUUUGUCGAUCCUAAGAAUGCUGACAAGGUGUGCAAGCUCCAACGCUCAAUUUAUGGGCUGGUGCAAGCAUCUCGGAGUUGGAACAUUCGCUUUGAUGAGAUGAUCAAAGCGUUUGGGUUUACGCAGACUUAUGGAGAAGUCUGCGUUUACAAGAAAGUGAGUGGGAGCUCUGUAGCAUUUCUCAUAUUAUAUGUAGAUGACAUACUAUUGAUGGGAAAUGAUAUAGAACUCUUGGACAGCAUCAAGGCCUACUUGAAUAAGAGUUUUUCAAUGAAGGACCUUGGAGAAGUUGCUUAUAUAUUAGGCAUCAAAAUCUAUAGAGAUAGAUCGAGACGCCUCAUAGGUCUUUCACAAAGCACAUACCUUGAUAAGAUAUUGAAGAAUUCAAUAUGGAUCAAUCUAAGAAGGGGUUCUUGCCUGUGUUACAAGGUAUGAAAUUGAGCUCAGCUCAAUGUCCGACCACGGCAGAAGAUAUAGAAGAGAUGAGCGUCAUCCCCUAUGCAUCAGCCAUAGGUUCUAUUAUGUAUGCCAUGCUGUGUACCAGACCUAAUGUAAACCUUGCCGUAAGUUUGGUAGGAAGGUACCAAAGUAAUCCCGGCAAGGAACACUGGACAGCGGUCAAGAAUAUCCUGAAGUACCUGAAAAGGACUAAGGAAAUGUUUCUCGUUUAUGGAGGUGAUGAAGAGCUCGUCGUAAAGGGUUACGUCGACGCUAGCUUUGACACAGAUCUGGAUGACUCUAAGUCACAAACCGGAUAUGUGUAUAUUUUGAAUGGUGGGGCAGUAAGCUAGUGCAGUUGCAAGCAAAGCGUCGUGGCGGGAUCUACAUGUGAAGCGGAGUACAUGGCAGCCUCGGAGGCAGCACAUGAAGCAAUAUGGGUGAAGGAGUUCAUCACCGACCUAGGAGUCAUACCCAAUGCAUCGGGGCCAAUCAAACUUUUCUGUGACAACACUGGAGCUAUUGCACUUGCCAAGGAGCCCAGGUUUCACAAGAAGACAAGGCACAUCAAGCGUCGCUUCAACUCCAUUCGUGAAAAUGUUCAAGAUGGAGACAUAGAUAUUUGUAAAGUACAUACGGACCUGAAUGUAGCAGAUCCAUUGACUAAACCUCUCCCUAGAGCAAAACAUGAUCAACACCAGAAUUCCAUGGGUGUUCGAUUCAUCACAAUGUAACUAGAUUAUUGACUCUAGUGCAAGUGGGAGACUGUUGGAAAUAUGCCCUAGAGGCAAUAAUAAAAGCAUUAUUAUUAUAUUUCCUUAUUCAUGAUAAUUGUCUUUAUUCAUGCUAUAAUUGUGUUAUCCGGAAAUCGUAAUACAUGUGUGAAUAACAGACACCAACAUGUCCCUAGUAAGCCUCUAGUUGACUAGCUCAUUGAUCAACAUAUAGUCAUGGUUUCCUGACUAUGGACAUUGGAUGUCAUUGAUAACGAGAUCACAUCAUUAGGAGAAUGAUGUGAUGGACAAGACCCAAUCCUAAACAUAGCACAAGAUCGUAUAGUUUGUUUGCUAGAGUUUUUCCAAUGUCAAGUAUCUUUUCCUUAGACCAUGAGAUCGUGUAACUCCCGGAUACCGUAGGAGUGCUUUGGGUAUACCAAACGUCACAACGUAACUGGGUGACUAUAAAGGUAGACUACGGGUAUCUCCGAAAGUGUCUGUUGGGUUGACAUGGAUCAAGACUGGGAUUUGUCACUCCGUAUGAUGGAGAGGUAUCACUGGGCCCACUCGGCAAUGCAUCAUCAUAAUGAGCUCAAAGUGACCAAGUGUCUGGUCACCGGAUCAUGCAUUAUGGUACGAGUAAAGUGACUUGCCGGUAACGAGAUUGAACGAGGUAUUGGGAUACCGACGAUCGAAUCUCGGGCAAGUAACAUAUCGAUUGACAAAGAGAAUUGCAUACGGGGUUGAUUGAAUCCUCGACAUCGUGGUUCAUCCGAUGAGAUCAUCAUGGAGCAUGUGGGAGCCAACAUGGGUAUCCAGAUCCCGCUGUUGGUUAUUGACCGGAGAGUCGUCUCGGUCAUGUCUGCUUGUCUCCCGAACCCGUAGGGUCUACACACUUAAGGUUCGGUGAUGCUAGGGUUGUGAAGAUAUGUAUAUGCAGUAACCCGAAUGUUGUUCGGAGUCCCGGAUGAGAUCCCGGACGCCACGAGGAGUUCCGGAAUGGUCUGGAGGUAAAGAAUUAUAUAUAGGAAGUGCUGUUUCGGCCAUCGGGACAAGUUUCGGGGUCACCGGUAUUGUACGGGGACCACCGGAAGGGUCUCGGGGGUCCACCGGGUGGGGCCACCUAUCCCGGGGGGCCCCAUGGGCUGAAGUGGGAGGGAACCCAGCCCAAAGUGGGCUGGGGCGCCACUCCCCUAGGGCCCAUGCGGCUAGGGUUGAGGGGAAACCCUAAAGGGGGCGCCCCCUUGCUUGGGGGGCAAGCCCCCCACCCUUGGCCGCCGCCCCCCUAGGAGAUUCCAUCUCCUAGGGCCGCCGCCCCCCCUAGCACCCCUAUAUAUAGUGGGGGAGAGGAGGGACUUCAUACACCAGCCCCUGGCGCCUCCCUCUCUCCCCUUUACGUCUCUCUCUCGUAGUAUAGGCGAAGCCCUGCUACUGUGGCGCCCUGCAUUCACCACGACACCGUCGUGCUGCUGGAUCUUCAUCAACCUCUCCUUCCCCCUUGCUGGAUCAAGAAGGAGGAGACGUCUCCCGUCCUGUACGUGUGUUGAACGUGAAGGUGUCGUCCGUUCGGCGCUUGGUCAUCAGUGGUUUGGAUCACGUCGUGUUCGACUACAUCAUCACCGUUCUUUGAACGCUUCCGCACGCGAUCUACAAAGGUAUGUAGAUGCAUCCGAUGACUCGUUGCUAGAUGAACUCCUAGAUGGAUCUUGGUGAAACGAGUAGGAAAUUUUUUGUUUUCUGCAACGUUCCCCAACAUCUGAAAUAGCUAAGUAAGGGGAAAACAGGUUUCACAAGUUGGCAUUACAAAUUUGGAUCUAUCACGGGUCGGAAAAUGAAAAUAUAUUAAGACCUAAACAUGGAAACCGAAGCAGUGGAUUAAGGUUCAGAUUGAAGUUUUUGCUUAAACGCGAUGCGCUGAUGAAAAAAGGACUAUGGCCAUUGCUGUGUAGGCUGAAUAUGGAGGUUUCAAUCGAAGGAACUACAUCGCUGAUAUGAGCACCGACGAACAUCGACGAACACCGAGGAAUGUUCAAACCCUAAAACUGAAUCUACGGUGGGGGAAAGAGAAGCUUACUGGUGCAGAAGGAACAGCGGAGAGGCGCCGCGAUUCUUUGGUACGUUCAGGGUGAUGCAGCAGCCAAGGUUGAGGCAGAGGCGAAGUUCGAUGGCGCUAACGGAGCUUGAGGUGCUGGGGCGAUGCGAGGAAGACGAUGAGGCUGAGAGGCAUGAGGGGAAAAGUGAAAAUGAUCCCCGACCCUAUUUAUAAGGUGAAGGGAUAAGCGGCAGACACAUGAAUCGAGGAGGUCGCAAAACGGAUCUAUAGACAUGCAGACGCCUCGAUUUUUGGAAAUUCAUUAAAGAAGAUACAUUUAAAGAUUUGGGAUCUGCACAAAGCUAAUGGCAGAUGACGUCACGAUGGAUUAUUAUGCUCUCGGAGAUGACGUCACAGCGGUUUACAAGGUUUUUCAGCUGGUGUUGAAGAAGGAAUUUUUCUAAGUACUGAAAAUUGACAUGAACCAGUUCAAAUCAAUUUGGGGCCUAAUGUUGGGGAUAUAACUAUUAAGUAUAAACCGCCCAGGAGGGGCCAGAUUAUACUUAUAGUAAGCUAUUCCUAUUUCAAGCCCACGAAGGCAAGGCGCUUUAUGAAGGAUGUUUAACAAGAAGGCCCAAGGCCCAAAGGCGGAUUAGGGACCGUAGAUGUAAACUGCCAUAAGAUGUAUAACUUGUAUUGUAAGAUAAGAAAGGGUAGAAACCGAGCCGGACACGAAUAUGAGCCGGCCGGGAUUCUGUAAACCGCCGGGCGUCAACCUGUGUAUAUAAAGGGACGACCCGGAGGCGGUUUAAGGACAAGAAAACAACAGAUCGAGAGCCAGGCAAAGCGGAUUCGCUCCCUGGUCAUCGAAACCCUAGCAAUUCCAUCACAACUGGAUUAGGCUUUUACCUUCACCGUAAGGGGCCGAACCAGUAUAAACUCCUUGCGUCCUUUGUCCCGCUUUAACCCCUUUAAGCUAACUACGUUGCAAUGGCUCAACGACUAAGCCCUCACACUAGGACAUCUGCCGUGACAAAACCACGACAAUAUGUGUAGGAUAAAAUUUGUUUGUUGCCUUCUCUAGAUCUUCUAACGAGAAAAUCUUUGUAUUCUCAUUAGCAGUUUCAUCAAAUGAUAUCAACAUUUCUAGGAGAAGACCUUAUUUCUUUUGGAAAUAGUUCUUCUAUAGUUGCUUUUGAAUAUUUAUUUUCCAUCUAUGAUGGAUAAAUACUACGCUAAACCUCAGAAGAAGAGUGUCGGAACCACAUGCCAACCCAAUAAUUAUACAUGCAUGCAUUAAUUAAGCUCUUUUAAGUUUUGCUCUAUUUUUUCUAUCAUAAAUGUAACAAGAAUAUGGUCUUACCUAACUUUAGAGGUUCUUGAUUAUCUUGGUAUAGUGCAUUUUUAUUGGAUUAUACUUAGUCUUGUGAGGACAUUCAGUACAACUAAAGCUUCAUAUGGUAUUAUGGCAGAUCCCUUUACAAAGCUCCAUAAAAAACAACCCAGGGAAAAACAAAGUGGUGUUCAUCGGUGGCGGAAGGAGAAAUGAACUUAUACUUUUCUCUUUGUGAAUUCAUGGUGCAAUUUUUGUGUUUGCAUCUUUUCCAAGCAGCCCAACUGGUAUUUUUUAGAAAAGUUUGUUGAGGUAACUUGUCUUGAAGUGUUGGCAUGCUAUCAUGUGAGAAAAUGUAAUUUGGACAGAUGGCCGCCUUUGAGAUAUCACAGGUCCAUCAAAGUGGACAUUAAGGAUGAGAAACAUAGUAGUAAUUUCCCAAAUAUGAUAUUUUAGUCAACACAUACAAAUUAAAUUAAGUUAGAAAAACUACGAAAUGGAUUUUAGAAUUAAUGAUAGUUUGACAAAGAUAAGUUUAAAAUGAAGGAAAAUCAUUGGAAAUCGAUGAAUUUUAUUUUUUUGGUCGUUCUUGAUAGCUUUCGAUUUUUUCCCUUUUCAUAAAAAAAUUCUUGUUUUUUAUUAUAUAUUGAAAUUUUCUAUUAUAAACAAGAUCCAUUUUGGAAUCUAGGGAAAUGAAAAUAAAAUCAUGUUUUAUUUUCUAAUUUAUAUUGUUGUUAUUAAUAUAUAUUCAGGCUUUUAAGUGUCAUUCGUCUUCCACUUUUUAAUGAAUAUAGUGUGGGUGGUUUUGCCAUGAGUUGGAAACCACCACCAUGUUGUCGGUCAAACCACUCAGAGUUGGGUGAGGGGUCAAAGUUAUCUGGUUUUUGGUGUUAAGGAUGCUAAUGGCCACUCCCUCUAUUAUAAAAUAUUUGAAGUCCUAGGUUUAUCUUAAAUAACAUUUCAUUAAGUUUGACCAACUUUAUGAGAAAACUUACUAAUAAACACAACAUCAAAUGUAUAUAGUAUGACCAUAUAUUUUAGGACCCUGAUAACCACAAAAUGUGUGGUGGUUAAGCUUAAACACCUCCAUCCUCCCCAUUUGUUACAUGCAUGCAUGCAUUAGAAUGAUCCUCUGCUCCUCCCACAUGCAUUUCUCUCUCUAAUUAUAAUUUGAAAAUUCAAAAUGUUUUGUAGCACAAACUGUCAAUUCGAUUCAAAAUUGUUUUCACAUAAAGAAUUCAUCAUGAUGAGACCUUUGAUACUAUAUCUCAUGUUGAUAUGUUCCGACAACUUUUUUGGGGGGCUCAAAAGGUAUCAUGCAUGGGCUACAUAAUUUACAACACAUAUGAUAUGUAAUUUUAUCGUGCUAUUUCCAGAUAAGUUGUUGGGGUAUGUUUGUCAACAACUUUUCCCCCUUGGUCAAUGUUAUCGUGGUGUUUGCACGUAAGUCAACUGGUAUGUGGUUCGUAUAUUAACAUAUUAUUUUCACAUAAGUUGUUGGGGUACAUUUUUCAACAAUCCCCCCUUGUCAAUCUUACCACGGUGUUUGUAUGUAAGUUAUCACAUAUUCGGUUCAUAUAUUACCAUGCUAUUUUCACAUAAUUUACCAGCGGUAUGUUUCUCAACAACCUUUUCCCCUUGGUCAAUGUCAUCACGAUGUUUGUACGUAAGUUAUCAGGUAGGCGGUUCCUCAGCGUUAGUUCAAGCCACGGUAACCAACUCGAAAAGUUCUUUUUUGUGCAAACCUGCUUCCCUUUCCACUUCUCGUAAGGUAAACGUAAUGCUAAAAAUAAAAGCAGUGCGUUCCUAGUUUUUUUUUCUCUUUGGUCGAUUUUUCUUCAUUUUUUUCAUUUCUCUUUCUAAUUUCUUUCUUUUCUAUCUUUUAUUAAUUCACAAAUAUUGUCCAAAUCCAUGUUUUGUUUUUACAAUUUGUGAGUUUUUUUUGAUUAUGUGAACUUUUUUCAAAUCCAUUUUUGGUCAAAUUCAUGAACUAUUUUCAAAUUCUUUUUCCUUUUCUUUUACAAACGCGCAAACUAUUUUCAAAUGAAAAACAUUCUUAAAAUUCGUGAACUUUUGUUUCAAAAUCGAUGAAUUUUUUUCCAAAUCUAUGGUUAUUUUCUUUGAAAUCCAUUAAGUUUUUUUCAACUUCGCGAACUUUUUUCAUACUUCCAAAAUCAACGGUUUUCUUUUCAAAAUCAAUGUUUUUUUAAAUCCAUGAACUAUUUUUGAACCCUUGAACUUUUACAAGUUUGCGAACUUUUUGCCAAAUACAUGAUUUUUUGAGUUUGUUAACUUGUUUCAAACCCACGAACAAUUUUCAAAAUCAUGAUUGAAAUUCGUGAACUUUUUUCAAAUUCACAAUUUUUUUGAACCCUUUAACUUUUUGAAGUUUGUGAACUCUUUUUAAAAUCCAUGAACUUUUUCUAAAUCCUGCAUACUUUUUUGAACUUGUGAAGUUUUAAGAGUUCAUGAACUUGUUUUCACAUCCGUGAACUUUUCUCAAGCCCAUGACAUUGUUUUAAAAUUUAUGAUCUUUUUCAAUCUGGUGAACUUUUUUCAAAGUCUCAACUUUUAAAAUUUUAAAAUUCUUGAUUUUCCAAAUUUCAUGAAUAUUUUUAAAAUUCAACAACUUUUUUAAAAUUCAUGACAUUUUUAAGAUCCACAAUCAUGAACAUUUAUUCAAAUCCACAAUCAUGAACUUUUUAAAAUCCACUAAUUGAGGAACAUUUAUUCAAUUCUGUGAACUUUUUUAAAAUUCACAAAAUUUUCUCUAUAUUUUUGAUUUGUUUUCAAAUCUUUCGACAUUUUUCAUCUUACAAUUAUUUUGAAAGUACUACAAAAAAACCGAAAGGAAUUUUUCGACCAACUACCGAAAAAAAAUCAGAAGAAAACUACUUGCUCCAUCCCAUAAUAUAACAUUGUUUGGUAAGCCGUCUUUGGUUGCAAAACGAUCUUAUAUUAUGGGAUGGAGGGAGUAGCUUCUUUUAAAUAGACAAACAAAGAGAAAACCUAGCUGGUGAAAGCAAGCGAGCGGGUGAGCCAGGUGGCUCAAUAUUGGGCCGCCGCCCACUAGCAUCAAGCUUAAGGUACACACAUGUGGGCUAGCCCAUUUAGAGUACUUUUAAAAUUUUAAAAUUCAUGAAUUUUCCAAAUUUCAUGAAUAUUUUUAAAAUUCAAAAACUUUUUUAAAAUUCAUGACAUUUUUAAGAUCCACAAUCAUGAACAUUUAUUCAAAUCCACGAACUUUUUUCAAAUGCUUGAACUUUUUAAAAUCCACUAAUUGAGGAACAUUUAUUCAAUUCUGUGAACUUUUUUUAAAUUCACAAACUUUUCUCUAUAUUUUUGAUUUGUUUUCAAAUCUUUCGACAUUUUUCAUCUUACAAUUAUUUUGAAAGUACUAUAAAAAAACCGAAAGGAAUUUUUCGACCAACUACCGAAAAUAAAUCAGAAGAAAACUACUUGCUCCAUCCCAUAAUAUAACAUUGUUUGGCAAGCCGUCUUUGGUUGCAAAACGAUCUUAUAUUAUGGGAUGGAGGGAGUAGCUUCUUUUAGAUAGACAAACAAAGAGAAAACCUAGCUGGUGAAAGCAAGCGAGCGGGUGAGUCAGGUGGCUCAAUAUUGGGCCGCCGCCCACUAGCAUCAAGCUUAAGGUACACACAUGUGGGCUAGCCCAUUUAGAGGUUAAGUACUCAAGCACGUAAAAAAAUGGCCUAAAAGACCCGAGCCAGCGAGAGAUCGAACUCGUGACGCUCCGCUCGUGAAGUGAAGAACCUGACCAAUCAAGCUGGCAAAAUCUAGUGAUUUGUAUGCAGUGCAAGAGUUUAAAGUAUCGAACAUCUUUCAAGUUUUCACGAAUAAUUCAAUAAAAUAAAUGGAAAAUUCUGCACAAAAAUUGACAGACGUAAAUACAUUUUUAAAACCAUGAACAUUUUUUUCCAAAAAAUGUGAACACAUUUUGAAAUUCGAACAAACUUUUGAAACUUGAGCAAUUAUUGAAAAGAUGAACAAAAUUUUUGAAAUUCCUAAAAAAUAUUUUUUUGAAAAUAUACAUCGAACAUUUUGUAAUACAUGCAAAACAAUUUUUAAAUACAUAUAAUAUACGCACAACGAUUUUGAACUCCACAGUGAAUAUUUUUGUGAUAUACCCAGAACAAAAUUUUAAUAUAUGUUGAAUUUUUUUGUAAUAUACUCUGAACAAUUUUUAACUACACAUUGAACAUUUUUGUGAUAUACGUUGAACAUUAUUUCAAUACACAAUGAACAUUUGUGUGAUAUAGGCCGAAUUUGUUUGAGUUGUGAACAAAAUUUAAAAACCUUGACUUUUUCUAAAAUCACUACCAAAAUUUGGAAUUUUAAACAUUUUUUGAAAACAAAGGAUAUAAAAUAAAAACAAAAUGAUAAAAUAAAAAUAUAAGAAAAAAAAUGAAACUGAAUCAGAAUCAGAAAAGAAACCGAAACAAAAAAAGCAAACAGAAAAAAAUUUGGAAAUUUGGUUAAAAAAUACCGUUUAAAGGAACCUGCUAGAAGGUGAAGUCGGCCGGCCCGUCGCGUGGCAGACGACGUGCAUCAGGAGGCGAGCAGAUAGAGUUUUGAUCAUGCCAUGUCACACUUUCUGGCCCCAAAACCGCCUAAAAUUGAUGCAAAACCACCUAAGGGGGAGAUUUACCCGGUUUUAAGGAAUUGGGGGUUAAGAUCAUACCAAAUUUGAGUUCAGGGGGGUAUUUGUCCCUCAGGCUACAUUUGAAGGUGAAAAAUAGACUUCUUUCAGAAAAAAGGGACAUCAACGAAACGGCCCGCUUCGUUCGCUUGUGCGUGCGACUGAGUUCCUGGCCCAAUGAGCCGCCCCUUCUAGUUUAUUGCCCUUCUAGCGUCUGUGGCCCAAUGAGACGGUAUAAUAUUGAGUCUGUCGCCCUUCCUUCCUCCCCCUCCACUAGUUCCUCCACCAAAAACUAGGGUUAGGGUUAGGGCGGCGGCGGCGGCUUUAUUUCCGAUCGCGAUCGCCAUGGCCACCGGAGGCGCCCCAAAGCCGGAGGAGGAGACCGUCGUCUUCCCCGAUUGGGUGAUGCUGGAACGCAUCUUCCGCAAACGGUGCCACGACGACCUAGACGCUGCUGGUGAGGCCGUCAACAAGAACAAGACCGCCGCUCCAGUCAAGAUUGACAGCGGCCACUCCUGCUUCGUCUCCUUCACCCUCGCAGCUCCUCCAGGGUCCUCCUACUUCAACCUCCAUUGGCCGGAGAGACAAGGCUCAGAAGAACUCCUUGCCUUCGUCCGGGCAGUCGACAAGAACCUUGUCCUCUUCGACAUCUCGAUCCCCGACCGGAUUCGCUACUUCGACGCUCCGCCAGAUCUGUUCGUCUACACGGCCUCUGCUCCUCCCCCCCCGGUGCAGCAGCUUCCUCGGCGCAGCACAAAGCAGUUCCUGGCUCAUCAGUUCACCACCGGCAUUCUGCAGCUCAAAGCGGAGCACUGCUACAUCGUUGCCGACCUCAAUGUCCACCUCAAGAAAGAGGGCGCUAGUGCUGAACUCUGUGUCUUCAACUCCGGCGCCACCGAUUGGAGAAUCAUCACCGAGGUGCUUGCUGAUAAGCUCCCUGACCUCUGGUUUACCGAUGAUGUGUUUGCUUUCGAUGGCCGUUUCCUUUGCUGGGUGGACUACUUCAGCGGCGUUGUGCUAUGCGACUUCUCCAAAAAUGUGGACUCCCAGGUGCUCCACUUCGUGCCUUUUCCUGGAGGAAUCAAAUACCCUGAUGACGCACGGUUCCCGAGGUACUUCCCAGGGAGGUUCCGAAGUGUGUCCAUCAGCCAAGGCAUGAUGCGCUAUGUCCAUAUUGACAAUGACUUUCAUCAGACAGUCCACAGUGGCUGGCGAGGGAUUGCUCCUAAGAGAAGCAACCGGCGGCAGAAGCAGCUAACCCACAAAAUCACCAUUUGGACGUUGAACUCCAAUUUCGAGUGGGAGGUGCAUUGUGAGAUCAACCUGGAUUGUCUCUGGGCACAACCUAGUUACCAAGGUCUGGGCUUACCUCGGCGUCUUCCUGAGUUCCCAGUCAUCAGCAUGGAUGACCCGGGUGUUCUGUGCUGCGUGCUGAGGGCGAAGGAAUUUGCUGGCAAGGAGUGGAUGAUCAUGGUUGACAUGAACCAUGCGGAUCUGCAGUCAUGUACUGAUGUGAAUGUAGAAGACAAGUUCUCUAAUACCACCCAACUUUCAACUGUCUUCUCCAAAUACCUUCAAAAGGCGAACAGGUAACUGGCUACAAGAAGCUCCCUUAAUAUUCAAAUGACAUCUUUCACGUACGUUCUUACAUAUUAUAUAACAUGGUUGCCUUUGCUUAGCUUUCUGUUGGAUACGGUACUGGUAAACACUGGUGUUUUUCCUUACUUAUCGUACCUAUGGUGCAAUAGACAUGCUGCCUGGUUUUUCAUUCCAUGUAGGAUUCUCAAAGAACUUCUUUCUUAAUUGAUGUCAUUCACGCACAUUCUUACAUACAUACAACCUCCGUCCCAAAUUAAUUGUCUUAGAUUGAUUGGACAAAUCUAAGACAAGUAAUUUGGGAUGGAGGGAGUAUUAUAUAACAUGGUUGCCUUUGCUUAGCUUUCUGUUGGAUAUUGUAGUGGUAAACACUGGUGUUUUUCCUUAUUCAUCGUACCUAUGGUGCAAUAGACAUGCUGCCCGGUUGCAUUCGGUGUAGGAUUCUCAAAGAACUUUGGCUUUGGUGCACGCUUUAUAGCUUACUGCAUGUUGUCUGCUCCCUGUAUGAAUCACUUUGAAGUGUCCCCUUCUUUCAUUGUCAACUCUCUGCACAGUGACUGACCCAUACCAUCCUACUAAUCAGGGUUGUUUUCCCUAUGUUAUUCUCUGUUGCUUUACUCCUGCCCCAAAGUUUCUAUUUUGCUGCCUUCUGCCGUUGCAUGUCCUCUAGUGUUGCUGUGUUAUAGUAAUAUAUAUAUAUAUAUAUAUUGAAGCAUUUAAUAUGUUGUUGCCUUGAAUCUUCUGUUGGGCUGUUCCAGUGUUUGAGUUGUAGCUGCUUCAGUUGUGUAGAGAUUCCAAUAUGGACUCCCUCCGUUCGUAAAUAUAAGUCCUUUUUAGAGAUUCCAAUAUGGACUACGUACAGAGCGAAAUGAGUGAGUAUAAGCUUUGGUCCUUCUGCCAUCAAGUUUUCCUUAAGAGUCUAGAGUCCUCUAUUUCUCCUUAUUGGAUCUUUUGCUCUUUACAUCGGAUUGUCCAUUAUCUGUACAAAUGGGACUGUAAUUCUUUCAGCAGCCUUCUGUCGCCACUAGCAUGGUGCUAUUUUGAAGUGAAUUCUUGGAACCACAUUAUUUUGAUUGCUGUUGUAAAGCAUAAAACUAUAUUGUCCUCUAAUUUCUGUAGGGGGGACAAGCGUCUAUGAAGCUUUAUUAGCACAUACUUCUCUGUUGGCAAAAUUUCUUUGGUUUACUUUGGGUCAAUCAGGUCACAUCUCUGGCUGUUUCUGUUAGAAUCCUUUUGUUUGAGAUAGCGUAUACCAUGGUUUUUAAGGCAGUAAAGUGUCCUAAGGCGUUCUACCCCUGCUCUGACGCCUAAGCGGGCACCUGAGCACUAAGGCAGACUAAGCGCCUAAAGCGGGCAGAUUUCCAAGGCGCUGCCAGGGCGCCUAAGCGUCCUAACGCAGACGCCUUAAAAACCAUGGCAUAUACUUUUAUAUCGUCUAACUGAGUGCUGGCCAUGGUGGAGCUUAGUGUAGACCAACAGGGCCCAUGCCCCCCUCCCCCCUUAAUUUUUCCAUCCAUCGAAGAAAAUGCUAUUAAUUUGGUUCCCUUCGAGUAAUGGCCCCCUCUUGAAUUAUGCUCAAGCUCUGCCAGUACUGGGCCAGUGAGCCAUUCUCUUUACACGGGAGUGCCAUUAGCUAAAACCCCUGUAGUAUUAGCUUUGCUGGCCUUCUCAUGUUACUGUCUUACUCUUGAUUCUGGCUACAACCCUUCUGAUUGUUUUCUCUAUCCUCUCAUGCCUCAUUUCAUUCUCUCACGCCUAAUCCGACAUUGGUACGGCUGGACUGUGGUGAGGACUCCAAUUUUUCUCGAGUAUGCUGCCCUGUCGCCGCGUUCAGCCUCUUGUUACACCUGAACACACACACACACACCAUGCCUGGCUGCAGCAUGUUUGCUACCAGUCCCUGCAUGUCAGUUGUAGUCCUUACCAGAGGCUGUGCCUGCUCAUUGAGGCCACACCGCAACGCCAUGGCUAUGUGGUGUUCUGAAUAUUAUGUCAAGCUAGGCGAUGACAUUACCAUCUGAAUCCAUGUCAAAUAUAUGAUGCAAUUGCAUUUGCAUUAAUAUUGAGUGCAGAACUAUUUUCUUUACCAAUAUACUCCACUGCAAUGCCAUUUGUCUUUCUUGUUUGUCUUUUUUUAAACUACCCUUUUCAAGUGACAAUUCAUCUUAUCUGUUUAUACUGUUCGCAAACAACAUACUCAGAUGUUCAGAUGGUGUAUAUAUCUGAGUUAUUUUUAUUUCUAUUUUUAAAGGGAUGGCAUGGGACAACAUUGAGCUAACUUCAUUGAAAUGCAAGUCUGCAAUAUGAAGACCUGUAAUCUGGUGACUGAAGGUGAACACUUUGCGGAUGCUCAAAUCAAAGAUGUUGUUUGUCAAUGACGCGGUGCAAGCAGAACAGUUUGAUGAUGUACUGAUGAAUAUCUAUUGGAGUAACGCUACAUGUUCUGGAUCAUUUAAUCAUAUGUUUUAGCGUUAAAAGUAUGAGAUUGAAUAUCUUUUCUUUCAUGAAAAUUGAAUUGAGGGCAAGCACAAGGAAAAAAAAUAGUGCUAGACAUUAUUUUUGGUUUUCUUAUCGAGGCCAAAAUGUCAUAAUUACAGAGAUCUUCCAAUAUUUUUCUAUUGGGGGUUCUUCCAUUCCUUUUUUUUGAGGAAUUAUGACAGUGAGGGAAGCUCCCCACUGACCUUUAUAU
rnacentral:lncRNA from 1 species